UUUUUUUUUUUUUUUUUUUUUUAAUACCAUUACAACUUUCUGUUGAUCGAAAUUUUGGUUAUGAUAUUUCAUAUUUGUGGUUAAAGAAAUUAACAUUUUUUUUUGUUUUGGAUUUUAGUAUACGGUUUUCUUCUGAAACAAGAUGUUUUGNNNNNNNNNNNNNNNNNNNNCCCGAAAGCCACAAGUUUUUUUUUUCUCGAAUGAAAUCGACGGCUGCUCGUCAUUUUCCUCGUUGGCCCCAUCUGAGAUCCGACAGUGGUAAUUGACCUGAUGACCCUUCUUACCCAACCGAUUCGUUUCCCACGCUUUCAGCAACUCCAAACGACGUCGUUCCGUUGUAACCAGACACAGGUCAUACAAUGAACAAUUAGUCUUUGGUUAAUGACGAAUUUAGUCCUUAAUUAAAAGAAAAAUAUCGAGAUUAAAGGAAAACAUUGGGUUAUGAACUUAUGAAGAAACACGUGUACAAAACCUAGACGCAAAAGGGGUCUCGUAAAAGGGAGUUUGUGAUUGCCUAAAAGAGGAACACCUCGGAAGGAAUAUACCGGCAGCAUAUUUGGUUCCAUUUGAGACUUCAUUUCACUAUAAAAAUCCAUCUUCUUCCCUCCUUUCUCUCCUCAACCAAAACACCCAACUCUCUCUCUCUCUCNNNNNNNNNNNNNNNNNNNNCUCUCUCUCUCUCUCUCUCUCUCUCUCUCUCUCUCUCUCCUUCUUGCUUUUGCACCAAGCUAGGCUCAAACAAGGUUAGUGUUUUGUGAUUAAGGUUCUCUAAUCAUGCGUGUUUAUCUCUCAUUGUUGCUAAUUGCUCUUUGUAUGAUGUAAAUUUGUAUUUGUCUCUUGGUUUGUGUACUCUCUCAUGCAUGCAUUGGAAAGGAUAAAGUGCAAAAGUGCAAAUGGGGUGUUCUGCUUGUGACUUUUCAGUGGGAACAAAACAAUUUAAAGCUUUUUCUUCUACAAGGGUCUUAUGAUUAGCUUCCAUAUCUGAAUUUGGCUUUGUGAUUUAUCCUUAAAGCACCCUUCUUUUCCUUUCUUUCACUGUGAACAUUUCUGGGUUUUGAGGAAAGCUGAGAAAACCCUUCUGGGGAUUGGAUUAGAUGAACAUAAUUUGAUUUGGGAUUGGAAUUUUCUUUUUUUGCUAAUUUAGGUAAAAAUGUUUUAUUUUUUAAUUUUUUUAUCCCUGAUUUUGAGAUCCUGAUCGCAUGGUUUAAUUAGGUGUUAAAAUAUAUUGCAUUCAAUGAAAUAUAAUUAUAUUACUUAAUGAUUUGAAGCGGUUUCAAAAAUAGCAUUAUCUUCUACAUCUGUACACAGCAAAGAUUUGAUAUUUGAUUCAAGCCAACUAAAGUAGUAUUUUGAUUUAAACCCUGAAUUUAAGCUCGAGAAAUCCGGUGCUUGUUUUUUUGGUGGGAAAGAUAUCUGGUUCAACUAACCAGGAAACAUUUUCUUUGCCCAGAACACUCUCUGAAGUUAAUAAUUUGCAAAUCUUAUCUUGGAAGUUCUUAGACCUACAUAAUUAUUAUACGCGUAUUAUUUUGAUUUUCAUCUAUGUUCUCUGUUGGGGUUGUGGCUUUCAAAUCCUUUCUGCCAAAAGUUCAUCUUUCUCUGUAAGACAGUAGAGGCUGUAAAUUUUGUGUCUUUGAGAAGUUUUUCCAGUAAAGGUAAGAGCUUUCUGGUUCAUAUUUUGAUUUGAAUAAAUCAAAUCUGUCUUUGUUAUAAACUUAGAAGGAUCCUCCAUCAAUGGUAUCUGUUUUGUCUGGAUGUGUGGGGUAGUAGCUGGCAUGUGAUUGUCAUUGUUCAUUGUAUUUUUCUUUUUUUCUUUUCCUGUAGUUAUGGAGGUUUUUUUUUUCCUUUUCAUCUUUCAGAAAAUUAUUUCACCUUUCUUCUUCCUCUGUUGGCCUAGAAAACAGAUUUUUGUUCAUUCUGUUGUUUGUUCUUGAAGCUGUUAUUCUAUUGUCCAAAAAACCACGUAAAUUGUUUUUUUUUGUUGAUUAGUUGGUCCUACUGUUAUCUUGAUUUGCCAAAAUCUCCCUCAAAUGUUGAAAAUUCAGUCUUCUAUUCAAUUCAUUUGAAAAUUGUUUAUGGUUGAUCUGGUGGUCCCGGAAUUAUAGGUGAGACUUGAAAUUUUUUUUCUCGCAUGGCCAAUUAUAGAGGAUCAACUGCCUCAUAGUCCAGAGUUCACACCUCCUGUCACAUAUGAAGUCAAGUUUGUAGAGCCCUUCGGUUUUUUUAUGCACAAUUCCUUCUUCUUGCUAUGUUGAAUUCGUUUUGUUGAAUAUUGACUCAUUAAUACUGUAGUAAUAUACUCAUUUCUAAAUGUAUUUGUACACGCGCUUAUUCUUGUCAUUUUGUUCAUGUUCUUAUUCUUGUUCUGUUCAUAAUUUGCAGAUUGAAAAAGCGUUUGUGUGGAGCUGAGAUCAGAGAAAGGAGAAGUUGCGAGCUACCUAAGCCAUGGCUAGAGAACAAUUACAGGUGCUUAACGCACUAGAUGUUGCGAAGACACAAUGGUACCAUUUCACUGCAAUUAUCAUUGCUGGAAUGGGAUUCUUCACAGAUGCAUAUGAUCUCUUCUGUGUGUCUCUUGUCACCAAAUUGCUGGGCCGCAUAUACUACCAUGUUGAAGGUGCUGAAAAACCUGGGACAUUGCCUCCCAAUGUCUCUGCUGCGGUGAAUGGUGUAGCCUUCUGUGGUACAUUAGCCGGCCAACUCUUCUUUGGCUGGCUUGGUGACAAAAUGGGAAGGAAGAAAGUGUAUGGCAUGACCCUUAUGCUCAUGGUCCUAUGUUCUAUUGCUUCAGGUCUCUCUUUUGGGCACGACCCCAAGACUGUGAUGUCUACUCUUUGCUUUUUCCGGUUCUGGCUUGGUUUCGGUAUUGGUGGUGACUACCCUCUUUCAGCUACCAUCAUGUCUGAGUAUGCUAACAAGAAGACUCGCGGUGCCUUCAUUGCUGCCGUGUUUGCCAUGCAAGGGUUUGGAAUUUUGGCCGGUGGGAUAUUUGCAAUCAUUUCUUCAGCUGCGUUUAAAGCCAAGUUUGAUGCUCCCGCAUAUGAGGUCGCUGGAGCUGCCUCAACUGUUCCACAAGCAGACUAUCUCUGGCGCAUUAUAGUUAUGGUAGGAGCAAUUCCAGCAUUAAUGACUUACUACUGGCGAAUGAAGAUGCCUGAGACUGCUCGUUACACUGCCCUUGUUGCCAAGAAUGCAAAGCAGGCUGCAGCAGACAUGUCAAAGGUUCUGCAGGUUGAGAUUGAAGCUGAAACCAAGCCUGAGGAGAAGUCGGCUAAUGCCUUUGCUUUGUUUUCCAAGGAGUUUAUGCGCCGCCAUGGACUUCACUUGCUUGGAACAACAAGCACUUGGUUCCUUCUUGACAUAGCGUUCUACAGCCAAAAUCUGUUCCAAAAGGAUAUCUUUAGUGCGAUUGGAUGGAUUCCUGCGGCUAAGUCUAUGAAUGCUAUUGAGGAGGUUUACAAAAUUGCAAGGGCACAGACACUUAUUGCUAUGUGCAGUACUGUCCCAGGCUACUGGUUUACGGUUGCCCUUAUCGACAGAAUUGGAAGGUUUGCGAUUCAAAUGAUGGGAUUCUUCUUCAUGACAGUGUUCAUGUUUGCACUGGCCAUUCCCUAUGACCACUGGACUCACAAGGAUAACCGGAUUGGAUUUGUGGUCAUGUACUCAUUGACCUUCUUCUUCGCAAACUUUGGUCCCAAUGCCACCACAUUUGUUGUGCCGGCUGAGAUUUUCCCUGCUAGGUUCCGGUCUACAUGUCACGGAAUCUCAGCAGCAUCAGGGAAGCUUGGUGCUAUAAUUGGUGCAUUUGGAUUCUUGUAUUUGGCUCAGAACCAGGACAAGACCAAGACUGAUGCAGGGUACCCUGCAGGCAUUGGGGUCAAAAACUCGCUCAUUGUGUUGGGUGUUGUUAACUUUUUGGGGAUAUUGUUCACUUUCUUGGUGCCCGAAUCGAAUGGUAAGUCAUUGGAGGAGAUGUCAGGCGAGAAUGAAGAGGAACCUGAAUCUGCAGUGGAGUUGGAGCAGCAAUCAGGUUAUGGCAAUAGCAGGACAGUGCCAGUUUAGGUUAAGUAACUUUUUAAGAAAGUGUUAGAAAAAUAAUGCUGUAAGACUUUAGUUAAUAUCGGUGAGGGGGAAGCUUUAAUUUUCAAUCUUUUUAAGUUCUAUCUCCAUGUCUAUCAUGAGCCAAAUAUCACAUAGAAGUUUCUGGUUGUUCAUUUUUCUUCUUCUGUGAGUAUCUACAAGUCUAUAAUCGAUCGAUUGUGGUUGUUACUUCCUAGUUCCUAAUAUCUUACGCUUCUCUGUGUGAAUUCAAUUCAUGGUUUUGCAAAUGUUUUCUACAAAUCUGACUUCUGGUUUUGGAACAAGUUCACUUUCUCCUUUUCUUCUUUUAUUCUAAUAAGUUUUAGUUGGACUGUCGUUGCAAAGUUUCACAAUUUCACUGAAACCAAAUAGAAUGGAAUCUCACAGAGAAUAAGCUAAGAAUGUUGUAAAGGAGGUUACUUCUAAAACUGUGUAAUCCAUUUGUGUAUCCGUGAAGGAAUAGAUCAUGGCUAGUUCUAGUUAUGUUCAUUUGUGUCUCCAUCAAGGGCCAUUGAGAUUAUUAUACAGAACUCCUAGCUAGUCUGUUCCAAAGAAUCUUCUAUUUGUAGUGCUGCAUGUGUCAACUUUUUCGACGGGCGAAAAGAGUAAAAUGUUUCUCAAACAUACAAUGUAAUUCUUAUAGGAACGCAAUUUUAUUGUCACGAUAACGAUAAGAAAGAUGUAUUCAACCAACCUUAGCUAGCUAUCUAUAAUUAUUCCAAAAGAGUAGAAAUUCGAAGUUUUGUUCUUAUCCUAAAUUAGGGAUAAAUAUAUCAAAUUCUCAGUGCAUUGAAUUUGUAUCAAAAAUGCAGAUAAUAAUUGUAACAAUUGCGAAAAUUAUCUAAAUCAGCAUUGAGGUGUACUCCUCCCUUCCUCCGUACAAAUUCACCAGAGCCAGCUACAAGUUAGCAUUUACAAUUCUAUACCCUCAGAUAUUCUUUGCGUUAUUAUAGCACAAAUAUUCUGAAAGUUAGUUAAAUAUACUACCAAAUCAAUUUUACUCAUACAUGGAAUUUCUUGUGGUGGUAAAAUAUGGAAGGAAAGCUGUAGUAGUGGUUUAUUGGUUACUACUAGCUGCUACGAUUUGGGCAUGCGAAUAUGCUAGUGAACAUCUCACUGAAAUUUCUAAAACAGAAAUGGUUUACUGAGAAACAAUGCCUAGCUAAGCGCAAAUGUAGAUAGGAAUAUACUGUUGAUCGGUUAUAAUAUUCCGGUAAAGACUCCCAUAUAUAUUGUCAAUCCCACACACUCAUCCUUAAACCCUCAUACACUGAUCUCUAUCCUUAUAUCUCACUGAUCUAGCUCUCUCCUCAUAUCUCACUGAUCUCUCUCCUCACAUCCAGGUUAGAAUCAUACACUUAUGUUCUUGUUCAUUAAUUAAAUCUAAUAAUUCACGUUGGCUUUUCUACUCUCUCUAUUGUUUGAAUGUGAUUUGAUUAAUUUUGGUAUGUAUAUAACUAUUGUAUAUAUAAUGUAUGUGUGAUCUAACCAGUUGUGUUCAUUUUGGACAGAGUAGAAGAGAUCCGACAGAGAAAGGUAGACAUGGCUAAGUCACAAUUGGAGGUGCUUAAUGCUCUUGACACUGCAAAAACACAAUGGUAUCAUUUCACUGCAAUCAUCAUUGCCGGAAUGGGGUUCUUUACCGAUGCAUAUGAUCUCUUCUGCAUUUCCCUUGUGACCAAAUUGCUUGGCCGCAUAUACUACCAUGUUGAUGGUGCAGCCAAGCCUGGAACGUUGCCUCCGAAUGUGUCUGCUGCUGUCAAUGGUGUUGCAUUAUGUGGAACCUUGUCAGGGCAAGUCUUUUUUGGCUGGCUCGGUGACAAAUUGGGUCGAAAGAAGGUGUAUGGCAUAACUCUGAUGCUCAUGAUCGUUUGCUCCAUUUGUUCAGGUCUCUCCUUUAGCCAUGACCCCAAAGCUGUGAUUUCAACCCUAUGCUUCUUCCGGUUCUGGCUAGGAUUUGGUAUUGGUGGUGACUACCCUCUUUCGGCCACCAUUAUGUCUGAAUAUGCCAACAAGAAGACUCGUGGUGGCUUCAUCGCCGCGGUCUUUGCCAUGCAAGGUUUCGGAAUUUUAGCAGGAGGCCUGUUCGCAAUGCUUACGGCUGCCAUAUUUGACGCCACGUUCAAGGCUCCAGCUUAUGAAGUUGACCCAAUUGGUUCCACUGUCCCACAAGCAGACUACCUAUGGAGAAUUGUUCUGAUAAUUGGUGCAUUUCCGGCUGCACUAACCUACUACUGGCGAUUGAAGAUGCCUGAAACUGCUCGCUACACAGCCCUCGUUGCCAACAAUGUUUCCCAGGCAGCAGCUGAUAUGUCAAAAGUUAUGCAGGUUGACAUUGAAUCUGAUCCGGCCAGGGCUCAACCCACCGUCACUUACGGUUUGUUCUCUAAGGAAUUCCUGGACCGCCAUGGACUUCACUUGUUCGGUACCACAAGCACAUGGUUCUUGCUUGACAUUGCAUUUUACAGUCAAAAUCUGUUCCAGAAGGACAUUUUCAGUGCCGUUGGAUGGAUUCCUCAUGCCGCCACUAUGAAUGCCAUUGCAGAGGUUUAUAAAAUUGCAAGGGCUCAAACUCUCAUUGCUCUGUGCAGUACUGUGCCUGGUUACUGGUUCACUGUGUUCUUCAUCGACAGAAUCGGAAGAUUCAAAAUCCAAAUGAUUGGAUUCUUCUUCAUGACAGUGUUCAUGUUUGCACUGGCAUUUCCAUACAAUUAUUGGACACAAAAGGAUAAUGUGAUCUGGUUCGUGAUACUGUAUGCACUGACUUUUUUCUUUGCCAAUUUCGGACCUAAUGCUACAACAUUUGUGGUACCGGCUGAGAUUUUCCCAGCUCGACUGAGGUCUACUUGCCAUGGCAUAUCCGCAGCACUUGGAAAGUUGGGGGCAAUAAUAGGUGCCUUUGGGUUUCUGUAUUUGGCUCAACCUCAGGACAAGAGUAAAGCAGAAGCAGGGUUCCCGGCCGGUAUAGGCGUCAAAAAUUCACUCAUUGUUUUGGGUGUGGUCAACUUCUUGGGUAUGCUAUGCACAUUCGCUGUUCCUGAAACGAAUGGGAAGUCUUUGGAGGAAAUGUCAGGUGAGGCUGAAGAAAGAAAUUAGAGAAGUGGAAGCGUAUGAGCUGCUGAGAGAUCUGAGUUUCUGUUAUUCUUCUGAGUCGUAGUAGGAUUUUAGUUAUUGUUGUCAUUCCUCUUCACUUUAGUCUUUUCUUUUGUUAUUGUCUUUUGAGUAGUGGUAGGAUUCUUUGAUUAAUGAUUUGUUAUCAAUCGAAGGUAGCAAAGUACCGGUUUAUUUUAGUAACUUCUUCUCUAUUAGAAAAUCUCUCCUUAACCCUAUUAUCAUUUGCAUCACUAUUUUACUCCUUAUGAAAUCAAAUUGCUCUAUAUAUCAAUAGAAUUUAACAAGAACGGGAUAAAAGGAUAUGGGUUGCAGACUUGCAGUUCUGCUCCCCAAAUAUAAUAGAUGCAAUUAGCAAAGAAACUUAUAUAGGAACACAUUUGAGGUUCACAACAUUACCAGAUGACAAAUUCAUUUCCAUCUAGGAAGUAAGCUUACUGUUAGGAAACUGAAUUCCACAACAAACAGAUAACAUCAGACCAUACUUUUCAUAGCAGAUAUGCUUGUUUAUUUGGUGAAAGAGUAGUAGUCUUGUGUCAGUAAUGGAUUCUGCAAAUGAUGAUGCAAGGAGAACAAGCUUACAGAAUCGAGGAGAUUUUGACUGACCAAGGGAGAUACAUAUGUUUUAGAACAGACACUGUUCAGUGCGCCCGCUCUUUGAUCACCUCAAGAUCCAUCUCUGUUGGGUCAGUAGCCUGAAUCUCGUAGUGAAUACCAUCCAGCUCCCGCCUGAAUUGGUCUUUUGAUGUGGCAUAGAGCAUCUUGGCACGGAUCCGAGAGGUUGAAGGGGACCUGAUCAUAAUUAUGCAUCAGUCAUCACCAAUACAGAAUAGAACAAGUAUAUGAAAUACAAGAUUUACAAAAUACAAGAUAUUAAAACAAAUCGAAAUGAGCGUAUGUAUGGGUAAUGCAGUUAAGCAUGAUAAACAAAUUGAGAAAGUUGCUUGGUAGUUUAGCAACUUGCUUUGCAAGACAAGUUUCACCGAACAAUAUAUCAAAUCAGGACCAAACUUUGCACCACACCAUUCUGCGUCAUUUUUCUUAUAUAAGAACUUCUCGAACAUGAAUAAAUAUGGUUAUAUUAUCUAUGCCAACUCUGAAUGACUAAGAAAUUGGGAUCAAAAUUCAGACUUAUCAAACGAAAACGGUUUUAAACAAAAGAUAGCUGAGGUUUUCAAUAAAAUUGGUAACAAGCAUCACAGUUGAUAUAUAACUAGAGAGGGGAUUAUAUAGCCAAAAACUAACCAAGCAAUGAAGAAGAUCUUGCUCUUUUGACAGUUAUCAGAAGUAACAAAAUCAAAGUCAUAUACAGCAAAUCGGCAAUCAUUCUCAGGCAAAGCCGCCACGAAAUCUUCAUAACUCUCAGCCGGACCACCAAUCUUCUCAACCACAACCUCCCUUUUCUUCUCAUCCACCUUAAAUAUCACAUAGCGGUGAACCUUCUUCCUCUGCAGCUCCAUGAAACUGUUCUUGCUGUCCUCCGCCGCAGCCAUCGCACACGAAGCAUUCGGCUGCAAAACAAAACCACCCAAUUCUUUACCAUCUAAACCCAAUUCCGCCACACAACUCAUAAAGUUUCAAUCUUCAAUCUCAGCUCAAACAACAAAGCUUCAAUUUUUAUUCAAGAAGAAUAAUUAAAAAAAAAAAAAAAAAAAAAAAACUCAGCUGGGUUUUGUAACUUGAAACCCAAAUACAUCAAACAAUCCAAGAGGAGAAGCAAAUCAUCACAUACCCGACUGAGCCCUCUGAAAGACAUUGACAUUGCUUCUGGAACCAAACAGAGCUUUGGUGCUAGUUGAAAAACAGAGCAAUGGAUUAGGAUGGUAUAUGGGUUUUGCACGGAAUAGCAAAAGAUAUGGGAAUGGGGAAAGAAAAGCAAGAAUAUAAUGUAGUUGUUGUUUUUGUAUUUGUGAGGUCAGAAAGAGAUUCGGAUUGUAAAAAGGAGAGGAGAAGAGAAAGGGCGCAGUGUGUGUGUGUGUUUGGGUACAGCUCCGACGGUGCGUAGGACUAACGCUCCCUUUUUCAAACCCCCGACGUUGACUCUGGACCGGAUUUCUGUGUCGUCAGAGUGACGUCGGCGUCCGCGUUAUCUGUUCGCCACGUACCUCUUGCAACGACACGUCGUUUUUUUGUGUGUCUUUUAAUUGUUUGAUAAUGGAGUUUUGAUUUCGAUUGAAAAUUGAGUGCCCUAGUUAGGGUUUUGUUUUUUGGCCGAAUUUGGGGCUUUGUUCUGGGUUCUGCUCAUUUGGGGAUUUUGGGGCAGCUGUUGAUCAAUUCGUGUGUGAAAAUGGAUUCGGAAGGUACGUGCUUUUCAAGAGGCUAAAGGCAAAAAUUGGAUCUUGAAUUUGUGUUAUUUUUUGUGAAUUAAAGGUUUGAUCUUUGUGGUUUUGUUGUAUAAUUUGGCAGCGCAAAACGCGUCGUUGAAUCCAUCGCAAGUGCUUGCUCAACUCCUCACUAAGAGAACCAAGCUUCAAGACGAACUCAGAGGAAUUGAGAAACAGGUUUUUUUAUUUUUUAUUUUUAUUUGAGGGAUGGGAUGAUGUUGCAUUUUGGUUUCUGGGUUGAUUAGUCCUUUCACUCACCAUUUAUAGCUCAAUUGGUUUUUUUUUGUUAAGACCAAGUUAGUUUUUCUUUGGAAGAAUUAGACUUAAAGGCAUGUGAGUUUUGUGCAUAAAUGCUGUUAGUGACUCUUUAACAUAAAGCUUUUACAAAAAGAUGCCUGAUAGAUUGGAAUUGAAAUGCAGAGGGAGCCAUGGAUGAGAACAUUCUUUUAUCUCUUACUGAAGUUUCAGCUGAGCUGCAUUACUAGUAGUCUAGUCUCUGCUUCUGGAACUUACUGCUUUGUUUCACUGCAGGUCUACGAUCUAGAGACUACGUAUCUGCAGGAUCCGAGUCAAUGUGGCAAUGUAUUAAAAGGGUUUGAAGGGUUUCUGUCUUCAACAAAGAGCACUUCCUUGUAAGCAUUCACUUUUUCUUUUCAUUCUUAUCCUCAUCAGAUUACGUUACUUCAUUAGCCUUUAUGUGUAGGACUUUUGUAUCCUAUUAAUGGAUGGUUUCUAAGGUUGGCGUAGUUGAACCACUUUUUAACUACUCUGGGGCUGUUUUGUCUGACCGAAUAUACUGUUCUGUUCUGAUUUGCGUUGAAGACUUUUCAUUGUUGCAAGACAUCGCUUGCUUAACUUGAAUCGGUUUAAUUUUGUCAUGUUACACAACAAGGUCGUUUCAUUCACUGAACAAUUCUGCACCUAUAGCCAUCAUUAUUAGGUAUUAGCUCACCUACCCAUUCCCAUUAGCUUGAACAACCGAUAGCCACGGCAAAGGAUCUAUCAUCUAUGAUUGCUACAAGGCACUGAUCCAUGUAAGUGGGAUCCCUGUGCUGUAGCCAACCCACAAUUCUCCUAACCUGAUAUAUAGUAUGGAAGUAUUCUGUUUGUAGUGAUAUUAGCUUUGGCUCAGUUGGUAAAGCAACUGAGUCGCUUUCCACCUAUCCAAGGAUUGAAAAACCCUUAAACUUGCUUGAUGUUAUGCAUUCCCCCCUUUUUCUUCUUCCAUUCUUUUAUUUCUUUGGUACAAGAAAGGGGGUUUGGGAAAAGUUAGUUUUUGAUUUAUAUCUAGGCAGGACUACUUUAGGUCAGAGUACUUCCAACUUGAAAAUAGAUGAUUGUUUCUCAUUCCCCUAAAGUUGUCUGAAUUUUUAAGGCUUAUACACAUUAAUUGUCCUCCAAAUAAUCUGUCAUUUUUCAUGUUAUCUUUUUGCAUUAAAAAAAAAAUCGACAUGUGAGGUACUGUAGUCUGUAUGUCAAAUCAGAUGGAAACAAAACUGACUGAGUCCUCUGAAAGACACUGCCAUUGUAGCCUCCAGAAAAGGAAACAGAAUUGGUGCUACUUGAAAACCCAGAGCAACAAGCUAGGUGGCGGUAGAUGGGUUUUGCACAGAAUAGCAAAAUAUGGUGGAUUAAGAUAUGGGAAUGGGAAUGCAGAAGAAAGGCAAGAAUAAUAUUCUUGUUCUUUUCUUUUUUGUGAGGUCAGAAAGAGAAAGAAGGGCAAAAUUUGGAUUGUAAAGGAGAGGAUUAGAGGGCAGUGUGUGCAUGCAACUCUUGUUACAGCUCCGAUGGUGUGUAGGAUUAACGCUCCUUUUCCCUUUUUAAAUUCAAACCGCACCGUUGACUCUGGGCUGGAUUUUGGUGUUGCCAGACGGGACCAUGAUGAUGUCGGCAUCCGUGCUAUCUGUUUGCCACGGCAAAUUAUCUAUGGUUUCUACAGAUUGAAUACAUAUUCGGGAACUUAUUAUUAUUUUUGUUUUCCUUAAGUAAUGCAUUAAUUGAUUAAUUCAUUGCAGUUUGGGAAUGCGAUUUCUAUAUAAAAUAUUAGUAGCUUUGGAAUAUGUAGUUUUAAUUUGUACCUAGACAGGACUCUACUUGGUAUCAGAGAUACACUUCCAACUUGAAUAUAGAUUGUUGUCACUCAUUUCCCCUAAAGUCGUCUGAACUUAAGGCUCGUACAGAAUAAAUUUCCUCCAAAUAAUCCGGUUUCUUUUUUCGUUUUUUAAGCAUAACUGUAAUCCAUAUGUAAAUCGAUGUAUUGUACAUCAUAUGCAUAUGUGUCUGCUGAAAGUUUCUGAUGUUCAACUAUAUGGUAUGCAUAUGUAUUAAUCCCAAGGCAGUUACUAAUACUUUGAUUGCAGCUUGAAGCGAUCUCGGAAGUUUCAACCUGAAGACAGGCUAUUCUCAUUAUCUUCCGUGACAUCACCAGCAGUAAGUAUUCUCAACCUUAACUGUCUUGAUCGUGGCCUUUCUGCCUUGACAUCUUUGGAAGCAAAACGUUUAAACACUUUGCUAAAGCUACCUCAAAGAUACUUGCUUUUGUAUGUUACAGACUUGCAGCCAGUUAGAUACUGAUAAAUAGUAUUUGCUCUCAUUCAUAGCAUAUGCUUCUGUUUAUUAUUAAUACUAAAUUUCUCUUUUUCCUCGUGUCAGGCGGAAGAACUUGCAGCUGGACGAGAUGGUAAGCCCAUACUAGCAUAUAUAUAGAAUUAUAGAUGAAAUGCCCAAUAUUUAUUUCAUCUCUCUUCGUAUUUACUGUAGAUGGGAGAUCAGACUUUGGUCCCGGCCGUUCUAAAGGGGGUAUAUACGCAAACGGGCAGUAAGUACUCCUCUAGUUUUCUCUUUACUCUAUUUGUUUAAUGUUAUGCAGAAAGGUUAUACGGCUUGUAUAAAAGAGGCUCAAAAAUAGCACAUUUCUGAGGGUUUACUCCAGGCGACACUUCUGAGUUUUAAAAAAUACCAAUGGCUUUGCAGAGGAAAACCGAAGAAAGGAAGACCUACUCCAAGAGAUGCAAAGAGAAUCAGGCAGAGUGAACAAGAUUAUGACUAUGAAGAUGAUCCUGAUAUGAUGUGACGGAGGAAAUGCCUGGUGACUUUUCCCUACAAGCUCUGCGUGAGCAGCUAGUUAGCUAGAGUCUUGAACAGAGAUAUAGCUUUUGUUUUGAAGUUCUGUUGAGGCAAAACUUCUCACUAAGGCAGGCAUAGCCUCCUCUUCACUUCUGUAAUCUAACCCUCUGUCAGGUUGUAAAUUAUACCCUUUCUCCUCGGUUAGAAUUAGUUGCUUCUGCUCAACUUAUGUUCAAGAAUAGAUCUUUAAGCUCUGUAAGCACUUUGGAUCAUUGCCUUCCAUGGCUAUAAUAUCGUCUUUUGGAUACAGUGGUAUAAAAUCAUUCCGAACUGCCUAUAUGCACAAAUGGAAAUGAACAUCCUUCGAAAUUACAAAAUAAAAACAAAAUGACAUAAAAGCAAAAAACGGAACGACGUCGUGUUGAUUACCUUCUAUGUGAAACAGGGUCAAAUCUAGUACGACAUCGUUUUCUAUUGUUGCAUUUUGGUUCCAUAUUUCUCAACAGCGCAGGCUCCGAUUCUGCCGCCGAAUUUCUUAUCCUCUUCUUUGUUUGCUGUUUAUGUUCUCCAUGAACUUACUGGUAUGUUUGUAUCUACUUAUGUAAUCACUGUCUUUUCACACAAACACAUGUACGGGUUUCGCUCUCGUUUCCUACGUUGUUGUUUACUUGACUUAUAAUUUUGUUCAUAGGAGAAGAUCAAAUUGCAGAAGAAGGAGCCAGAUAAAGCGCCGCCGCCGCCUCCGCCGCCUGAGGUGCCCGUGUACUGGAUUGAAACCUCUGAAGCAGUCUCAUACCGCUGUGAAUUUGAACCCCAGGGUCAUCUCUCUGUAAGUUCAUUGUUCAUGACCAUAUAUCAAGUGUGUGUUCAUUUCUGGGUUUAAUAGCUUAAACCCCAAAGAUGGGUUUGCUUUAAAUUUGGCUUCUUUUUGAUUGGGUGAGUGUUUUGGGAUGUUGUAGUUUGAGGCCAGAGUGAGUUAGUGACUCAGUGUUAGGUGGCUGCUUUUGGUUUUAACUGAUGGUAAUGAAGACGUGUUCUUUCUUGUGUUUGAUUCUGUUUGGAAUUCAAAGAAUGGUGUUUAAAUUAGUUUAACAGGCUUAUAUGUCAGAAACAAUGGUAUAGUGUGGAAUGAAAAUGAGGAAGCCUUUGGUUCCUCAAGGUUUUAGAAUUCCUAUUGGAUGCUAUCAAAUGUGGGAAAUUUGGGGCUUGGUGGGAAUCCGAGUCUCUGGGGAUUAGAAAGCUGAUCUCUAGCUUUAUAUGUUAGGUUGAGGUUUGUUAUUACUUUGUUUGAAUUACUUUAACUGCAUUGGGUUUUCUGCAGGUUAAGAUUCUUGAUGACUCGAGGCCAGUAGUUCGUAGGGUUGCAGAUUCGUUUGUUAAUAAGUUUUUCCCUUCAGGAUAUCCAUACAGGUAACUUCAUGAUUUAUUCUUACUGAAAAGCCUGUUGAAACAAUUGUAUCAGUUAUUUAGCCUUUCAAGUCAUUCCUGUGCAGUGUCAAUGAGGGAUAUCUCAGGUACACACAGUUUCGGGCACUGCAACACUUCACCAGUGCAGCGCUGUCAGUGCUUUCAACUCAGGUUUUUUUUCUGACACCUGCAAAGCAUUUAUAGCAGUAUAAGCUAUUUAAUAGACUGAGCUCUUACUCCUUUGCAGUCACUCUUGUUUGCUGCAGGCUUGCGACCUACUCCUGCACAAGCAACUGUUGUUAGUUGGGUAAGUUGUCAAUGUUUGGUAAUUAUGAUAUCAGUUGCAACCAAAGCAUGACUGUUAAAUACUAUUUAUUCUCAAUAUGCAGGUCCUGAAGGAUGGGAUGCAGCACAUGGGUAAGCUCAUAUGUAGUAAUUUGGGUGCAAGAAUGGAUUCCGAGCCUAAGCGCUGGAGAAUUUUGGGUUUGUACUUUUCUCCAUCUUUUGUCAUACGUACUAUCUGCGUUCACUGUAAACUCUGUUAUAUUUUCUUGAUAAGUGCUGAAGUGGAUAUUGUGUUGGGAAGUGAUAUUUAAUGCUUUAGAAGCUGGUUCUAAUUGAAUCAAUCCUCUCAUCUUGCAGCUGACGUACUCUAUGACUUGGGCACUGGCUUAGAAGUUCUUUCUCCUUUAUGUCCACAACUUUUUCUUCAAGUUGCAGGCCUAGGCAAUUUUGCAAAGGUGUCAGUUUUCAUACAUAUGCAUGAGGGAACCUUAUAGGCAUUAGAUCCAUAUAUUUCCUUUAUUUUUUCAUGUUUAUUUAUGUGAAGUAGACAAACUUGCAUGGAAGUUAUUUUCUCUCUGUUGUAUAUCCUUUGCAUCAAAGAAUCGAAUCCCUUCUAGAAUUCUAAAAUAUCAUUGUAUAGAUUACUCAGUGUGGAAACUUGCUACCUUUGAAGUUAACAGGGGAUGGCAGUUGUUGCAGCAAGAGCAACGAGAUUACCAAUUUAUUCUUCCUUUGCCAAAGAAGGCAAUCUUAGUGACCUGUUUGCCAAAGGGGAGGCAAUCUCAACUGUGUUCAAUGUUCUUGGAAUAGGGUUAGGGAUCCAGUUAGCAUCUACUAUUUGUUCAUCAAUUCAAGGAAAGGUAUAUAAUAUAAUAUAAUUGUGCAGUUAAAUCUCUUUUGUAAUCUUAUCUGCAGCUUGAAUGCUACAAGAUUUAUAGAUAACAAAACGGAAUUUAUUUCACUGGGUUCUAAAGAAAAAGCUUAUAAUGAUCUGUAACUUGUCGCAGAUGGUUGUUGGGCCUCUUUUAUCAGUUGUACAUGUAUACUGUGUCAUUGAAGAAAUGCGGGCAACUCCUGUGAACACACUUAAUCCUCAGAGGACUGCAAUGCUUGUGGCUGAUUUCAUCAAGGUGUGUUCGACCUUUCUCUAUCUUGGGGUGUGUGUGUAUAUACCUCUAGAUUUCUCACUUUAACCUGCUUUUUUAAAUCCAUUUCUAGACAGGAAAAGUAUCAAGCCCAGCUGACCUGAGGUAUAAAGAAGAUCUUCUCUUUCCUGGGAGACUCAUAGAAGAUGCUGGCAAUGUAAAAGUGGGGAAGUCUUUCCGCAAGGUGUUUAAGCCUUCAAAACUUGAUGAAUUAAAACAAAUAUUCCCAGACGAGAAGUUUCUUCUUAAUCCUGGAAAGAAAUCAGUUGACAUGGUAUUGGAGCACAGUGCUACUGGUGAAGAUGCCUUGAGGGGGUGGCUUGUUGCCGGAUAUGCAGCUGACAUGGAGAAGUCUUUUCAUGUUCCAACUUCAACUGCACUCGAAGAGGCUUAUGAGAAGAUGAAUGAUGUAUUUGGUCCAUUUAUUUCUGAACUUCAGGCCAAGGGGUGGCACACUGAUCGUUUUCUCGAUGGAACAGGAAGUCGUUUUGCUUGGUAGUUAUGUAAGCGCUAUGAUUCUUCAAGAUAUAGAAUUUCAUUGAUACAGGUAGGAUAAAAAAACAGGAACUCGUAGGCAAUUGUUCAGAGAAUCAGAAGACUUCUGUAACUUGUGUCAUUUUGUACUUGAUCACCCAUUGGUUUCAGUUGCAUUUAGGGUUUAACCUAAAGAUUUUUAUGAUCAGCAUCCCAUUCUACAAAAUUCCAGUGAUUUAACUAAUAGAAAUCUUUGUCAUCAGUCACAUUUUCAAACAUAAGAUCAGUGAUUGGAGAACUCGAAUCUCAGAGAUUGUCAUGCUCCUAAAUAAAAAGUUUCAAGCUUUUUGUAAAUCAAAUGCGAGUUGAAGGCUGCAGCGGCAUGCUCUAAGUUUAUAUAAAUAAUACUAUCGCAGAAGAUAGCAAUCUUUUUUCAGGGCCCUGAAGAUGCUCGAUCACUUUGAUUAAACUAAAGCUAAAGCUCCUAAUUCUUCUUUAAAGGUGUUCUUGGUGUUGCACGACAGAUCAGCCGACGUCUAAUAUAGAAUGCCAUUGAAACUUUCAUAAAGGUAGCCUUUGAAAAGAAAACCAUGCCUCAAUUCUUUUGGAUCAUGUUUUGAACAAGGACUCCAAUUGAACAGUACUAGCUACUAAGCAGAUUCGCUUUGGCUGCUUUGAUGGAUAUAUCCACCACCGCUUGAUUUUCAAAUUGAAGGAUUGUUAUCUUCGGUUUCGAGUACUAACAAGCUCAGUGACAGUCAACUAAUCCCACUUCGGUGAAGACUAAGGAAGCCAGAAAGUAUAAAUUAUAGAAAUGGGAGAGUCUUGAAUUAGAAAACACUGUUUUUCGAAGCUACAAUAUAUAUGUAAUAGUACAACUUUACAAGAGUAUAGACAACUUGACUAUGUAAUAAACUACAAUUCUACAAAUAGAGGAUACACCAUUGAAAGCAAUGAAGAGAGUAUUUGUUGAGUCGAAGUGACUUGUCUCUAAAAUGGAUCUUUGUAUACCAUCAGUAACUAGCUAGCUUGUUGAGUUGAAGUAAGAAUGUGCAUUAGCAAAAUAUUUGUUGUACAGAAGUGUUGAAAGAUUAUUCAGACUUUUCUCACUACAUUUUUUCCAAAUUAUGUCAGCCGAAUCAAUCAAUCAACCAUGAAACGAAAACAAUAGACAAGUUCUUGCCCAUCUCAGUAAACAUUUCAAAGUGGCACUCAAAACCUACACGCCACCAACUUAAUUUCUAAAUUAACUGUGAUGUUUAUUUUUCUCAAUUGCAGUAUUCCUCUAUGUUCAAAGUUUGAAUCUCUCAUUCAAAAAAAAUUUAAUACAAGGAAACAGGAAAAAGAAAAUCACAAGUAGCUAGCGUUUCUUCAUGCAUCAAAUAUUGUCUCUCGGUAUUGGUCGAUAAUCGAUAUAUAGUUGAAGUUGUCCAUUCCUAAACACACGUGCAAGUGUCAAAUUGAAAUAAGGUCUUCGAUUUAUGUAUCCAAAAAGAAUCUGUCAAAGAGAGCAGGUAAGCAGAAUUUAGAACAACAGAACAUACUAUCAGUUCUGGGAAUGAGUUGGUUGACGAUCAUGACUUUCCUCUUUCGUUCAGAAUAGUACUCCUUCACUUUGGAUAAUCUAUUUUCUCUCUCUCUCUCUCUCUCUCUCGGUGAGAAAAGUUCAAAAGUUAAUUUAUAGUUUCUGUACGUUGAACACCAGACUGGUAGAGCUAGUCAUGAAGUAUAUUCAUAUAUCACAAUUGACUAGCUAGCUUUGAUUUGAGAGGGCGGUGCAUGUCUUAAAACUACUUUAUGAUUUCAAUUAUUAGUUAGGAUCAUAUGGUCUGUAAAUUCAAAAGCUAGGUAUAAAUUAAGAAAGUGAUGACAUAUAGUGAGAGCUCAUCAAGAUUUUGGCUAUAUAUAUCUGAUAUGUUUAAUCAAAUGAUUCUUGGACACAAGAUUAGAUUUAGGUCUUAAUACAUUUAACCAGGAGGAGAAACUAGACAAAGUUUCAACACACAUGCAAUCUUAUUAUAAUGGUGCUCGUGAUGAGGAUAUUUUAUACGACUGAUCUAUAUCGAAGAAGAAUAUAUAUGAGAGUUUGAAACUGGCUGGCUACUUUAUUAUUCCUUCAGAUUCGACCUAAAGUUAAUUUAUCUGUGGAAGAUUGCUAUGCUCGAGUUGAUUAAUCUACUUAAACUAAUCAUAUCAUUCCUACCUAACUUAUGGAAGAGGCAGAAAUUAAGAUAAUAAUCGAUCAUAGAAAUUGAAAGAGUGGAGAAAUAUUCAUCCACCUCCUCCUUGAAUUCAGAAUUAUCAGCAUCCAAUGAGGUACUUAAUUCGGAUGCAUGGAAUUAAUGCUUUAAUUUGGAUUAUGUAAUGAUGGUUGAUAUAUAGUACCCUGGUCUUCAUAUUCAAUCGGGUGUGAUCAACAUGGUAAAUGGUAAUUAAACUACUAAUAAUAUAAAGGGGGGUGUGUGUGUGUGUAUAUAUAUAUAUAUAUAUAUAUUUGUUUGAUCCAUGCCAAUCGUAGCUUGAUCUAAUUAUACAUCAUUGUUAGCUUGAUUAUCAAAACUUAUGAUUUUAUGAAUGACCUAAUAACUUGAUAAGACAUAUUCAAAUACAGUAUUAUAGAGGUUCAGACUGAUCGAGUUUAUAUGCCAAAAACUACAUCCUAUGUAUAUUUUAAAAUUUACAGAUUAAACGAUUUUAGUAUAAUUAGAUGAUAUCAGAACCAAGAAAGACAUGAAUUCUACAACUCUGUUUGAGUUUUUUGGAAGACUGAAUCACAAUACUUUCGCAAUGUUGUUUCUGUAAGAGCGAGGAAGAGAAAUUUAUUAACAAAAGUUGGUGCAACUUAUUUGAAGGUGUUUGUGACAUCACUGCAUGAGUAAGUAAUAACCAGGCUAUAUAUGAUCGAUCGGGCUUGCUUUCCGGCCAUAUAUUCGAUGUACAUAAUGCUAAUUUGACUAAUUGAUAUAUCAUCAGCUCCACUACUACUCAAACAUAGUUAUCAUCAGCUACCACUACUACUACUUAAUGUAGUCCAAGUUGACGGAGAAACGCACACUAGCUAAAUUACUUCUCGCCUGGUUAAUAAUAUUUAGUUUAGUUCAACUUGGUGAUCGAUCCCAUCAUGAAAUUUCUGGCUGGUAAUUGUCAUAUUCGGGCAUUGGUCCCACGUUCAAAGUCGGCAUUAGGGUUUGAAAAUCAUGCGCAUAAGAUACAACUUAAAUCCAACCUAGGUAGUAAAAUAUGAAGCUAGAUGCAUGUAAAGUAAUAUUUCCCCGUUGUUUAAUCUAUCGGUGGCUUUUUUUUUGACAUGCUAGUAAGUUUUCUAUGUAUAUUAUUGUUUUCAUUCAUAAUAGAAAUUUCAGUACUCUGGAUUUAUGACAAUUUUUGAAGAAAAUUUUAAGUAUUGGUUCAAAUUCUAAUAUUGGCAUAUAUAUACGUACAAAAACUAGUUUCAAAAAACUUUUAAUCCUCGGCUGAUGACUUGAUUCCAAUAUAUUCUGCAUUUUUAGGUCAUUCUCUUGACAUUCUGAUCAAGGAAAUUAUAGCUACUUAUUUUAACCAAUCUUGCUAGAUCUACACUCUAAUUCUCGCUCUAACUAUAUAUAUUGCCGCCAUAUAUAUGUUUGUCAUUUUGCUAAACAAUAACAUGCAAAUUAACUAAAUCAAGUUAACUUGGUCUACACUCCACACAGACAUUUGUCUUCGGCAGUACAUCCAACAUUGAACCUACAGCUGCUAGAUAUUUGGAUGCAUCAAUUUUGUCGGAGGGCAAGUUUUGAAUGUGAAAGCAUGUAAUGAAAUAUUGUUUAGAAUCAGGUGUCGACCAUUAGCUCCUUUCAUCCAUCUAAUCGUUUCAUCAUGUUAAACAGAUUAGGAAAGAAAGUUACUCGAGGAUGCUAUAUAACCUAUAUAUAGAUUCUCAAAAAGAAAGAUAACAAUUAAGGGCUAUGACUCGUAGAAAUGAACUAAAACCAUCAUAUAUAUGAUUAAUAUAACGAUAAUGGUUUUGAAUCAAUUCUGUUGAUUUAUAUAUGGACAUAUAUAUUACACACAUGGAUCACAAUUAGAACUGUAUGAGUUAAUAGAUUUAUUAUCCCUAUCUUGGAGCUAGCACAGCGUCUGAAGAUCAUCAUCGACUCAUCAUCGUGCUGGUAUUCUGAUUUCACAAUUUGAUUGCAGGCAUGCACCAUGGUUAUAUUCUUUGGCGAAUUGUAGAUGUCAUUCAGUUGCACAUUAUGUCCAUUUGUGAUCAAAGCAUAGGUUGAAUUUGUGAUCAGCUUAGAUCCUCUUGAAGAGAUUUCACUAAACUCGAUUAAAGAGCUAGAUUUCUCUUCAUCCAUUUAAAUUUUUUUUUUUCUCUCAAAGAGAUUAUUCUAUUCGGUUCGAGCAGAUACCUCAAGAAUAAUAGUGGUAGUGUGCAUCUAAGUGGUAGGAUUCCAUGAUUCCAAAGCGUUACAUCACCUCAAUUUUACCACUUAAAUGCACGGUAAUUCUUGAUCAAAAAUCAGAAAUGAUGAAUAUUCAAGAGCAUAUAUGGAGAGUAGCAAUAAUCCUUUACUCCCAUUGACUGGCACACAAAGAAUUUUCACCUCGGUUUCAGGCCAACACAUAUACCCCCACGUGUUCUAAUCUGCCUCCACCCCACAUAUGACGUCUACUUGAAAUUUCCUAUGAAAAAGAAAGCGGGUCGGAUCCAGUUAACGCCCGUACUUGAAAUUUGUACUAUUCCGUUUCGUACAGCACACCUUCACUUCAAGUUUUCAACUUUGGGGUCGUCACACACGACUCGCCAUAUCUCUAUAUAUACCCCUCCCGGCUCUCAUUUCCCUUUAGCUUCCUUUUGCGUCUUCUUUCCUAGCUAGCUCAUUGUCCUCUCGAAACUCAAACAGCAUUUCCCAACUCUCCAACAAUGGUGAGAGCUCCGUGCUGCGAGAAGAUGGGGUUGAAGAAAGGGCCGUGGACUCCCGAAGAGGAUCACGUUCUCGUCUCUUACAUUCAGCAGUACGGCCAUGGCAACUGGAGGGCGCUUCCCAAACUCGCCGGUGAGUUAUUGGUUUGCUGAUGAGUGAUUAGUUACACGGAUGUGUGAUUGUGGAUCUGAUGUAGUACUGUUUGAACUGACUCGAGUGCUGGGGCUUUCUUUUUGUAGGGUUGUUGAGGUGUGGGAAGAGUUGCAGGCUCCGGUGGACGAAUUAUCUGAGGCCGGAUAUCAAGAGAGGGAAUUUUAGCAGGGAGGAAGAGGAGGCCAUCAUCAAUUUGCAUCAAAUGUUGGGGAAUAGGUAUGAACUUGUCUUGAUCCAUCUCUCAUGAUUCAUCAAGUUUCCUUGUUUGUUAUUUGGUUUGGUUUUCUUAAGUUCGUGAAGAUUGACGAGGUUUUGUUUUUGGGGUAAAUGGGGUUUGAUUUCAUUUUCAUGGUUCCCCAUGGAUGUUUAGUCCAUUUGAUUUGAUUUAUCAAGUAUUUUAAGCUUAUUUAAGUAUUUAUCACUAAGAUAAUUUUACUCGAAAUUAAACUAAUAUAUUUGGUUCAGUGACAUAAUGUCAUAAUGUCAUCUGUAUAAACGGAAGAUCGUGACAGUAGACCGACAGUACAUUUUGUGUUGCCGACAGUACAUUUUAUUUGAGAAAACUGCAUUGGAACUGGAAAAUAAUUAGUCAUGACUCAUAAGAAACCUUCUCAAAAAAAAAAAAAAAAAAAAAAAAAAAUAGUCACAAAGAAAAAUCUUGUGCUGCCGACGUUUCUCGAUGGAUAGUGAGACAGGGUGGGACUGGCCAGAUUCCUUCUUCGCAUAACUUUCUCAUAUAGUACUUAGGUUUAAAAACAAAACCAACACGUUUCUCAAGACGUUAAAAACCAGCACACAUCCAACAUCACACUUUGCUUGGUGCAAUAUAAUCAUUCAUGUGACAGAAACAAAACAAGUAUUUAGUAAUCCAUAUGCAUUCUACCUUUCUAACUUAUCCUUAAUCUGUAUUUUGGUCCUUCCUACUUAGAAUCCUCAGAUGGUCAGACAAUUGCAGACAAGUAUUGGCCGGUCGCACAGACAAUAGAAAUAAAAAACGUUUAGGCACACCACUAGAAAAGAAGACUACAACAUACAACGACGAGUAGUCCUACCACCGACCAACGAAGACACUAAGGUCGAAGUUACUCCGANNNNNNNNNNNNNNNNNNNNNNNNNNNNNNNNNNNNNNNNNNNNNNNNNNNNNNNNNNNNNNNNNNNNNNNNNNNNNNNNNNNNNNNNNNNNNAAUCUUGUGCUGCCGACGUUUCUCGAUGGAUAGUGAGACAGGUGGGACUGGCCAGAUUCCUUCUUCGCAUAACUUUCUCAUAUAGUACUUGGUUUAAAAACAAAACCAACACGUUUCUCAAGCGUUAAAAAACCAGCACACAUCCAACAUCACACUUUGCUUGGUGCAUAUAAUCAUUCAUGUGACAGAACAAAACAGAUUUGAAUCCAUAUGCAUUCACCUUUUCUAACUUAUCCUUAAUCUGAUUUUGGCUUCCACUUGAAUCCUCAGAUGGUCAGCAAUUGCAGCAAGAUUGCCGGGUCGCACAGACAAUGAAAUAAAAAACGUUUGGCACACCCACUUGAAAAAGAAGCUCAACAUCAAGCAGAGUCCUACCACGCCAGAAGCACUAGGUCAAGUAUCCGAACCCGAAUUACCUAAACCCGAAGAUGCUUCAUGUCAUGCAAAAUCCGAAAGCUUCGAAUAUGGCCCGGUUUCUCCACCUCAAUGUACUACUUCAAGUGCUGAUGAUACUUCCUCCUUCACCACCAGUGAGAACAACAACAGUAGUAGUGCUAACAUGGGCAUGAACGUCGACUACGAAGUGAGUUUGCCCGAAGCAGACGAGAGUUUUUGGUCAGAAGUACUAUCAGCUGAUCAUAACAGUCCCAAUGAGUUAGUGAGUAGCCAUUUUGGUGAUCAGGCGAUUGGUGCAGCUGAAAAUCCACAAGUGAACACAAGUAUGGAUUAUGGUUUUAGCGGCUCAAAUAUGUACGAAAACUGCAUGGAUUUUUGGUACGAUGUUUUCACAAGAGCGGGGGAAAUUCCAGAAUUGCUAGAUAUAUGAAUACGGUCGAUCAGGAAUGUUGUUUUGUAGUUUUGUUUUCAUUUAGUUGGGAACAUGGAAUUUAAGGUGUUGCUCAUGCAAGUCCGAACUCUUUGACCCUUAAAAAUGAGGCUAUACGCGUUUCAACGCUGCACAAGUAUAUAUAUUGUUCGAUCAAUUUUGUCGGAAGGAAUAUUUGUACUCCUAGUUUUUAACGAUCAAAGCAGUCAUUCUUGAACAAACAACACCAAAUAGACAAGUUACAUUCAUGGUAUAUACACAAAAAAGACAUUCUCAAUUGGCCAUAGCAUAUUCUCACUACCACAAAAUGGAGCAAAGGCCACACAUGUUAUGUGGGCAAUAGGGGUGUUGCAAUCUCAUAAAAUCUCAUAUAUGUGACAAUUUUCUCUCAUUCUUCACUAAUACCUUCAUUUGCCACACUUAUAGGAAAAUGCAACACGUCUAUUGCUCACACAAGAUAUGUGACUUUUGCUUCAUAUUGUGGUAGUGUCUGGUUAACAAUUAUGGAAAAAGUAAAAGAUGUUUUCGGUUCAUUCUCAAUUUCUCAGUACCACACCGGCCAAACCACCGAUUUAUAACUUGACCUAACAGGAUCUCAAAUUCUGGCCAUGUCGAUACUCGAUAGCGGCCGGUGACUUUCUAGUUUUGUCCAAACUACUCCAAACUAGUGACUUAGGACGGCAAACUAAUGUCCAUGUGGAAACACAGUACUAUUAUAUAAAUUUCUUUUGUUACUGUUAUUUUGCGACUGUAAGAACUUUUUAUGACUGUAAAAUAAUUUUCUGCGACGGAAAAUUGACGUUGCAAUUAGUUUAAAAUCUAUGGUUUCACGGGUCUUCAUCAUUUUUCGAUUAAUUCAAGUUUUCAACCAUAGUCUAAGACAACCAAAUAUCAUCUACUCUUCAAUUUACAUGAUCAAUUACAGACUUAUGAGUUUUCUAUGACUAAUUGGUGAAGAGAUCUUUUGUGAGAUGGAGAUCUUUUGUGGAAGAUAUGAAUGUCAACUUUACUCUUAGGAUUGAUAUAAAGAUAGUGAGUGACUACCAAGUGCAUGGUCCGACUGAUCGAGUAUUCGAGUAGAGAUAUGGAAACCAAGUUGACAUCUUCUAUAUAUUGAGUGGAACAUUGUCUAAACUAGAAGACAGGCCAGGCUCAUGUAUUUUUAAAGAAGCCAACUUUAUAUUGCUGAUAGAUACCAUUGUUUUUAUAUAAUUAAUCUUUAGUUGGAAGCAGUAACUUUCUUUUCGGUCUCGGCUGCUCUCCAGUUUGAUCAGUUGGAGGAAGGAUGUGCUAGGAUGGAGUUUCAGCUCGUGUUUGUUACUUUGUUUUUCUGUGAUAAUAAAACAAUAAAGUAGCAUUUCAGGUACUUCACCAUUUUCUUAUCCUAACACCACCUUGUUAAUGUUAAAAAAUCUAUGCGGAUUACUCAUCAGUUACGUAGUUCGAUCUUCUAUUAUAUUGUAUCAUUCAACUAAUUAACAGAAAACGUGAAAAAUUUUGGUUUAGGCCUCAUUUGCUAUUGGCUCCACAUUCCACUUAAAGAGCAUGAUUUCAGUACAGUAGAUUUCAUAUUAAAGCUGGAGUUAUCAUUUUAUCAACUAACCAAUUUUAUAAUGUAAACCUGGAUAACUUUCAUUUCAGUGUGCACUAGAACAAAACAUAAACGUGCUGGCUCUUAAUUUGAUUUGCUUUAAUCCCAAGAAAAGUUUGUUCGGAUUUCGAUUUUGAUCAGAAUCUCUCUAAAACUCCACUAGAGAGCCUCCAUGGCUCCAUAAAAGGGUUAUACGUACGAGAGUUCAAAGCAUCUCCGAGUCUGCUGUUAACAACUCAAUAUGCAUAUUGACCUCUCAAUAUGCAUAUGCAUAUUGGAAGAAAGUGGCAAAGAUUGAACCCAAGCUCUUGUAGCAGAUCCGUCUCCCCCUUUAGCUAGAGAAUCAACCAUGAAAUUGACCUCCCGCCGAACAUGAUUAAAAGAGAUGUGCUGGAACCAAGUGGCUAAUUAUCAGAUAUCAUUCACAUUUCACAAUUGGCUUUAAUCUCCAAGGAACUUGAACACCUCCAUUGAUACUAUUAAGGGUAAAAUAUUGUAUAAUCCUUGUGGUUUGAAGUCUACAUCUGUUUAGUUUUUAUGGUUUUAUUUUAAUAUGAAUAAUCCUUAAAGUCAUGAUUUUUCAUCUAAAUAGUCCUUAUGACAUUUAACUGAGAAAAUGAAUCGGAAUGACUAUUUGGAUGAAAAAUCAUGACUUUAAGGACUAUUCAGAUUAAAAUAAAAUCACAAAGACAAAACAGAUAUCGAUUUCAAACCACACGGACUAAACAAAUUUCAAUUCUACUAUUAAUCAGUAUAUUAGAAUCUCUUUCAACCACCAAAGACCAAAAACCAUGCAAAUAGGUUGUCAUAAGACAUGCACGAAAGAAAGACCCUCAGCAAGCAAAAUGUCUUGCACAUGAAGACUAUUAGAAGCAGCUAAAACCGGGGUACCACUGAGUCUCGAAACACAAAACCACCAGCAGCUAGCUUUCCCGUCAGCCAACACAGAACCAUCAAAGUUUAAUGGAGGUUUCUAAACAGUUACCUUGGAGUUACAUCAAGCAGUAACUAGGUCAGGAUUCACUCAAAGAUAUACAUAGAGACAAUUCACAUUAACAUGAAUAGUGGAACAUGGAUUAAAUUCCUUACCUCAAAAGAUAUAAUCAUUACGAUCUCUCGACAAAUAAUAAGACUGAUUUUAAACUAGUCCAAAAGCAAUACCAUGAUCCUGAGAAUUAACCGUUAAGGUACACUACUAGAAGAAAGACUUUAGCCAACGAAAAUAAAAAAACCAGGCCGAUGAAUUAUUUUUUCGUCAGCUAAUUAAAAAUUUUCGUCGGCUAUGGUCAACUUUAGCCGACGAAAUUAAAAUUUCGUCGUNNNNNNNNNNNNNNNNNNNNCUAUUGUGAUAUCUUUCCGAAAGCGUAACGGCCUUACGAGUCAAACUCAUCGCUAAUGCCAUGACAUAUGGGCCUUUUUUGGCCAUUCGAGUCCGUUUAGGCUUCAAAAUGCUAGUUUUCUUUAUUUCUGAUUAGAGUUGACCGUUUUGAUCGAGCCCUUAACGUUGUCGAAUCCAGUUGUAAUUUUUUUUACCAUAGACAUCUUUCGUCAUAAUGAUCAUAUCUGACGUCGAAUUUUGGUUUGUAAAUUUUAGUCAUCAGAAUCACAACGUGUCUUCUAUUUACCGUUAUUAUUCCCUAUGGGGAGCCCUAUCGUCGGAAGGUAAAUGUCUCAAAAUUUUUAUAUAGGCGGUUGCGUCUCAUCUACAUGAAAGUUUUUCGUGUGGAAGGUUUGAUCAAACUACGUAAUAUAGAGGGAGAUAUGAGCGUUUUCGUGAAUUUAUAGAGUUUAGCCGACGAGAUAUUAAAAAAGUCGUCGGCUAAGGUCAAAAAUUUUUGGGCGGUAAACCAAAUUUGGAGGAAAAUUUUCAAAUGACUUUAGCCGAAGAAAAUAUAUGAUUUCGUCGGCUAAAAUCGAAAAAUUUUCAAAAUUUUCAACCAAAAUUUUUUGGCGGUCAACCAAAAUUUUCAAAAUUUUCAAAAGAGUUUAGCCGACGAAAAUAAAGAAUUUAGUCGGCUAAAGUUCUUUAUAUAGGAGUUUUACUGAAGGUGGAUGGUAAGAAGUCUGUUUCGCCUGCCAGAUUUUCUUCUCGGCCUAGCUCCGCCGUCAAGCCACCGGAGACCGCCACACUUGUCCCAAAAGUUUCGCCGUCGUCUCUACUUCAUUGCUGGACAGGUGGUGCAUCGAGUGGGGCCGCCAUGAGGGAUAAAUCGAGCUCUAAAACUCCGCCGGUUCGGAUUCGGUGUCGAUCGAAUUUCUCCUUCCUCAGGUCACCAUUUGGUGAGUUCUAUAUAUGGAUAAGUUGAGUUUGAUUAGUACUACAUUCCCCAAGAAUUUGGUAGCUCGAUUCGGUGUGUGUGAGGAGAAUCGAAGAUUUGAAGUUUAUAGGGUUUACAAUUGGGGAUUUUUAUAUUUUGAUUCAAUUGACCUGUUUAGGCUUAGAAUUGGGCUUCGACUUCUUCUAGAAAGUUGUUCGAAAUGUUGAGAGGAAGAUUCUGUCAAAUUUUGGUGGUGAUUGAAGGUGGCCGAAAGUUUCUGCAGUUUUUUUUUUUUCAAAAACCAGCAACUUUAGCCGACGAUAUUUAAAGGUUUAGCCGAUGAUAUUUAAAGGUUUAUUCGUCGGCUACAGUAUUUUUAAAUUUUUUUAUAAGGUUUAGCCGACAAAUCAUGGCCUAUUUUGUCGGCUAUAGUUAUUUUUUAAUUUUUUUAUAAGGUUUAGCCGACGAAACAUACUAUAUUUCGUCGGCUAUAGUCUGGGAAAAAAACCGACGACAUGUUUUUCGUCGGCUAAACUGCGGGACUAUAGCCGACGAAAUUUUUUUUUUCGUCGGCUAAAGUCAUCACAGACGACCUUUCCGACGAAAUCUUAGCCGACGAUGGCUCGUCGGCUAAGAUCUUAGCCGAUGAAUUAAGCUAACAGGCCGAUGAAAAUUUUUAGUCGGCUAAAGUGUUUGUCCUGAUAGUGGUAAUCAACGCUCAAAAGUGAAACCAAAAAGAGGAAUCACAAGAUGAGGAAACAAUCACGUCCAAAUAUGCUUGGUAGCAACACAUUGAAAGAAAAGAUGCUCAAUGGUUUCAAAAGAGGAAUCACCAGAUAGGAUAGUUAAGAUUUUUCCCUAGGUUGAGAAGUAUAAAUAGAAUCUCUAGUUGGAAGUGGUUGCCUAAAAAGCUGCCAAGCAUACACUUUUAUUUUAUGGGGCAAAUUCAAUUUCCACAUCUUAUUUAACAGUUUAGAUUUAGAGUGUGCAACCGUGUUCCGUUUUAAUAAUCUGCAGCAGAUUUCAAAGAGAAUUUCCCGUUUGCCAGUGAGUGUGACGCCCCAAAUCAACUCAUCUUGGAUAGCAAAUUACUGGAUAAGGACAGCUAAAAUGUGUCACAAUUUCAGCAUUCCAUUCACCGUAUAUCAUAUAAUCAACCACAUAUUCAUUCACGAUAAGCGUAUUCCUAUUUGUUUCAGGAAUGAGGGAACCGAAUCAAAAGGAUCACACCAAUUAAAAAGCCAGUAUAUAAUAUUGCGUGAUUGCGUCCAUCCCUAAGGCUCCAACGACAACCAUCAAUCAAAAUAUGUAUGGAAUCAAUAUACCCUUUCAAGCUAACAACUGCAAGGUAGUCUAGUGGUUCUUGUCUAGUUGGGUAUGCUCCUCAACCUAGGUUCGAACCACGACACUGUCAAAAGUGGUCAGUGGAGGGGGUACAAUGCCUUGCUGAAUGUCUGGGCUCCCAGUGGAUUAGUCUUUGGGUCUAGGAAUGUCACACCCCGUUCCCGACGUUGGCAGGUUUUAAGCACCGGACGCCGAUUCCGAGGUGUGAACGAGUGUUACAAAGCGGAAUAAAACAAAAUCACUAUCUUCCAGGCUCGUCGGCUACCCUUUUCCAGCUCGGUACAACCUAAGUAUUUUUUCCGCAAAAAAAUUUCAGAGAUGGGUGAGUGAGCAAAACCACGCGCUCAGUGAGUAGACCAAUGUAAUAUGCCCGCAAAGCCAUGUCAUUUUACCCACGCUACAAAAUACAUAUAUCGUAUACACAUCACUUCACACAAUUCAUCACAUCGCACAAUCCCUUCUUAUUGGAUAUCCUUCAAUUUAGUGAUUCCCACGGGAACCUAAUGACCUUCAAGUCCUAUACCUCCGUGUGUCACAUCCUUACUUCAGCAUAACCAAUCAAAAAGUUCACAUGUUCCAUGACUAGACAAACAAUGGAUCCAACACAUAAUUAUAUAUAAACUCCAUAUAUUUCGUAAAUCGACAUGCUUCACUAUGAAAAUAGAGAGAUAUUUCAUAAAUAGAUCAAAAUCAUGUUUUUGACUAUUUUAAUAGCAAAUAAGAAUAUUUGAAACAUAUUACACAAAUCCACUCACCUCGAUAAUUCGAAUCCUCACCAAGAAUAUUGAUCGUAAACCGAGCCUCCUAAAAUGAGCCAUCUAGAAAUCACCGUUGAAUCACUAAAUUGAAGGAUAUCCAAUAAGAAGGGAUUGUAGAUACGAUACGAACCCGUGCCCCUUCGUAGAUUUAAAAUCGGAGUUACAGAUCAAAAGUUAUGAUCUGUCGAAGUUUAGUCGUAAAAUUAAUUCGAGAGAGAGAGAGAAAAAAAACAGAGGAGAGAGAGUGUAUAUGAGACAGAGUAAUUGAAGUGAGAAACAGCUGAUUUGAAACAUACAUAGACUAGGAGUACCGACACUCAGAGUCGGGUAAAGACUUCCACUAAUAGGAAAGUGACACUUGUCACUUCCACACCAAACCAACUCACCACAAACAUGACUCAUGUUGCAUGAGGAAGUCAGCUGAUCCCUUUCCAAACUGCAACGUGUCACCAAAAACAGCCUAUAGCAACUCGCCACGUCAGCACUCGAAUCGAUUUCGACGAAAGUUUGACGAAACUUUAAAAAAUCGUUAAAAAUAGCUCGGGAGUCUGAAAAAUUCACCGAAAAAUACGGCGAACUCGUAGCGACCUCUACUUUCUAUUUCUAAGAAGAAAAAUCAAUUUUGAGAAAUUUCAAAAUUCAGGAUAUAACAAGGAAGCCUAGGAUACCAUGAUCUUGAAUAGAAAAAAAAAUUAAAAAGAAAAAGAAAAAAAAAAAAACCUUCCAAGCUAAGGAUGAAGAAGACCUUUUGGGCCAUACUAACAACCUUAAAAAUCACACUAAAACAUUAAAAGUAAAUCAUUUACGUACUUGGUAAAAGUAGUUUAAGCAAAUCAAUGGUCUCUUCCUCAUGAAAUAUUUGAGUUGAGCUACCGUUAAAUAUCUCAAAGUUUUGCAAGACUUAAUUGAUAUGAUCAUAAAGCCUAUGAGCAUAUAUUAAAUGGCAGGGACAUAAACUUAAUUAUGAGCUUGCACUAUAAUGAAGAGCUUGUAACCAAUUAAAAUCAAUCUACACAUCAUCUUGCACAUACCCACCAUGGACUUUGGUUAUCUUUUGAGCCUUUUUUUUGAAAGGUUGAGCCAUUGUUUGUGUUAGGAAGAUGAUGAUAGCCGCAGGGGCAGAGCUACUAUUAAUUGGGUUUGACGGGGUUCAGACCCCUGACAGCUUUUUCAUAUACACAGCAAAAAUAGAGAUUAUUCUAAUCAACUAAUGAUAAUAGUAGGUAUUUACUCAAAAUGAACCCCCCAAAGAUCCCACCUCUUGAAACCUUACCCACGUGAUAUCAUCAUUUUUGUAAUGGAAAUACACUCAAUAAAAAAUAAUAACGACAAAAAUUAAUUUAGAAAUAAGUGUUAGAAUAGGAUUAGAAAGUCAAAGUAACAUUUAACAAUAUAUCAAUAGGAAUUCUCACAGUUCUCACAGUAUUUGAGUAACUCUACCCAUUAUUUUGUUAACAAUAGCAAUAACCAUUUCAGUACCUCUAUUUUUUUUUAGUACCUCUACACAUUAUGAUUGUUGCAUUAUUGAUUCCGGUGUUUAAAAACUUUAUAUUAGUAUUAUGUUAUUAUAUUUUCAAUUUUAACUUAUGAUAUAGUAAUUGAGUUAUACGACCGAAUGAUCGGUACAUUUUUUUUUCCGGUAAUGAUCAGCACUUCAUAUAUGAACCCCCUCUAUGAUAAAUUCCUAGCUCCGCCACUGGAUAGCCGAUCAUUUGGGUUUUCAUCCUUCAGUUCUCUAUUAUGGUAGAAGAAAGCUUCUUAGGGUGAAGGUGUCUACCAAUCAUACAUUGCUUCAUAAGUUUUUCUUUGAUAUCUUCCUGUUUCAUCAGUUAAGCCCAGUUAUAUAGAAUAUGAGAACAACUAAUUUUUUUUUUUUUGGAAUCAAAUGUCCUUCGACUUUCAAAUUAAUCAAAUCAAAUGCAUAAGCCAUAAGUAGCCAUUACAUACCCUGCCACUACCAUUUACAUAUAGAUAAACCAUUUACAUAUAGAUGAAGACUUGUCAGUCGAAGCUCAUAUUGGUACAUAUGAUAAGACUAUACAUCUAUCGUAUUCACUCACUUAUCUAGUAAGUCUAUUGUUAUAACCUCAUGCAUAGAAAUAGGCUACGUCUAACUAGCAACAACUUAAGCACCAAUUGAAUAGUUCAAGUAGAACUAAUCCCAAUCUGCUUAGAUGUCACACCCCGGACCCGGUGUCGGUGGUUUCCAAGCACCUGACGCUAAACCCGAGGCGUGAGCGGGAAAAGUAAAAGAAACUAAAACAAUUUCGAUCAAAUACUUUUCUCGAAAUAAAAGAAAAUAAAACAUUUACAAUAACAAAAACAGUUACAAAAACAUAACAGGCAGGCUUGCGAUCUAUCUCACUUCUAAUCUUCCGUAACCCUUCUACACUCUGGUACACGUCAGCUAAACGUAUUGUUCGACUUCACGAAAGACGUGGCGUGCCUUGUACAAACCUGAACAAAUUUCUAUAGGGGUGAGCUUAUGCUUAGUAGGGCCAAACCUUUUUAAGGUUAUUGUUAACUACGUCGCACAACCAAGUUAUCAAACAAUCAAACAAUACCUUAAAUAUAUAACGACAAUGUGAUGCAUUUAUGCUAAUGAAUGACUUCCUCAAUUACUGGCAAUCAGUCCAUACAUCAAAGACAGGUGAGCCUACACGUCUCAUGCCAUGUAUUUUACCAACAAGGGGUGACUCAAAUGUCUCAAAUAUAUGAUCUAAAAAUCAGUAAUAUCUUACCACCUGUACCUCUUUUGUUAGUCAUUUUGUUAUAUUCAUGGUCUCAAAACCCGAAACCCGAAAGAUUGUUUUAUCGAUGUCCGUCAUCGAAGGGGCAUAUUUUCCCCGCAUUUGUGCACGUGUGGGCUACCUUGGAUCUUGGACAACCUAUGAGGAAACUCAACUACACAAAAUGUAUCUAUUCUAUCAAUCUCAUUCUCAUCUCAACAAUCACCAUUCUCACUAAUCUCACAAUUCCUCACAAUGCAUUAUGUAUGCAAUCAAAUAUCAAAACUCGCAUCAUAAUUUUCAAUACAUGCUUUUCUGAUAAGUGAAAACAUCGAUAAUAUAAAUAACAUAUUACACAUGCUUUUAAAAAAACAAUAACAACCAAUAGUUAAUCACUCAAUGACACACAAAACAACAAUGUCAUUUAUAACUCUAUUUACCGAUUUAAAGAAAGGUUCCUAGAGAAAGACCUUACCUGGAAUCCAAGCUUUGAUCCGACGCUAAUUAAAAUUAGUAACGCUGCGACACACUUCUAAAAUCUUUAUCCUUCUGCUUGUGUAAUCUUGCGACUUGUUUUUGAUCCUCGUACCAAAUCCUCAUAAUUGCUUUGGGCACCCGAAAUAAGUUUCCAACAGGGGUGCGUUUAUUGCCACCCCACAAACCACUUUGAUCAUCCCACACGUUGUUGAUUUAUUGAAUGACUAAUAUACCCUAAUGUAAAAUUACAACAAGGGACAAUAAGUUGUUACAAAUUACAAAUAUAUAUAUAUUUUUUUAGAUAAACACAUACUUCAUAAACCUUAACCUAUAAUUUAUCAUAUUCGAUCUUUCUAUGAAGUCUGAAAAAGACACUAGCAUUCAACUCAAGAUGAGAUGAAUUGUUUGUAUUUUUUUUUCUUUGUUGAAGUUUCGUCUAUCUCUUUACUCAUUAUUUCUCAUAUCGAUUUUGUAUGUAAAUUUUCAUAUCUAGUCGCUCACUUAUAUAUAUUCGAAUUUUUUUUUCCAUUGGCCUCAAAGCUUUUUCCAAGUAGUGUUUACAUACAUUAUGCAUCUUGAUAUCGACAUAUACCAAUAAGUUGUUAAGUUUGAGAGUUUUUUUUUGUUCUUUAAUUGAGAUUUAUACUUUAAUGUGAUUUUUAUUGUUUAGUUUGUGAUUCCACUUAUCCAAAUGAUAUGAAUCUUAUAGUUUUCUUCAAUUUCAUUUUGUUUUUGGAGUUCAAUGGCUAUUGGAAGAGGAUGAUAUUGUGUGUAUUACAAAUCGGUGAAUAAAGUAAAUUAAAAAUUAAAAAUUAAAUAAGCGGGGUAAGAAGAGAUCGAAUGUAGGGUGAACAAAGUAAAUCUGAAAUUGAAAAAAAUAUAUGUAGGGUGAAAAAAGAAUUUAGGGUGAAUAAAACAAAAAUGGGAAAAGAGUAUUUUAGGUAUUGUAAAUGGGUGAACAAAGUAGACUUACAAUUAAAAAUAUAUAAAUAAGGUGUGAAGAGAACGUGGGGUGAACAAAAUGGUUUGUGGGGUGGCAAUAGACGCACCCUUCUAACAGUUUUCUGAUUCCAUCAUCGAAUCUCUAUUGCGAUCCUAAUGCCGAUCCAAAUCUCCAAAAUUACUAUAGACACUCCAAAUUCUCAAGCUUUCCAAAAUAGCUUCAAUUAAACGUUUUCUUGAUCAUUAGUAAGUACCCUUACUUACUAAAAUGAAUCAACUAGCUUUGUCUUCUCCCUUGAACCAUAUCUUCUUUGUAAUCAAAAUGAAGUUGUAAACAACAAAAGUCACCUACUAACACCAUCCCCACCUUAAUCAACUUCAAAAGAAUGACUUCUGAUCAUCAUCAACUUUCCAGCUUUCUAAUGUCCAAGUAUAGCAAUACUAAUUACACAGUAAAGCAUGAACUUGGCAUUUGCCGUACCCUGCCAACACCAGUUCAAUAAUCAACUUUCAAUAUCUAACUUCCAACAUCAAGAACAACGAUUUCCUUUCUCAAAUAUUGUUGCAAAGCCAACAUAAACCAAACUUCUUAAAACUGCUAAGGACACCCAAAAUCAUUAAAGAAACCAGUAAACACCAACAGAGCAGUAGAACCCCAAAAUUCAUAUCCUUCGAAUCUUAACCAAACUGAAAAAUAAUUAUACUUUUUGGUAGUGGUUGACAAGCAGACCAUAUUUGAUACCUGAAUCGAAACUCAACUUCGCCGGAAAACCAAGAACACACCAUUUUAGUAUGGUGUCGCUGUUGCAGCUGACACUAGCAUCAUAGCAGCUGACACUAGCAUCAUAGCAGCUGACACUAGCAUCAUAGGAGCUGUCUUAGCCACUGACACCGUCAUUAUAGACGCCACCAUUGAUACAAGUACUGUUGUCUUCGUCGAAAACCCAAUACGCCACCACUAAGAUCCAUGGCUUCUUAUCAAAAACACAACGCUCUAGAAAGUCGGCUUCACUAUUGAACGUAGGUGCCCAAAAAAUAUCAUGUACAACAUACAAUCCAUCAGAAACCUUGAAUAGCUUCUAUGAACGACGCCAGGCCAAACCAACCUGAUUUAAUUCGACCUAUAUACCUAGAAUAUUAUCACCAUGAACCACCACGUUAUCCCUUAAAGAUAGAAAGAAGGAAGAGCUGACUAAAGAUAGCCGCCUCGAUAGAUGAGAGGCUGGGGAAGGCCACCUUGAUAGAUGGGAGGCCUGGGAAGGCCUCCUUGAUAGAUGACAGGCCGAGGAAGGCCACCUUGGUAGUAUCCUGACGUAUUGACCGCUAUGGUUUAGAGAGAGCAUAUCUCUUGUCAUCAUGAUGUGAAAAUCAUGUACAUUAUACUCUAUAAUAAGGCAAAGAUGUCAUUAAAUUAAAAUCUAAAUCACAUACGAGAACAACACAUCUUUAAAUUGAAAAACUAGUUAUAUAAAUUAUAUCCCGAUCUAUGAAUUUGAUGAUUCAAAAGAAAUCAUAUGAUUUUCAGUAUUCUACUCCAGCUUGAAGGAUAUAAAAAUUAGGAAAAGCGCUUGAUCGUGACAGGUGUCUUCUUUUGUAGUUUACAGUCUUGGUUUCUAUCUUUUAAUUUGGACUUAUAAUUGUAACGUUGCAAUAUGUUGUCUAAAUUUGUUUAUGUCUCACUUUUGUUGAAGCCAUAUAUAUCUUAGUAGGAAAAUGGUAAAGACACCAAAUAUAUAUACAAAAAUUGAUUACCAAAUGAUGUGGCAUACCACCUCAUCAAUAUUAUUCCAAAAUUUUAAUGACAUGGUUUAUUUAAUUUCAAUUCAAAACACCAUGUUUUUAGAAAAUAUAUUAUAUAUUUUAAAACUCCAAAAACAAACUAAUUCCAAAUAUUGUUGAUUGUUGAAAGCAUUCCAUCAGAUCUGAGUAUUGCUGCAGUUUUGUAAACAACAUAUUAUUUGUCUUUUUCAAUCAUGUCUUUCAUCUUGCUCUAUGGUUUUUUUUCUUUUUUUUUUUCUGAAUGAAUCUGCUCUAUUCCUUGAGAGGAUUUUGAAAUUUUUUGAUUUUUCGCUAUACUAAAUUAUAAUCAACUAUGAAAAUUACAAAUAAAUCUGCAGUAUUUAGGAUCUUUUCAAUUCUUAGAUGAUAGAUCCAUUGAAAAGAUCCUAAUCCUAUGAAGAAAAAUACAAAGAAAAGGUUCUUCAUUCUUUUAUGAAAUAUGCAUGUUUCAUAAAAAAUUUAGUAGUAAUCUUUCAUGUGGCUUUCAUUAUAAAGUGCUUAUGUUAUUUAGAUCUGGGCAUCAAGAAUUUAAGGUUGCAGAUCGAUAGCCAAAAUGCUAAAAAACCUGUUUGAGGUUUAGUUUGAUUGCAAUUUUUAUUUUGUAUAUUUUUUUUCUUGAAUUUUAUAAAUAACUAAAUGCAUUUUAUAUCCAACAAGUAUUCCAUGUCAACAUAGAUUCUAAAAAGAUUGAUGAUAUGACAUGCACCAUGUCAUUUGGUAAGUAAUUUUGGUAUAAAAUUUUGGGGUCCCUAACAGUCUAACACUACUCAUCUCGGUAGGUGGUUUUUAAUGUUUCUUUCAUUUAAUAUAAUGGAUUGACAACCACUCGUUCGAUAAAAACGAAAGCUAUUUUGUUUUGUUUACUUCAAAUAUGACAUGUCUUUUUCAAAACCGCCCAUGGUUUUCCAAUUUGAAAUUUGCAUUUUCCAGACGUCAUGUAAUUUUUGGAAGAGCGCACAUUACUGUUUUUCCUAAAUAUACACAAUCCUUCUUUUUAACUACGAAUUGAUUUUUUUUAUUCGCAUAUUGCCUUUUCAUAAUCAUUUGACAUUUUCGGAUUAUCACAUUUAUUAUUUUCCCAAAACCUUCAUUCUAGAACCUCCCACCAACCCCCGCUCCACCUAUAUAAUGGUCGUAGUCUGAUGAGCUUUGGCGUACUUAAACCAUUCUAUCUAUUUUUCUUCAUAUAUGAAUAUGGUUAACUAAGUUCUUCAGGUCUAUUGGUCCAACACGAGCAAUAGCCUUAGCUUAGUACCCUGAAUUUGCUAUUAUGUGGGGCAAGACCAAGAGUAUAUAUCAAUGCCUUAGUGGAGGUUUUGGUUAUAUUCAUCAUCGAAUAUGUGAUUUACCAUUUACCAAAAAAUAUAUAAAUUUACCUCCAUACCUCUUGUUUUGUCAUGUUUAUAAAUUCUCAUGGUAUUAUAAAUUUCUCAUAAUCACUUGCUUCACGUUAUUUUCAGAAGAAAUACAUGCUAAAGAUGAUGGAAAUCCAUGCUUGUGACUGUAGAUCCUUGAUGCAAGCUAUUAGCUAUGUUUCUUGGCAGGUUCUCCACUAACCAGAAAGUUUGAAGUUGUCUUGAAGUUUGAGAUGUACCCUCUAAGUUAGAUCGAACAUGUUGUAGUUCUUCCACCAUUCAAUCAAUAGCAGUAAAACCACUACUUGAAGGACCAACCCGAAAGAGAAUUACUUUAAGAUGCCAUACAUGGCAUGAUACACCAUGUCAACAAUCCCGAUGUAAUUCUAACACUCAUGAAUGUGAAAAACUAUAAACUUUACAAGUGUAAUUAUCUAUCUUGAAGGGCAUAUCACCCACCACACUCAUAUUUCCUUAGUUAGUCUCAUAGGCAUGGCCUUGGUCAGGAUAUGGAAAGAAGAGUCAAUUUGACCUUAUUCAAUUUUGUAAAAAAAUCUUAUCAAUAUUAAUUACCAAAGUUUUGAUAUUUAGUGAUAAAUAGUCUUAAUUGUUAUCGAACAUUUGGGAGAAAAAAAUGAAAAAUAAGUAUUUAGACUCUCCAAGUAUAUACUUUUGUAAGGUUCAUUUACUUUGAUUUUAUUUUUGGUGGUUCUAGUCAGAUCUUUGAAUUUGCUAUAUAUAUCUCCUUUAAUUUUUGUGAAAAUUUAUAUUCUCUCUUAUCCUCUAAAAAAUUACACGUGUUCCAUCUGAGGAAGAAAGCUUGUUCCUUUUUCCCUCUCAACAAAUUGUGUCUCUAUAUAGUUUCCACAAACUAUAAUGUCUUGGCUUGGUCUUUAUAUAAAUUUAUAAUUACAUUAAUAUCAGGCUUGAGCAUUGAGGGCAUGCCUCCUUCUUGGGACUGGGCUCUUCUGAAAUGGGGUUGUUGUUAAGCUUGUAAGGAUGCUAAGCUAGUUUAAUUUUUCUAUGGUUUGGUUUGGUUUGGUUUGGUUUUUUUUUUUUUUCUUGCAUUUCAUAGUCAUUAUAGAUGGCGGCGUUGGUGACCUCAUUUUGAUUUUUAAUAGGAAUUGCUUAGGCUUUUCUAAAUGGGCUUAAUAGCUGAAAAUGAUGUUUGUACUUAGGUAAUGGUGUUCUUUUGACAACCUCGCAAGUAGGGCUGGGCUUGGGCCCAAACCGGCACGGUAUUUACAGGGACCGAGCCCGGACUGAUUGUUGUAUACUCGGGCCGAUCAUUACUCUUAUGAAACAAGAGACCGGUAAAAGCCCGAACCGGGACAAGCUUUGCAUUUUCCAGAAGUAGGAAUGAGUUCGGCUUCAGUUUUUCACUACACAAGAAUAGAAAGACAUGAGGGAGUAGAAAAAACAGGUGGUUUAAAGUGAUUCAGAUCCCACAAUCAACAUAUUCAAUAACAAAGUUUUCAGGGUCCAAACUGCAUAAUAUUCUCAGUUUCUAACAAAAAUAUAGAUCAUUCUAAUGCACUAAUGUUGUAUGUUUUAAUAUAGUACUCGCAAGUGCACGAACCACUUAUAGAAUAGAAGUGCAAGCACGAGGUCGUUCCCUCUAUGGAUUGAUUAGAACAACUUAUUAUGCCAAUUAUACUACACCUAAUGAAAUAAACACAUUGAUUUUAUGAUUUUGAUGAGUGAAAAUAGAAAACUAAAGUAAUAAAACUGAAAUUAAAGACAAGAGAACAAUGAAAUUUCUAAGAGUUUAAGAACAAAUUAUGAAAAUGCUAAAGCAUUGAAUCCACCACCUAAUAUUUCUACCCUCCUCUCUAGUUGAUAGCAAUUGAACUCCCUAGAUUGCAUGCUAAAGAUUUCCGUACAUAAGCCUUAUUGAUCCCGGACAUAUGCCAAAGUUCUUCUAAACAAUGAAUUUUAACUUAUUGAUCCUGUAUAAAACUCAAGUAAUCAAACUAUAAUCUACUUCACGUUAUGAUCAGGUUCAAGUAAAACAUGUUCAACUCCAUUAAGCACAAAAGAACUAGGAAAUCAUGUAAACAAGAAUAUCGACUAGGAUCAAGCACUUGUAUUUUUAACUUACAACUCUCUAAUCACAAGAUUAAAUAAAUCUUUUGGAACUCUAGAAAACAUCUACUCUCGAUCAAGCCUCAUAUUUUCAAACCAAAUAACUAAUAAACAAAACCUAGGUCUCAUUGAUCCCAAGCAAAGAUUUUGAAUAAAAGUACGAUUAAAACGGUGAUUUUGAGAAUUUAAAAUAGCAAUCCAUGAAUUCAAAAGCAAAUCAACUAAAGAAAUAGAGUAAUCAUACUAGGGGCUUCAUCUCAGCCCAAGCUAGAAGUUUAGAAAUCCAUAGAUAAAGAAAACAUGACUAGAAAUAAAGAUAGCAUGGAAGAAACAAUGGAAGAGAUAAGAACUCAGGUUGAGAGAUGAUGAGGCUCUCUUCUUCUUUUCCUCUGCGUUCCUUGCUGCAUCUCUCUGCUGUAUCUCUCCUCCCUCUUUAACGUGCUUAGGGUUCUCUUUUAUUCUUCUUCAAAUCCCAAUUGAUUUGGGCUUUUUAGUCUCCUUGUCCAAUAUGGAAUAGCUUUCUUCUCUCCAAAUAACACAAGGUUAUUAUUGUCAAUGCAGGUGUAACCUUCCAAAUAUGUUAGCCACGUUCAGCCCCUUUCCUUGUACUAUUAAGAUUGAUGGACUUGGGCUUCACAAAUUGGAAUCAUGAGAAGAAACACAAAAUUCGUCAGAAUCUGCCUCCACGCGCUGCAUCCACUCAAACCUUCAUAAUUUGCUCUAGAAAAAUGCAAAUCCACUUCCGCAAAAUUCCUCAGAAAGCAAGCAUCCGUAGCUUUCCAAUGGUGUAUGGCUCGCCUCCAGAUUCCUUGUGAGCAGGUACAAUUUAAUCCUCAAAGUUAACGCACAGCAGGGCAGUUUCUGGAUCACUUAGCUCCAAAUUCUCUUUUUCUCCAACUUAACCUACAAAACAUAAAAACCAAGUAAAUGACUCACAAUUGACAAGAACUAAGCAUAUAAUCAUGUAUCUAAGAGUAUAAAAAUGUAUGAAAUAUAAAUCUAUCAACUACAUUGGAUUACUUUAUUCAUAACUCAAUAUCAAUUAUGUAUCGAAUGCCUUUUAGAUAUUAGUUCAAAAGAAAAUAAUCAACCCAUAUAACUCUUAGAAUGAAAAGAAAUAAAAACAGUACAAAAAGAGUUUAAAAACAAGAUUGAAUUUUAAUGAAAAUAACAGUGCAGAUAAAGUAUCACACGUAACUUACCAUGUUCAUUAUGAACCCUAAGGAGCUCGUAUCCGAAAUUGUCUUUCACAAGGCACUCAACAACUUGCAUAUUUUUGCGUGGUCCUUUACGAUUUUCGGACUUGGCCAUUAUCCGAAUAGAGCAAACCUCAACCAUAACCACUCCAAGAUUGUCGGUGCGAAUGAGGUCCUCCAUAUUUAUAACGUUGGCCAAAAUAGUCCAAAUUAGACACAUUAAGCACAUUAGGCUCAUCAGACACAUCAGGCAAAUCAGGCCAAUCAGACAAGUCAAUAGUCCCAUAUACGACAAAUAAAUGUCAGAAAACCUUUUGUGGAUUUAAAAAAAAAAAAUUAAAGACCUCAUUAUAUAACGUAUACAAUUCGGCCCGUAAGAGAAUGCUCACAUGUAUUAUGUAUGAGCACAACGAAAAUUUUCAGAAAGGUUAGGAAGUCUCCACUAGUGCUCAUAUUGAGUAUAAACACCAAAAUGCUCUAUAGGUUCAAAUUUCAAAUUUUAGUUGUAAUCAAUUUGUUCUAUGGUGUUUGAUUUUUCAUAAAUCUAUUACUACAUUGCUACGGAAAAUCUAUUUUUAAGAAACAUCUCAUAAUUCACUUACAUCGUCACAAAACUAAGUAGAAAUAGUUAAUUGCAAAAAAUCACAAAAAAAGAGAGGUAGAACUACCUUUAUUUUGGCAUUUCUCUUUUGUUUCUUUUAUUUAUUCCUGCCUUUGGACUUUUUUGUAGGUGCAGUUUCCUGUAUGUGCUGAGGAUUACGAAAAAAAAGCAACUCAGAGUUAGAGUUGCAUCAUCAGCUUAUCAAAUUUUAGUUUAAUACGGCAAGAUUCUAAAACUCACAAAAUUAAGCCUUCAUUUAUUAUUCACAGGUUGAGUAACCUCAGAUGAAUUACGAAAAAUAACUUUCUACAUGUCAUUUUUAGAUCAUCAAUAUUCUACAACCAAAGUUAAAGAAGUAAAGCAACAUUUCAUAUUAAGCAAAUACUGUUACUGCGUCCAAAUAAAGAAUGAAACACAUAAUAUGAUUUACGAGUCCACUAAUAAUGGAUGCAUGUAUCAAAGUGUAGGAGGGUUCCUAAUUGAUAAAGGUCUACAUAAAAUAGUUUCUUGCAGAAAUUCGAGGUUCAUCGAAAAUGGAAAACGGAACAACCACCCCUCUAUACUACUUAUUACAAUCCCAAGUUUGCCAUUUCUGUCACGUGAUUUGAAUCCCCAAGCAUAUUAUUUGUAAUUGUUCGGUCCAGUACACAAAAUGGAGAGAGUGAGAAUAAAACGGGGGUUCCCUACCAAUCAGGAGGGGGGCAUAAGUGGCAGAAGCUUCCGAGAGAGAGGUUAUUUGGGGGGGGACCAAUAACAAAGUCAUUAGGAAUUGGAGUGGCAGUUGGUGCUUUUUGAGAGAGAAAAAGAGGGUGGAAAUGUGGAAGUGAGAGCAAGAAUGAGCUUAUUUUCUAGGCCAAUCUAAGUGUCAGUUUAUGUCCCCCCUACACAAUCUCAUCAUUGUAAUAACCUAUUAUCUCACUUAUGCUUUGCAGAUAAUCUGCUCAUGUUUUGUAACGGUGAUAAAAGUUCGUAUUCUCCAUGAUGCUCUCUUUGAUUUUAAGUCUUUAUCUGGCCUCAGAAGAAUGUUUCUGGCUUAGUUUGGUAUUGAUGUGAGAAAACUCAAUUUAAAAAAAUAAAAAAUAAAAACUCAGUUUUAAAAAAGUAACAUCUAACCUCCUUUUUAAAAUCGUGGUUAUUUAGCUUAAAAAGUUUUAAAUAAGCACAUUAUAAGGUUUUACCAAACAAGAAAUCUAUUCAAAAUGGUGAUUAUAAGUGAUUUUAUGCUUCAAAACUCAAUAUCAAACUGGGCCUAAGAGUAAAAUAUUUCUUGCUGGCAGUGGCGGAUCUAGCAAUUUUUCUCAGCUAAGGCAAGUGUCGAACUAAGUAAUAUAUAGAAAAAAAUAUUAAGACGAAAAAUAACUUAAUUGUAAAUGAGUCGAUCUCCAUAUCAAAACAUCUUAAAAAUCAAUAGAAACCUGAAAUUUAUAUUUAUGAAGAACAUAUCAAAUUGACUAAAUUUAUUGAGUUUAAAUGAGUUAUAGCAUAUAAUGAUGAACUAGUGAAGACGUACUAUGUACUUAAUCGAUUAAUUAAGAACAAAUAGAAGCGUCAGGUUGUUUUUUCUGUAUGAAAGGAUGUCUUUGAACUGCAAUAAAAAAAAUUAAAACGACGCCUGGAAGUAGUGUAUUUUUCUCAGAUUUUGCCCUUUUAUAGCCAUUUUUUCAUUGCUUGCUUACCACCAAACCUACAUCUUUCAAGGUAAAUUAUAAAACUUAGUCUAGCCAGUUGAAUAGACUAGCCUAUGAAUGCAUUCGCCCCUGCUUGCUGGUGUUGAUGGGAACUCAAAUGACACUGUUCUUCAAGUUAUGAACUUUUUUGUAGGAACUUUCGCAAUUCGUUAUUUAGGUAUUCCUCUAAUCACUACUAAAUUGAGAAUUUAGGAUUGUUCUCCAUUGUUUGAUCGAAUUGAAGCUCGUAUAAAACAUUGGGAGAAUAAGGUGCUCUUCUUCGCUUGUCGACUGCAGCUCGUUCAAUCUGUUUUAUCUAGCAUCCAAGUGGACUGGGAUUCUCAUUUGAUCCUUCCUAAAAAAGUUUUAUCCAGCAAGAGUGAAUCGUUAUGUGUACUCAAUGACUGAUCAAUACAAGCGUUAACUCUUUGUUCAAAAAGAAAAACAUAUGGCUUGACGUCCCCUUCUCAAAGCAAAAAAAGUAUUUAAUUUUUAGGAAAAUAAAAGGUAUAUGAGGAGGAGUUUUUCUAUUGAAACAUACAAAUUUACUCACUUAACCUUUUACACCUUUUAUACCUCCUAUGAGAACUUCAAAUACAAAAUUCAUUUAGUGAGGAUAGUAAUGUCACUUAAUGAGUAGGCCAAAACUCUUUGAACGCGUCGUACACGCUUUCGUAAAACCUAAAGUUUUGUUAUGUCUCUAUGGGCUUGUAUGACGGCUCACCUCAUCGACAUGCAUCUCGCCUCGCUAGAGUGUGGUGAGUGCAGCCGGGUGGGUUGUUGUUUUGCUUAUGGCUUCUAUUGGUUUUGGUGCAUCUGUCAGAUGAUGACGACAACAAUGAGGAAUCCUUCUAGGUUGACGGCGCAUUCAUGGAGGGUAGGCGGGGUUUGUAGGUUUUUCGCACGAUUUUUGCUUGUUAUGGCAGAUCUAGAUCGAGUCAUAAUGAUGGUGGAUGGUGUACGAUCGAUAUAGGUGGUGGCGAUUAGGUCGAAAGGUGAGGCGUUAUUUGUUUCAUCCGCGAUCUAAGCGUGUUCUACCCAGUUGUAUGAGGGUUUUGGUGCUAGGGUGGUGCAACUGCGAUGGGAUCCCAGGCCGUGGUAGCAGAGAUGGCAACGGUGUGCAGGCGGCGGUGCAAGGUUAGGCCUUGGUUGUGGGCAGGAGUCUACUCAUUGUUUUUUGGGCCGGAUGUUAAGCUACCCAAUUUCUUAAGGGUCAUUAUGUGUGAAAUAAUUCCUCACCGUUAUUGGGUAGGCGGUAGGCCGAUGUGGACUUGGUCCCGGUAUGCACACUCAAUGUGCCUUGACUGGCCUAGUGAGGUGGUUGUUUGAAGAAUGAUUAAGUCAUAUAAAAUUUGAAGCAAAAAGCCAAAAAAAAAAAAAGACUUGAUUUUAUUUGUAAAGUCGAAAAAUGCAAAAACACUAGCAUAUAAAUCACAUUGGAACAAUUGGCAAUGAAAUAUGUUUGUGUUGAAGGUGACUAGGAUUCGAUGUAAUAUAAUAGCAUUCUUUAAAAACUAUUGCUCACAUCUCAAUUUCAAUCCAACGACUGACACCAAUUAUAGUUCGUUAGAUUGAAAGUUAAGUGUGGCUAUUAGGACCUCCAAAUUUUCUCAGUAUACCUCUUAUUCUCUCUACACCUCCAUUUUACUUUUCAAUAUAAACAUUUUCUCACUAGACCUCAUUUCAAAUUUCUAACAUAACCAUAGUUAUUUAUUGACAUAUAUUUUAAUUAGUUACUUAUUUUAACUCUUAUUCACUCAAUGAACCUCUCCUUUUUUCUUUUUUUUACCUUUUUGUUUUUGAACAUCCAUUAUCCCUACCUUCAUUUUUUUAUAAUUUUUUUCAUGCAAGAAAAUGUUUUAUCAUGAACUAUUAUAUAUAUCUUUUUAACUUUUGUUUUCUCUUUUGUACUUGUUAUUUUUUUAUUUUGAAUAAUUUGAUCUCUAUUUUAUACCUUAUAAUAAAUUAUUUAAUAAAUAUAUAUUUCUAUAAUCAAUAGAUAUAUAUAUAUAUAUAUAUAUAUAUUNNNNNNNNNNNNNNNNNNNNNNNNNNNNNNNNNNNNNNNNNNNNNNNNNNNNNNNNNNNNNNNNNNNNNNNNNNNNNNNNNNNNNNNNNNNNNNNNNNNNNNNNNNNNNNNNNNNNNNNNNNNNNNNNNNNNNNNNNNNNNNNNNNNNNNNNNNNNNNNNNNNNNNNNNNNNNNNNNNNNNNNNNNNNNNNNNNNNNNNNNNNNNNNNNNNNNNNNNNNNNNNNNNNNNNNNNNNNNNNNNNNNNNNNNNNNNNNNNNNNNNNNNNNNNNNNNNNNNNNNNNNNNNNNNNNNNNNNNNNNNNNNNNNNNNNNNNNNNNNNNNNNNNNNNNNNNNNNNNNNNNNNNNNNNNNNNNNNNNNNNNNNNNNNNNNNNNNNNNNNNNNNNNNNNNNNNNNNNNNNNNNNNNNNNNNNNNNNNNNNNNNNNNNNNNNNNNNNNNNNNNNNNNNNNNNNNNNNNNNNNNNNNNNNNNNNNNNNNNNNNNNNNNNNNNNNNNNNNNNNNNNNNNNNNNNNNNNNNNNNNNNNNNNNNNNNNNNNNNNNNNNNNNNNNNNNNNNNNNNNNNNNNNNNNNNNNNNNNNNNNNNNNNNNNNNNNNAACGGUCCAGCUUAUGUCAAACUAAAACCGUUAGAAGGGUCAUUAAAACUAAAUUGAACUUUUGAAAGCCUUAACGAUCACCAAAUCAUAUGAAAUUUUGUAGAGGUGAUCUACUCAUAUAGACCUAAGAUAUAAACGGUGGAGAUGUAAAAUUAUAAUCGGGAAGUUGGUGUAAUGCCCUAUCCCUAUAAAUGGCUUAAAAUAGGGAUCCCUCAUUGGAAGGGCCCUGUAUAUAUAUAUGCUUUAAUAAAAAGAAAUUAGAAAACGAAAAUAUAUAAGGAAAAUAAUAAAGAAUGUAAUCAAUUAUUUAUUGAAUUGGAAAGUCUAGAAAGAAUAAAUAUAAUAUUUUCUUUUGUAUAAUUAUUUGUCCUUAAUAGUCAUUGUGUAUGAGGAUAUAUAUGUCAUUUAAUAAUUCACAAUAAAGUGAGGUCUAGUGAGCAAAUUUGGAAGUCUCAAUAGCCGCACUCUUGAAAGUUUAAUUGCAUUAAACGAUCCAUAUUAAUAUGAAAGUCUGUAUGCUUUAUUUCCUUGCAAAAUGCCAAACACGCAUGCUAAGACUCUUCAAUUUUCUACUCCACUAGAAACCAAAAGGUUGGUUUAGGACACACGGCUUAUGUGUAUUUAUGCAUGGCUGACUUCAGUAUUCCGAGCUUAAGCCAGUAUGGAGACUGGUUUACCUCGGUCAGCUCCACACAGUAAGCAGCGAGAGACCAUAUACAAAUUGCUAACAACCUUUUACUUGUUCACCUCAAUGCCCACCAUCUAGGUUAAUGACAAGAAUAAAGUCAAGCCAUUCGAAACGACAUGUGUGAAUGACAAGAAUAAAGUCAAGCCAUUCGAAACGACAUGUGUAAUUAAUUUCAUUUGUGGGCAUUGAGGUGAGCAAGUAAAAAAAUGGUCGGCAAAUUUGUAUCCGAGAGAGACCAGCUUCUUGACUUGACUACCUAUAUGGACGUGGUGACCUAGAUUGGUAUCCUACCAACAUGUGAUCGAAUGCUCUUAGCAACUUAUCAAAGUUUUUAUUAAUAGGUCACCACAUAGCUUGAUCAAUCAUCCAAUGUCUCGCAUACUUUGAUCGUAUAACCUUAAAUUGUAUUCCAUAGUCUAGCUCUUACCACUUGAUUUUUCAUUUAGUUCCUUAAAAUUUAUCAUGAAAUCCGAGUUAGGUUUUAAACUUAGGUUUCCUCCUCGGUCAUUUGAAGUUUUGAACCUUAAAAAAUCUGAUUUUUAUAAUAAAAAAAUCUGAUAAAAUAAAAAAUAAAAAAAUAAAAAAUAAAAAAGAGAAGAAAGAUGUGCAACGGCUUCGUUUAGGUUGUGACGAAAGAAAAACGGCGUCGCUUAGGAAGGAACAUAACCGCCUCGCUGUUCCUGGAGAAAAGAGACGCUAAUAUAAAGCUUUCCCGAUAAACAAUAGCGCUCUCAUUUUGGCUCCGUUCAGGCAGCUUAUUAGGGUUUUGAUCUUCAAUCUCUUCACCGCGACCCAAAUAUGGCGACGGCGUCAGGUUCGUAUCCUCUCUCUUCUUCCUUCACACAUCUCUCAUAUCAUUACCCUUUACUUUUUAUUUCCAAUUUUUCUUAAUCAUGAAGAAAGACCCAUCCUUUGUGUGGUUUCGUAUGUAAUUGAUCGGUGUGGGAAUUCAAAUAGUAUCAAUUCUUUGUUUAAAUUAGUUAUCUGUGUCGGUCGAAACUGGUUCGAUUUUAGGGUUUUCAGGAGCUGAAUUUGAUAAGUUAGGGGUUUUCUCAGAAAGUGGAGAUUCGAUUGAGUUUUACUAUUAGUAUACUCAAUUCAGUUGAGAAUCGGUUUUAGAAGUUCAAAUUAUGAGUCGAAAUGCUCGAAACCGUAGCUAAAAGGCUUGAAGAGUUUGAGUUUCAUAGUUUUGAUGUAUUAAUUGCUGUUGGUGUGUUGUAGUGGCAUUCAAAUCAAGGGAAGAUCAUCGUAAGCAAAUUGAAUUGGAAGAAGCCCGAAAGGCUGGGCUCGCACCAGCUGAGCUCGAUGAGGAUGGAAAGGAGAUCAAUCCUCAUAUUCCUCAGUAUAUGUCCUCUGCACCUUGGUAUCUCAAUGCUGAAAGACCUGUAAGUUGUUCAUUUUUCGCUUCUGAUGCUAUGUUGUUAGUUUUGACAAGCAAGCCUCGGUGUGAGGUAUGAGCUCGGGUACUGAUACAUGUUAUUUUGUUCUGGCUUUUCGUUUUUGGUUUGAUGCAGAGCUUGAAACAUCAAAGGAAAUGGAAAACAGAUCCAGAUUACACAAAAUCGUGGUACGACAGAGGUGCAAAGAUUGGCCAGGCUGAUAAAUAUAGGAAGGGUGCAUGCCAGAAGUAAGUCUAUGUCUCUCUCUAUAUGUCUAAGUCUUUUGGUUCCAUGGAAUCUAUUUAGAUAAUGCAUAAUUAUUUAAUGGUGGAGCAUUUUGGUGAAUGUCUUGUUUUGUUCAUCACUGGGAAUGCCGUGCAUCCUGUACCCAUACAAGAGUGAUAUUUUUCUUCAUCAUUAUUGUUUUUCCUGAACCGGAGACUAAUCAAUAAUGUCUGUGUUUGCAGUUGUGGAGCUAUGUCACAUGAUGUCAAGUCUUGUAUGGAAAGACCCAGGAAAGUGGGAGCAAAGUAUACAAACAAACACAUUGCUCCUGAUGAGAAGGUAGAGACUUUUGAGCUCGACUAUGAUGGAAAACGGGACCGCUGGAAUGGAUAUGAUGCAUCAUCUUAUGCUCUAGUCAUCGAGAGAUACGAAUCAAGAGAUGAAGCACGAAGGAAAUUCUUAAAAGAACAACAACUUAAAAAAUUGGAGGAGAAAAAUAAUAACCAAAAUGGUGAAGAAGCAGUUAGUGAAGAGGACGAAGAGGAGGCUGAGGACGAGGAUGAUCUGAGGGUGGAUGAAGCCAAGGUUGAUGAGAGCAAACAAAUGGACUUUGCAAAGGUGGAGAAGCGUGUUCGUACAACAGGUGGUGGGAGCACAGGAACUGUCAGGUAAUAGCUUCUUUUGAUGUGAUGUUUUAUCCCAUCUUGUGUUUAAUGGGUGUUAUUGUGUGAACAUAUAACUGCAAGUGAGUAACAAUGUUUUAUCUGCUGGUUUCUGUAUGGUAAAUUAGUAAUGCUAGAAUUAUUCUCAAGGGCCUUAAUAUCAUGUGUAACGUUAUUCAUUGUAUAUAUGUCUACAGGAAUUUGCGUAUUCGUGAGGAUACUGCAAAAUAUCUUUUAAACCUUGACGUCAACUCUGCACAUUAUGAUCCCAAAACCCGUUCCAUGCGUGAGGAUCCUCUUCCAGAUGCUGAUCCAAAUGAGAAAUUUUACGCGGUAGGUGGCUCAGAAAGUUAUUUCAUAUCUAUGGUUGGUUCUUUAGUACUUCAUGUUUUACUGAUUUGACUGGUUUCUGUAUUACAGGGUGAUAACAGAUAUAGAAAUAGUGGUCAAGCUAUGGAGUUCAAGCAGUUGAACAUUCAUGCCUGGGAAGCAUUUGACAAGGGACAAGACAUUCACAUGCAAGCAGCCCCAUCCCAGGCUGAAUUACUGUAUAAGAACUAUAAGGUAAUUAAGGAGAAUUUGAAGUCGCACACAAAGGAGACCAUUUUAGAGAAGUAUGGCAACGCAGCUAGUGAAGAAGCGAUUCCUAGGGAGCUUUUACUGGGACAAAGUGAAAGAGAAGUCGAAUAUGAUCGUGCUGGAAGGAUUAUCAAAGGACAGGUAAAUUAUUUACAUCUACUGUUUGUUCAUGAUACGAUAUAGGGUUUUUGUUUUGUCUCAUUAUGGAACUCAAGGAGCACUAAUGUAACUGUCAGAGUCAAACGAAAUAGGUAUCUGAUCAAUCUGUCUUUGACUGGUACAGGAAACCACACUUCCCAGAAGCAAGUAUGAAGAAGAUGUUUAUAUCAACAACCACACCUGUGUAUGGGGUUCAUGGUGGAAGGAUCAUCAAUGGGGAUACAGAUGUUGUCAGCAGUUUACUCGAAACAGCUAUUGCACAGGUGCUGCUGGAAUAGAGGCUGCCGAGGCUGCAACUGAUCUGAUGAAGGCUAACAUUGCUCGUAAAGAGGCUGUUGGAGAAAUGCCUCCUCCUGCGGAGGAGAAAAGACCUGCCACUUGGGGAACUGACAUCCCAGAAGAUCUGGUUUUAGAUGAGAAAUUACUUGCUGAAGCUCUUAAAAAAGAGGAUGCAAGAAGGAAAGAAGAGAGAGAUGAGAGAAAACGCAAAUACAAUGUCAGAUGGAAUGAUGACGUUACUGCUGAGGAUAUGGAGGCAUACAGGAUGAAGAAAGUUCACCAUGAUGAUCCAAUGAAGGAGUUUCUGAACUGAUUUUCAUAUAUCAUAUAAUCGUGGUGAAGCUUAACUACUACCUGAAUCAGACCUGCUCAUUUCAGUCAGAUCAUUUCUUGGAUCAGUUGGGAUCCUGAUUAGGAGCCAUCUGAUAUGAGAAGCUCCGAAUGGGAUUUCUUAAGCAAAUCUCUUAAAAGUGUGAGGUGUGAUUACUGUUAAGCUAAAUGCUGAGGAGUUGGCAGUUAUGUUGCUGUUAAAGAGCGUGGUGGUAGGCUGUGCUCACUUCAAUUGUUGUUUUAACUUUAGUGGCAUGAACGAGUUAUGUAAUGGAAUUACUUUGGGUUUAAGUAUUAUGUUCAUGUUCUUGGUCCUGCCAGGACAUGUUUAUCUUGAAUAAAUUGUUGGAAGCAGAAACCCGAAGAGUUUUUCUUUUGGUCUUUGGUUAUUCUAAUGGAUUCCAACGGCCAUAUCGAACUAUAAACUGGGCAAAAAGUUGCCAGCUUAAAAGAGUUGAAGAAUCUGAUUUUGUACAUGAAAUCCCAUAUCAGCUUAAAGAAUCUGAUUGCAAAUGGAAUUGGCUUUAUUUACACCCUAUACAGGAUCAACUGUAAUAAUUCAAGCUGUUCUUCAUUACAAGCAAUUCACUAUAAAUGGCAACGGGCCAACGUCUCCUGGUCCUUCAUUUCUGCCCUGAACCGAGCUAUAAACUCCUCAGCUCUUCUAUCGAUUCCAUCCAUUUGGGGGGAGGCAAUUCCCAGCGACUCCCACAUAUCAUCUGCAGCACUAGUCACUCCGUCAGACUCGUUAUUCUCACUAGCUGCAGAUGGAGAUUGCUUGCUUGCCACAGAGCGAUUAGCAAUAGGCUUGAUCACACACUUUGCUUCUGGAGUUUUCUGGUAUUGACAACGCUCAGCAACCAGCUCGGAGACAGCAGGCUCUUUAAAGAGCUUGUCAACAUACACAUGAGCAUGCCGGCUUUGGAGCAGGCUGCGGCAAUUAUGAUGAAAGCGCAGCGAAAAGCGUGGUUUGUGCUGCAACCGUAGCUGGAGAAACUUGUAGGGUCGAACGCGAAUAGAGAUUGUAGUGGAGGGCUUGACUCGAUUUCUUGGUUUGUUGGUGGCUUUGCGUUUGUAGAGCUUGCUGUGUAGUUUGGAAGUGAAGCUCUUCCAAGCCUUUCUGGCUGGUGGAAGCCUCAGCCUCAAGCAAGACAUGAAUGGGAUGCUGAGACGCUGUGUUAAGGUGCUUCUUAUAUAAUAGGCUAAGCUAGUAGAUUAUAUUCCUUCAUCUUUUGGAUUUUGGAUUGGUUUUACAUGGAUUAGUAGCUUACUUCUUAAGCCACGCGCUUCACUUUACAGAAACUGAGAGAACAAAAAGGCAUCACGAUUCUAGAAUCCAAGUUGCAACUUUCUCAGCUUGUACAUGUACUCGAUUCGAUUCUGAAAGCCAAUAUCAACCCCAUGGCCACCUAUUUCAUGAAAAAUACGCAUGAUUUCAAUCGUUUUGCUGAGAUGUGUAUGUCUUUUUCUUCCUAUAUGCAUGGGUGAAGUAUACCCGGGAAAAAAAAAAUCCAAGGAUAAGAUCAGUAUAUGAGCAUCUCCUAAAUUAAGUUUCGGAAAUUUUACCUCAUGGUAUGAAUGGAUGCUGUUGCUUUCUUAUUGCAAAAUUUUUCUAGUGUAGUACAAUUGUAGACUGCAUCUAACUUUCUUUUCCUGCAACUUGUAAAUAUGCCUCUGUCACGUAGUUGGAAGAAAACACAGCGAGAAAUGGAGAUAGAUUCUUCCAUUNNNNNNNNNNNNNNNNNNNNUCUAGUAUCUAGAUAAUAUUGUGUAGAUCAUCUCUGCAAAAUUUCAGCCAAUUUGGUAAUCGUUAAGGCCUUCAAACUCAAGUUUUUCUGGUAUGAACACAACCGGACAGAAUUCAGUCCGUCCAUUUGUUUUUCGAGUUUAAAGGCCUUAAUGAUCACCAAAUUGGCUGAAAUUUUACAAAGAUGAUCUACACAAUAUUAUCUAGAUACUAGACGGUGGAAAUAAAAAAAUUCGAUCUAAAAGUUGUGCAAAAAUAGAAAUCCGCACCAAAAUAUUCGUACGGACAUCCGCAGCUGAGAAAAUCCAUAUAUAUAUAUAUAUAUAUAUUGUCCGAGAGAGUAGAAAAUUGACCCUCAUUCUAGAGUGUGCAGUAACAAAGAAUUUGUAUUGAUAAUAUUAUUUGCUCAGAAUCUGUCACUCCCAAAAAGGAAAUUUGGAGGGAUUUUGAUUUGCUUAUGCUCUCAGUAAAGAACUGCAUUGAAUUGAUCAUACUAAAAUUAAUAUACUACAAAAUUUCCUGAUACAACAUCCACAUCGGUUAUGAUCAGAGCUUAUGUGAAUAACUAUAUAAGUGACAGCAUUCUAAAUUGUUGAAUCUCUCUUACUCUCCAUAUUGGGAAAAGAGCACCUUCAGGAAGUUCUUCAGGAUCCCAAGGUUGCAUGGCCCAGCCAUAGAUCACAGUCUGGAUCGUAUCCUAAUGAAACAAUUCGAUUUCACAAAACAUGAGCUUUUACAUAUAAAAUUUACAACUCGUAUGCUGAAGAAAGAAUACAUGUUCUUAUAGAGAAGACUGAUUUGAAGAUGCACCCACAAAGUAUCGCUUAAGGUCAAACCCACUAAACCAAACUAAAUCCUUUAGGAGUAAAUCAAACUUUACUGUUCUGAAUAGAGAUUAAACCAAGUCAUCAGACGUCUCCACCGACAACGGAUAGACUGAAGAUUCAGAUGGCUUGCCAUUGCUCAAAUUAGGGAAAAUUAGCACUUAAGUAUAUGAAUAUUAUUUUUUACCUGGCUGCCAUCUGUUAUUGCUCCAUUUUUAUCACGCACACAAUAGAUUUGCUGUGUUUGGAACUGCAACAAGUUUGUGAAAAACAGCCGUUACUACCAGACUAUCAGCUUGUGUACAACACUUGCAAUUGAGGAAAUAUUUGAAAAUACCUACCCGGACAAUGAUUACAGGAGACUCUCCAAUCAGUUUGGUUUCUACGACUUGCACAUCAGAUAUAUGUAGAAUCUGCCCUUCCAAAAGACAACCAUAUAUUAGUAACAUGAUGAUGAUAUAUCCAUGCCAAAUAGCAUGACCUGAAAAGGCUUCCCUCACUCAUUUCAUAAAAACAGAAGGUAGAAAAAAUCUGCUCAACCUUAAUCAGCUAAGUAGAACAUACAUUACAAAAAAAAGAAAAAAAAAAAGUAAGAACAUGCAUUGUUAUUUAGUAACAGUUUGCAUGAUAGAAAAUGAUAUGGCUACCGUAGUGAAUGUCUAUUGACAUUCAAAAUAAAAUAAUAUCGGUACUAUGUCGAAGUGAGUCAACUGGAAAGGAGCUUAGUUAAGACCCUCGCCAAAUCACACACAUUGAUUAACUAUUAUUCAUAGUUUAGCAUGAGCAGAGGCUUAUAUGGAUUAAUAAUUUUUUGAUGACAUAUAUUGAAUAUCAACUCCUUAAGUUAAUACCUCCAACUUCACAUCUCAAUCUUUAUUAGAUGGCUAGCCUUCAGAAUCAAAUAUCAAUGCGCUAUAGAUCAACAGUGAAAGACAGAAAUAUAAGCACGUGUUAUUAUAAUUUUGCUAACCUGAAUGCGACAAAAAUUGGCAUGGAAAUACUAACAUCUUUAUGGAAGAAGCAAAAUUUCCUACCUUGUUAUCAAAAAAGAUAUCAUGGCUUUGAUAAGCCUGACGCUCGGCUUUACACCGCUCAAUCACCUCAUUAGCACAGUACUUCUUCAAUGUUUCAAUAUCUCCCUGUUGAUAAAAGUGAAGGUGAGAAUUUAUAUCACUUUGAUGAGGAUUAAACCAUGAGAAAGACAAAUAAAAAUGUGAAGCUACAAAUCGAGCAUUUCUAACCUUCAUGUAAGCAUUUAACACAGGUUUGACCGCAUUCUGAACUUCUUCCACAAAAUCUGGUAAAGAGAAAGAUCUGAUCCACCCAAAAUGUUACAAUGGGAAAAAUAAGUUAGUAAAGUAAUCAAAUUAUAAGAUGAAUAUGACAAGGGAAACGUCACAAUGGUCAUACGGAUCUCGGGCAUGGAUCUCCUUGAUUGAUGCUGCAGCAUUUGUUUCUUGAAAAAUACUUUCAUUGAUACUGCAAAAGACAGGAUGGUUAAACAAAGCAAUCAUCUAUUUUGGGGGGAAAUUAACUCAUAAGUACUGAGCAGAAAAGCAAAUGAGUUUUAGAAGCAUACUCCUGAAUUUUGUGAACAAUUGGGCUAUCAGAAUUUUCCCAGCGUUCCUUCAUGUCAUCAAUGAUCUGCCAAUUCCAACAAGGAUAAAUGAAACAGUAUACCAAUAGAUGAAGUACAAACAAUACUACUUGGGACAUAGCAUGAAUGAAACAAUAGUUGAAGCAAGCUAUCAAGUUCCCUCUUCUAUUAAUAUUAAUAAUAAAAAAAGAAGCAGUUUUCCACUAUUUCUCUCACACAUAACAUGUAAUUGUGUCAUCCUACCCGCUUUAAUACAAAUGAUGGCAUCCAUAACAGCAUUGCAUUACAAAAAAUAGAAAUAAUAAAUGAUACAAAAUAAUUGUUAUCUUCUGACCAAACUAGAAUUGAAAGAUGAGAAAGAACAUUUGAAUUGCAACAUUAUACCUCUUCGCCUUUUAUUUUAACAGGUUCACUUAUCCCACUGAUAUGCUUGAAUAGAGGAUUCCCUUGCAUCUAUGUCAGAAAGAAAAAUAAAAGUAUUUCGCAAAUGAGAAGAGGCAAUAAGAUAGAUCUUCUUCGUAAUACUUUGUGUAAGCAUAAAAACUUACCUUCAUUUUGAAAGCCUCCCACUUUUUGCUCCAAGGAGAUUGUUUGGUGGGUACAAUAGCAAUGUCACUUGUUGCACUUCUCUCAACUCGUGGGAUGGAAGAAGGAUCAAACCCUAGAUGCUUUUUCCUACUUUGACUACCAUUUAACUCAUCCUUUACAAUUUCAUAUCCUCUUUUGGCCAUGUCAACAAACUUGGCUUCCUUGAAUCUAUUCAAGACAGAGGAAACAUUUGAUGAAGAGACCUUUGACCUAAAUUUUCCAAAUAAUGUUUCUGCAGUAUCACUAGCCCCUGAGUGCUGGUGUUUAUCUUCAGUGGAUGAGGCCUUGCUUCCACCUUUCUCAUCAGCAACAUGGUCAGCUGAAGCACGAGAAGGCCCUGAAGCCUGCUCUUUCCCUAUUCCAAAAGAUUCUUUGACCUGAAUUGGAAUAACAAAGAUACACAGAAAAAUGUCAACCAAUCAAAGUAUCUAAUAGUACAUGGUAGAAGGUAAAAAUUGAAACAACCAAGCGGACCUCUUCUGUGGCAGCCGAGAACUUCUCUUUUACAUUUGCUGAGACCUGUACACAUAAUUGUCAGAUGAAAACAUAAAUAUCAGAACAGACGCCAGAUCUUAUAUUCACAAACUAUGACCAGUUGCCAAAGUGGCAAUAACAGCUGGUGCACAGCAGGAGAAUGCAGCCACACAACUGCACAUAAAUCUAAAUUCUAACAAAAAAAAAUAUAUAUGUCCAUCUAGAAAAUUGGAGCCAUUGCAAGAGUUAUUUUAUAUAUAUUAAUACAUAUAAGGGCAUCACAGUUUUUACAAGCGACACAUUCUGCCACUAAGAAAAUCCUAUGUCCACAAACUCACAAACUUUCCAUAUUUUAGAAUUCUGUGAAGUGGUACCUUCUUUGCUGUUGCUUCAGCCUCCGUCCAAGCACCAUCCACCUGCUUGUAUAGCUGCUCCGUUGUCUGCUUUGUUCUGCAUUUGUGAUUUCAUCAUCUCAGAGCCGCCAUGGGGUAGUGCCCACCAGCCUUGACAUACAAGGGUAUGUCUCAGCCUAUAAGCUAAAAACUUUUAAAAUUUCUUAUGGCAAUAAGUCAUUAUAUCACAUAAUUACCUAACUUUCAGAUCUUCUUUCACUCCCUUGAGCUCUUCCACUUGCUUCUUCAGCUCCUUGACCGUCUUUUUAAAAUGUGGAUUCCUGCAGCCAGAGACAAUAUACUGAGUUUAAUGUUGUAACCUGUAUGCAAACAUACCACAAUCACCAAAUGUCAUAAACAAACUCAUGAUCAGAAAAAAAAAUCCCGCACCGGUCAGAAGUUUGGAAAACAAACAGGAAAAUUCACAAACUUUUACUUCACACUCGACUGGGGACUCAAGCUAUUAAUCCUAACAAGUAAAAACAAUCAGAAUACCAGAAUUUACUCAAAAAAAGUUGUCAGCUUCAGGCUGCCCAACAUUAUAUACCAAUCUAAUUCGCCAUAAAAUACCGUUUAGCUUAACUACAGACACCCAAAUCAACAUUACAAAUGCAAAAUAGAUUGCGAGAGAGAGAAGUACUUAUUGGUUUCCUCCUUGACCUGCUUGGAAAACUCAUUGAAGACACUGAAUCGACGAUUCCCGGAAUACCCAUUUGCCGAAAGCAAUCGAAUAUUCGUGCCUGAAGCCUAUCACCACAAAACAAACAUGAGAAUCAAAUCAAAGUUUCAAUCUUUGAUUGGCAAACUUGUUGAGAUGACCAAUACCUGUUGUUGAGACCGAAGAACAAGGGAUUGUCUGUGGAGGAACAAAUCUCGAACAAGCUUUCUACCAGCCAUGAUUGUUGAUUCAACUCUUUAGUGGGGUUCCAUAUAAAUAAGAGUAGCUCACUUUUAAAUUUGAAUAAGAACAAAAAAAGAGGAAGAAGAGAGCCGAGAGAUUUCGACGGCAAAGGAGUUUUGUUGUCCCGGACGAGUGUGGGAAUUAAUAUCGAGUUUCCAAACUUGGGAAGAAAGAAAUAAGGGAACGUGUGCUUCACAGUUGCAAAACCCCGAAAAAGGCCUUUUAACACCAGACGCUAGGGUUUAUGGUUUUCGAAGGUUCAUCAGUCAGAAACACUAGGGGUUCAAACAGCCCAAAAGGCCCAAGUGCCUAACACUAAUGGUUAUUGUUUUGUUUUUGGUAACUGUCCGGGUGCUGUUUGUACUUUGACUACUUUCUACAUACCCACAUUAAGUUCUUCCCAUGUCUAACAACCAUAUAACUCGAGGAGAGGCUUUCUUUGUGUGAUGACUGAUGAGUGAUUGAGUAAUCUGGGAACCAACCUUCUCUGGGAAAUUUGGGAAUAGAAAAAUUACUUUGGGUUACUUUCAUUAAAUGUUUACCUUUUGUUUGUUUUUACUACGUUUGACUCUUUUUAUUUUUUUACAUUUCUCUUAACUUUUUUUUUUUUAAAUUUAUUAAUAACUCACACACCCUACCUAUGUUUAGUGAGAUUUAAACUCAUGACCUCAAAAUUGUUAGUUAAACAUCUUAACUAACCAAGUCAUGGCUCACCGACACAACUCUCUUAACUAACAAUGUUAGUAUCAAUGUUAGUGCAUUUUAAAGACUUAGAUCAAAUGAACAGCUUAGAUUAUAUUAUAACUAGGGGUUCAUUUGUACUUGAGUGCGACUGUUAAGACUUCUGAAUUUGUUCACUAGACCUCAUUCUAUUGUGAAUUAUUAAAUGACAUAUACAUCCUCAUACACAAUGACUAUUAAAGACAAUAAUUAUACAAAAGAAAAUAUUAUAUUUAUUCUCUUUAGACUUUACAAUUCAAUAAUAAUUGAUUUCAUUCUUUAUUAUUUUCCUUAUAUAUUUUUGUUUUCCAAUUUCUUUUUAUUAAAGCAUAUAUAUAGUUUAUAAGAACUAAAAAAAUAAUCAAUAUUGAUCAUGUAACAUAAAAUUUUGUAUUAUCAUACAUGUUCAACGCAUAUACUUGCAAGGUGCAUAAAUAUUUUUGUAAAAAGAAUAAAUUAAUAUCUAUCGAUUAUAGAAAAUAUAUAUUUAUUGAAAUAAUUUAUUAUGAGGUACAAAAUAGAGAUCAAAUUAGAAAAUUUUUAUUAACACAUCACUAGUUACUAGAUACACAUUUCAUUCUUAACACACCACCUAUUGACUUUAUUUUUUUAACAUUUUACUAGAUACAUAUACCUAACCUUCCUACAAUACCCUUAUUUAAAAUACAUCACUUAUUCACUAAAUACACAAUCCAUUCACUAAAUACACAGAUUUUUCUAGAUCUGCUACUCAAUUUAUUUAAAAAAAGAAAAAGAAAAAAAAGAGGAGUAUAUUAUAUAAAGCAUCAUCCCAAGUUCUAGUUUGGUGUUCAGCUUGAACGACCUAGCAUGUGUGAACAGUAAAAUCUAAAUUUCAAACUUCAAUUUAUACUAUCGAUACUAAAACUUUGAUCAUUUAAUAUUUGCUAAAUUAAUAACCUCGAUUAAAUAAUAUUUUUUGCCAGCCUCGAAAUAAAGAAUUAGCAAAAUUGACGUCAAUAAAUUAACAAUCUCAAUUAAAUAAUAUUUUUUCCCGGUUCCGACGUUAUUAAUUUAUAGAGGUUUAAAAUAUAGUGUUUGGUAUAUUCACAUACGUUGUUCUCAUAUAGAACAAGAAAACUUUUAAGUGGGAUAUUUAUUUCAAUAAGUCUUCUUUAAUUACUUUUGAUAUGAAUAUCUCUUUUGGUAAUUUUAUGUACCUACAAAGUUUUAUAUAAUUUGUAUAAAAAAAGAGGAGUGCGGCUAUUGGGACCUCCAAAUUUGCUCAAUAUACCUCUUAUGCUCUUUACACCUUCUUUUUAAUUUUAACUAUAAGCAUUUACUCACUAGACCUCCUUUUAAAUUCCUAACAUAACCUUAGUAUGUUAUUCACAUAUAUCUUGAUAAUUUACUCAUUAUACAUCUUAUUUAUUCUCUAGACCUCUCAUUAUUUUAAUUUUUUUCUUUUUGCAUGCUAUCAUCGAGACCUCUAUUCCUUGAUUUUUUUUUCGUUCAAACCUCUUUCACGACCUCAAUUCCUUGAUAUUUUUUAUUUCCCAUAGAAUGUCACCAAACCUCCAUUAUUUGAUCAAUUUGUAAGAAAAAAAUUUCAAUGACGUCAAUUUUUCUCUUAAAAAUCAAAUAAUACAAAGUAUUGGGUUUCAAAAACUUAUAUUUAUCAGCCCAGUACCGUCUCUCCUUAAAAAUGAGAGGUCGUGAGUUCGACUCAUAACAGACUCGUUAUAGCAUAUUGGUUGUUUAUCUGAUAAAAAAAAACUUAUAUUUACCAACAAGAAAAUAUUCCAACAUAAAUUAGCUUUUCUUUUUUUAUUUUACUUGUGCUAAACAACAAUCAAGGAUAACAAUUGUAUACUAUGUAUGUUCUUUUUUUCCCUCUAUUUUAUGUACAUUAAAUUAUUUCAAUAGUUAUUUAAUCUUUCAUCAUCGAUUUGUUUUAUAUACCUUCACCAUGUAUAUAUAUGCUUUCAACAUGUAUGAUAAUAGAAAAUUUUAUGUCACACGGUCGAUAUUGAUCAUAGUUCUAGCUCUAAUUAAAUAUAUAAUAUGUAGUAAAAUUUAGAAAAUAGUAAAUUAGAAACUAAAAAUAUAUAAAGAAAAUAAUAAAGAAUACAAUCAAUUAAUUAUCGAAUUGGAAAGUCUAGAGAGAAUAAAUAUACUUAUUUUUAUAUGAUUAUUGUCCUUAAUAGUCAUUACGUAAUAAGAGAUAAUUGUCAUUCAAUAACUCAUAACAAAGGGAGGUCAAGUGAGCAAAUUUGGAGGUCCCAAUAGCCGCACUCAAAAAAGAGAUGUGUAUAUAGCAUUUAGAUAUGUGUUAAUAAAAUUUCUCAUCAAAUUAUUCAAAAGAAAAAAAAUGUAGAAAAAAAUAACACAUACAAAAGAGAAAAACAAUUAAAAAGAUAUAUAGAAUAAUUCAUAAUAGAACAUUUUCUUGCAUGAAAAAAAAUAAUCAAAAAAUGAAGGUAGGGAUAAUGGAUGUUGAAAAACAAGGGAAAAAAAAACAAAACAAAGAAUGAGAGGUCUAUUGAGUGAAUAAGAGGUAAUUAAUUGAUUGAAAUAUAUGUUAAUAAAUAACUAUGAUUAUGUUAGGAAUUUGAAAUAAGGUAUAGUGAGCAAAUGUUUAUAUUGAAAAAUAAAAAGGAGGUGUAGAGAGAAUAAGAGGUAUAGUGAUCCAAUUUGGAGGUUCUAAUAGCCACACUAUUUGUACUUUGGGGCAUACAAGAACUUUCGACCCACAUUUACAUGUCCAUUUAGACACAAUUACAUGUCCGGGUGGUAUAUAAUGUCCAGAUUGCUUAACGAGUAAACAGCCCGACAUCAACAUAUUGGCCGACUGGUUGGAUAAUGGGUUAGGCAUGAGACAGGAUGAGACACAAUGAGACGGGAUUUGGCUAAUCCUGCAGCUCGUUCCUGACACACGUGGGACGGGAUCGAGACGAGAUCAGAACGGACCUUACAUUUUUCAAAUUUGAUUCUGCCCAAUCCUGGUCUUAGACGAGAUCAGGACGGGACAAGCCCAAUCCCAAAACUGAAAAAAAAAAAUCCUAAUUACCAUGUUAAGUUUGAUGUAAGAAUCCAAUAUCCCAAAAUCCUAGUAACCUAAUUCUACAUCAGGAACACAACUACAUAUGUACAUAACAUCCAUGAUGUCUAUGAUAGGAAUCCAAUAUCCAAUACAUCAUUAUAGUUUAGUCACAAUAUACUUGAUUUGAGACAAAUAAGGUCAAAGUUAAACUUUUAACAAUAUCAGUGAUAUGAUUCAAAGUUUAAACUUUUGAGCACUCAAAAUUUUAGUCCAAGAUAUCCAAAAAGUGACUUCGUCUUGGAGCAUAUUCAACAACUUUCUCAUAAAUAAAACCUCAAGGAUAAUAUCCCUAGCAUUGCUAAAAGUGAGAGAAAAAAAUGCUCUCUCUAUGCCCUCUCCUUCGAGAGAUUUCUCGACGGCAACCAGUUCUGACUGGUACUGGCUUUGUAUCUUCGAUUGUGAGAAGGAUCUCUUCCUCUUUCUCUCGUCAAAUCUGUGGGGGUGCUCGUUGGUCCUCCCUCUAUUCAAGUUUCAAUGAUUUCUCUUCUCCUUCUGUUGGGAAGACUGAUGGUGGCGCCGAUUCUUUCUUCGUGAAUUGGAUCUGGGGUUGCUUUGGACAGGAGAUGAUGUCAAUGUAUGUGGCAUCUGAGGGUGUUGGAGUGCUUGAUGAUGGUUGGAAGUAUGUCUUUCUUUUUGCUUUCAAGGUGAGAGUCGCUGAGAUCGAUGCAACGGUGGGCAAGCCUUGUGUGGUGGAUCAAGAUGGGAACUACUCGACGAUGUUGUGGGACAACGACGCAUGUAUUGUUGCCAACGGUGAAUGGAAACCUGGAGAUCCCUUUCUCCCUCCUCACAUCGUCACCAUUGAUGUUGGCGAGGUGUUAGGAGGGCGACUUUAUCUCUCUGGUUUGGCCGAUGAGGGUGGGUCUCACAAUGGAUCGGCAAUGGCGGCGGCUCAUGGGAGUGGUGUCGACGGCGCUGCAGGCUGCAUGAUGACUGCUAGGGUUUCCUUCAAGGCCAUAUUGGCUGGGUUUUGUUUGGCUUGAGUAUUUAUUUUGUUUUUUUAAGUUAUUUCUUUUUUAGGUUCAUAUUUCACGAAAAGAUAUUGCGCAUACAUUUGAUUAUGUUACCUGGAGCGAGAGAGAUCGUAAAGAAAAUAGAGACUUGGUGGUCCUUUAAUUAGGGUUUAUAUUUUAUUAGCCGGGCUCUAUAAUUUCUUUGUUUUAGGCUUCAUACAAAAAGAUGGGUGUACUAGGAGAUUACUAGUAUAGUUUGCUCUUUUUUGGGUAGAUUUGUAGUAAUUUCUACGGAACGGUUCAAUCUGUCGCCCUUACUGAGAGGAAUUGUUUUUGUACUAUUUGCUGAGCUAAUAUAGGAUGACCUCUUUUGAUUAAAAAUAAAAAACAACUUUCUCAUUAUUUUUCUAAAAUGGGAAAACAUAUGUUUUAUUUUUCUCAACUUAUGUUGCGAAGCAUAAAUUCUCGAACGUCAUUCAAUAUUCUUCUCUAAUCCUUUUUUUUUCUCUGAAAAGAUCUAAUCCUUUUUUUGUGGAUGUGAUUUUUCUAGCACGGUGUUCCUCCUUGUAGCUGUAGUUAUCUUCAAUAACUUCAUUGUGGCACAAAGAUGACCAAAUCUCGAAAUAGCUCUCUAGCAAGUGCAAUACUGCAAUUGAGGUAACCCAAUAAGGACUUUUUUACAAUAUAUAUGUAUAUAUCAUACAUCAAACCAUGAAUUAUCCGAUCGUUUUAAAUUUUAAAUUACUAAUCGGACGAUUCACGAUAUGUUAUACAAAUAUGUAUAGAAACCGAACUCAUGUAAUAAACUUCCCUUUCUCUUUUGGAAGGCUUUUUCAUUUGGAAAACAUCACUGUCACACAAAAUCGAAUGAAGAUAUAUAUAAUAUAAUUAUAUUCCACAAGCCAUGAGGCUCACCACCAAACCUGAACACAAAGGUCCUGUCUCCAUCGACCGAUUACAAAAAUACUGGUAAACAACAAAGAGCAUUGUUUGAUUCAACUGUUGAACUAGAACCCAUCAGUUUGAACAUUACAGACCAACAAAGAUCGAACAGAGCUAGCCAGCUAAGAAUGAAGUAUUCUAUCAGUAUCAGAACCACAGCUAGCUCCCAAUCCAAGACUAGUGGAGAUCACAAGCCCGAUUGGCCUGAAAGAAAACCUGGGCCUGACGGGCCGCCGCCCUCUCCGACACCAAGCCCUGAAUGACCCUCGUCUUCACCUCCCACGCCGUGUACGGGAACCCUUUCCUGGCGUACGAGUUGAUCAGCGCCGCGCUCGCCUCCUUGAGCAGCCUAGGGAACACGUUCUCAUCGUCGUUCCUGGCCGUCGCUUCCAUCAGCGUCAGAUCGGAUCUGUAACGUUCGUAGGCUCUGGACCCGAACACCUUGGACACCGUCGAGGUCUGCGGGACCAUCCUCGGCCAUGACUCCACUCUGCUGCCCCAGUAGUCCGGCGUGCACCGCCCAGUGGUUCGAGUGAAGAGAAAGCCUGGCCUGGCUGUUGCGGUUGUAGCUAGAAGAAGAAGAAGAAGAGUGAGGUGAGUCAGUUGAGAAGGACGAGCCAUGGUGGUGAUGUGAAACUGAGAUUUGGUUAACUGGGGACCGGUUGGGAUCUGAGAAUGUUUUCAAACUUGGGUGUUUAACUGGACUCUCACGGUCUCACCCACCAUGUCUUCUCGUGUUUUCAUGCACGUGGGGGCUCUGGUUCGGUUCUCGAUACAAGUCGUUUGGACUAGAUUGCCCCUGGUUUUUUACCCGUUCGACGCAAAAGCGGAGGGUUAUGUGGUCUUUUCGAGAAAAGAGGCUCCUAAAGAGAGUUUAGGAACUUGGAGAUGGUGGUUGGUUCUUGGUUUCAUGGAGAUGGAGUUUUGAAUGGAGAGAAAGACACGACAAGUGAGGAAGGUUCGUACUUACGUGGCUUCUUCAAAGGGGAAAGUCCGAUGGACUGUGUUCUAUCUUGGGGCUUGGGUAAUUUUGAUUCCUAAUUAGAUAUUUAGAUUUACUUUUGGUUGUUGUGGGUAAAUUUUGUUGGUGAUCACCUAACAAAUUAACAUGUAUACUUGUGUAGACAGUAUAGGUAAAGAUCAGCUUUUUUCACUCCCCUUUUCUUUUUGAAUAGAAAGAUCAGAUUUUUAACACUGAGGUAGUGUAAUUUCAUAGAGUUUAAACUGCAACAUGACAGUAACUUAUACAAUUUCAUAGUUGAGUUGAUUUGAUGAAUGAUAAAGCGAAAUAAAUGUGUUCCUAAUAUUCAACCCCCAUAGUAAGUUGUGCAGUGGCAUUGAGGCGAUCAAGUUGCUUAACUGGACCCAACUACUUCAGUCACAUUUGCAGAAUUGCAGUUUGCUAUUGAUAUAAAAUGCUCAUAUUAUCUCUUAUCUUUGAGAAGCCUCAAACAAAAAGCGUCUGUAGCUCAGUGGAUAGAGCGUCUGUUUCCUAAGCAGAAAGUCGUAGGUUCGACCCCUACCUGACGCGAUUGAAUGUUUUCAUUUUUCUCAAUUUUUUUGUUCACAAUUUUCUUUUCAUUUUGGAGAUCAAACCUCAUUUUGAAGAUCAAACCUACUUGCAAGGGAAGCUGCACUACAAAAUCUUCCAGCUGCACUACAAAUCUUCCUGUCCAUGAAUUGCUUAACAUUCUACUUUCCUUUAUUAAUCGAAAUAGUGACGCUUUCUUACAAAACCAAGAAGCAGAGAAAGAAAAGAUAAACGCUUAGCCCUAAGAGGAACUUGAUGAACUCAAUACAAGGGUCUCCUGCCUGUUGUACUUGAGCAUCCUGGCCUCUUCUUGAGAAAUUUGGUACGCAUUUACUAGCACAUCAUCCGGCAGUGCUCUCAAGACUGAGGUCCAGCCAGCCAUUGUGUUGAUGAUCGCGUUGUCCUGCGUCUUGAAUGCUAUGUAUUGGAAUCCCUGAUUGUCAAUAGCCUUCUGCAAGACUGCGUGGUUUUGCGGCACUAUAAACAACUGACCCUGGCGGACCUCAUCGUCGAAUAUGGUCUCACCAUUGUCAUUCACCACUUGUACCCUAGCACUUCCUCUGAUCACGUAGAAUAUUUCGUGUGCCAAGAGGUUCCAAUGUGGGCUAUAGAUGGCAUUCUGCAACACAUUUACAUCACACAUAUCAUCAUCACAAUUACACUAACAGAAGAUGAUCGACUAGCUACAUGAACAAAAUGUAAUGUAUACAAGGACUCACAUUGUACAAGAAACCCGUCUCGGCGCUGAGGGACAUUUGCUUAAGGAUGGGCAUAUCAUUGCUGUUGAGGAUAUUGAUGCGACCAGCUUGUGGCGUGUAAAUGUCUGCACGUCUAGGGUCACCAAGGUACUGUUUUAGAGCAAUGUUGCACAAUGACUCCCCAAGACCAUUGUCAUGUCUUCCCUGCAGUCCUUGCUGCUCAUCUUUUUGUUCCUGUUGGGUUCGCUGCCAAUGUGAUGACUUAAUUGGAGGGUGGAGAAAACCAAAUUUUCCCUCCACUCUCACGAUUUGGCUUCGUUGUUGAUCAAUCUGGCCAUGAACUUUCAUGGCAGUUUCAAUGUCCACAUUGAGAGCGUCUGCAAGUAGGCUAGUGUCAAAGCCUGCGAAGAUGUUAUUGUUGUAAUUUGAUCCCUGACCCGAGUGGCGUCUCUGCUCAUAACUUAUGCCUUCCCCUUCUUGUUGGUUAAACUCAUCCUCCUGACUUAUGUCUUCCCCUUGUCGGUUAAACUCAUCUUCCGGGUUACCAGCAAGAUAGAAUCUCUAUAUACAUAAAACACCAAAAUAGGCAACAGUAAUUGGCAUGCAAUAACUAUACAUAUGACGUUAGAAGUAGUAUGAAAAUACAUAUAAGAGUGCAUGGAUGCUUCCCAUCUAAUGAAAUGAGCAUCAUAUAUAGUUUACUUUUCAAGAAUUAUCCAAACAAAAACUCAAUCUUCGAAACACUUGGUUACGUUUCAUUAGAUAUUGAUUUAGUGCUCAUUCUUUUCAGUUUUCACCAUCAUCCAUGAGUUAUUGAACUAUAUAUUUGUUGUUCUUCUCUUAAUUUUUUUAGGCACAUUGAACUAUAUUUCAAGUUAUAUGGUCUAUAUUCUAGACAUGCAUGCAUGUAAUUGUAGUUCUUCAUUAACCCUAAAGUUAUUUGUGACUUUAACUCUGGCUAGCUAGAUCCAUUACCCUCGGGUUUCGAUCAAGCUGGUUAAGGUCGUUGCAGAUGUCUAGAAGACUAACGGCGACGAGGGAUGAGUUGCCAUUGUUGUGCACCCAGUGGACAAUCCCAGGAGGAAUAGCAAUGAUGUCACCUUCUCCAAUGAACCGAACCUUCUGGUGGCGUUCUAAAUCGUCGAAGCCUUGUCUUUCUUCUUGUACUUGUUCAGAGCCUUGAGACAAUUCGAACGUCUCCGGACAGCCAGGCAAUGCAGUCAUCAUCACACCCCAACCUGCACAUAACAUUUUCAUGUCCAUUGCAUCAGUUUAGUAACUAUUCAUUAUCUGAUUCCUACUUAAUUCUCUUUUUUGACAUAUACACACACGCAUAUACCUUUGACGAUGUACAUGAGUUGAGGGGAAUGUGUGUAAGAAGGCAAGUGAAGGCCAUUGGGUUCAAUGGUGAUUCGCUGAGCCGCGACGCCGGCGCACUGAAAGUCAUUCUGGUAGUGAUCCCAUGACUCAAUCCGACCAGCUUCACACUCGAUCUGAAUAUCGGGUUCGCGGGCUUGGAGUUGAUCGAUUUGGCACUGAUUUUGCUUGAUGGGUUCAAACUGCGGAUCAGCUGCUAAGCACCCGUAUUGGGAGAGGACAUGAAGGAGUACCAAGCAAAGAGGAAUAGCAAGCUGUAAGGGCUUAGCCAUUGAUAUAUGCAAGAGCAAUUAAGGAGGAGGAGAAGCAGAGUAGAGCUUAUAUAUGGAGGAGGAGAUGAGGCAGAGACGACACGUCUUGGCCAUACUUAUCUUUGCAUGGACAUUAAUACUUCAUGUUGUUACACCUCAUCCUGUCUUUUAGAGCAGGUGGCUCUUGGUAUAGUUCUAGAGAAAGAUACAAAUUCAACACAUAUGCAUGCAAUAUAUGGUUUUGCUUUCAGUAAUUUCUGACGAUUAUAAGAAGCUGGAAACUGAGAACGAAUUUUAAUGGCUAGAAUUAGUUCCAAUAUGUGUAUAUAUGGAAGAAAUGAAAGAAGUGCACGUUCUAAACUUCAAAUUUAAAUAGCUAAGCGGUAGUGUCAUUGAUUAAUUGAUACAUUUAUGGACUGAAAUCUCAUUGCUUUCAGUCGAAUCUAGGUUCUUAGUUUGCUGUUUAUGACUCAUUAUUAUUGAUGAAGUUGUAUUGCGACAUAAUAUUCGUUUUACAUUAAGAGAAAUUUUAAAUACACACCCCUAAUCUCUUAAUACACACCUCUAUUAUUUUAUGUUUCUAUUAAGAUUUUAUAAGUAAAUUAAAUGACUAAAACAAACAUCUCUUAUUAAAAAAAAAAAAAAGCGCUAGAAGUAUUCUUUUCAAUAUCUUUUACCCUAAAAUCGUUGAAAGUACGUCUUCUCCCAUAACCCCAACUCUUCUCCACAAUNNNNNNNNNNNNNNNNNNNNNNNNNNNNNNNUUCUUUUUUUUUUUUUUUUUUAUCUGUAUCAGCUUUAGUUUGAUCUUGCAUAUCAUAUUCUCAAGUACUGCAUCUUUAUCAUGACAUGUUUUAUCGAAUAACUAGAUAUCUAUGUUUAAUAGCUACUUCUACACUUCUACUAUCUUGUGAAUUUUGAAAAGUUGUAUCGAUGAUUUGGAGUUGAGAUAUAACAAUAAUCAUUUGAUUAUAAAUUGAACAAUGAUAAUAAAAAAUUUCUAACAAAAAUUAGACGAAAUAAUAUGUAAAAAGAGGUAUCAAAUAGUAAAUAUUGAUUAAUUAUAUUAAAUAAUGAAAUAUUUCAUAAAUUAAGGGUAUUUUAGGCAGUUUGAGAUGUGUAUUAAGUAUAAUACUGAAAUGAAAAACUUGAUAUGUGGUGUAUUAAGUAAGGGGUGUGUAUUAAGAUAUUAGGGGUGUGUAUUUAAAAUUUCUCUUACAUUAAUAGAUCGGCACCCAUGAUUUUCAGAAAAAAAAAAAUGCUUUUGAAUAUAGAGUAUGUUCAUGAAAUAUAUAGCACUGCUAGGCAUAAAUAGUUGAUAAAAUACCUUUGCUAAACGAAUCUAGAGUAUUUCCAGUAUCAUUUGGUCUAACGGCGUAAUCUCCUUUUAGUAAGUGGGAGGUUGUGAGUUUGACUCACGAAGUUAUAAUAUUCAAGUUGUUUAGCUGAUAAAAAAAACGAAUCUAUACCUAAAUUUGAUUAGCAAAUCACUUAUACAUCCUUCAAAAAGAUUUAAAACACAAAUAAAUCCACUUGUUUUGUUGUUAAACAAAUAAGGACAAUUUUUAACAAUUAAGGACAAUUUUUUCUCUAUAUGCCAUGUGUCAUGAUUUAAUUUACCAAACUAACCCUACACUAAUUAAAUAUACUUUUAGAAGAGAAAAGUUUUUCCUUUUGAGAUUUUUCAGUAAAUAGAAUACAGUAGUAAUUUUCAAUAAUUUAGUGUGGUAGCAGUUAAUUUUAGUAGAAGUAGCAAUACGUAGUAGCAGCAACAUGAAUCAACAACUUACAAUAACAACACACAACAACAACACACACAGUAGUAGCACACAUCAACAACACACACAGUAGCAACACACAUCCACAACAACAUGCAGUGGCAGUACACGCAAUAGCAGCACACAACCACAACACACGCAGUAGCAGCACACAACAGCACACAAUAGCAACACACAACAGCACACGCAGUAGCAGCACACAACAACACACGCAGUAGCAGCACACAACAACAGGCAGUAGCAGCACACAACAACACGUAGUAGCAGCACACAACAACAGGCAGUAGCAGCACACAACAGCACGUAGUAGCAGCACACAACAACAACACACACAGUAGNNNNNNNNNNNNNNNNNNNNNNNNNNNNNNNNNNNNNNNNNNNNNNNNNNNNNNNNNNNNNNNNNNNNNNNNNNNNNNNNNNNNNNNNNNGAGGAGAAGAGGAAGAAGAAGAAGAAGAAGAAGAAGAAGAAUAAAAAUAAUCGGUGUGUUUCUCAUAUUUAAAAAUGGUGGAGAAGUGAUAUUUUAAGUUAGUGGCAGUUUUGUAGAUAUUUUAAAAAAUAAUGAUUUUUUAGGUAUUUUGCAUAAAAAAUUGCUGACAGGACGUGGUACUAUACACUGUAGGCCUAUAUAUAUGUCCUUAUUUGUUUAAAUAUGUUGAAAUAUGGUUUUUCUGUGUUUUGCAACUGUUUAUGAUAGCUAUACAGUAGGCCUAUAUAUAUGUCCUUAUUUGUUUAAAUAUGUUGAAAUAUGGUUUUUCUGUGUUUUGCAACUGUUUAUGAUAGUGGGAUGUUAUUUUCUAAAAUUUGAUCAGACUAUAUUAAAUUCUUGCUAUUGAAACAUAGGACCUCCCAUAUUUACUUUUUGCAGUUAUGCUCUUUGAAUUGCUAAUGGUAUGGAUUUGAUACGAUGUGGUUAUUGGUCAUGCAAGUUGGAUCAAAACCAUGUUAAAAAGAGAGCUCACUGAGAACAAAAGAUUACAAGAUGGAUCAAAACCAUGUUAUUUUCUAUUUACAACGGUAGAUUUCUCCUCUUACAACACAGCCAUACAAGGCCGUUUUUAUUCUUUGUACCAUGCAAAACUCCGUGCCGCAUUACGUUUUUACAUCUCAUCAUGCAUUCAUUUAAGCAAUAGCCCUCUGGGACUCGGAAGACCUUGAAGAGCUCAAAGCAACAGUUUCCUGUCUGUUGUAUUUGAGAUUCCUUGCCUGUUGUCGGUCAAUCUGGUACGCAUUAGCAAGGACACCGUCCGGGAGUGCACGCAAGACUGAGGUCCGGCCAGCCAGAGUGUUAAUCUUGGCAUUGUCCUGGGUCUUGAAGGCAAUGUACUCGUAGCCAUUGUUGCUAGCCUUCUGUAACACUGCGUGGUUCUGUGGCACAAUGAAGAGCUGGCCCUGGCGGACCUCGUUGUCCAAGAUGGCCUGGCCGUUGUUGUUCACAAUCUGAACCCUAGCGCUACCUCUAAUGACAUAGUACACUUCAUGAGCGUUCAAGUUCCAGUGGGGGCUGUAGAUAGCAUUCUGCAUGUAGAAGACAAUUAAUAAGAUACUUACAUGAGCUCAAACAACUAAUCAGUUACUUGAAAUUGACAAAUAUUGAGUAUACUUACGUUGUAGAGGAAGCCUCUCUCAGCGCUGAGGUCAAGGUGCCUGAGAAUAGGCAACUUAAAACUGUUGAGCGUGCUGACGCGACCGGCUUGGGGACUGAAGACAUCGGCGCGUGACGGCCUGCCAAUAUUCUCUUUGAUCCUGAAGUUGCAGAAUGUCUCCUCAAAACCAUUCUGUCCUUGUUGCCCCUGUUGUCUCUGAAUUCCCUGUUCUCGUCUUUCCUCCUGUUGUGACUCUGGUGGCUGGAUGAAAUCGAGACGUCCUCUAACUCUCACGAUUUGGGGUCUGUUGUCUUUCUGUCCCUGAAGCUGCUGGGCAGUCUGUUGGUCAAUGUUCAAAGCAUCAGCGAGGAGCUGUGUGUUGAAGCCUGCAAAGAUGUUGUUGUUUCCUUGUCGUUGUUGUUGCUGGUGCCUGCUCCUUCCUCCUUGCUGUUGCUGGUGCCUGCUCUUUUCUCCUUGCUGUUGCUGGUCCUGGUCCCAUUGACUUUGGCCUUCCGCUUGUUGUCCACGUCCUUGCCGUCCUCGUUGCCUUUGGCUUUGCCCGUGUUGGUUAAACUCAUCUUGUGGAUUACCCGCUAGAUAGAAUCUCUAUACACAUAACAAUAGUACAAUACAUGUAUGUGAUCUGCAGUCAGCAAUGAUAACAAGUAAUCUACCAAUAAAUAUGCAAAUAUAUUUGGGGGUGUAAAUGGACAGUGUGCUCAUUAGUAGAUAUUUAAUUUACCCUAGGGUUACGAUCAAGCUGGUUUUGGUUGUUGCCGAUGUCAAGAAGACUGACAGCAACAAGAGGUUGAUCACCGUCAUUGUAGGACCAGUAGGUGACUCCGGCAGGAAUAGCAACAACGUCACCUUCUCUGAUGCGUCGAACCUUCUGGUGUCUGUCUAGCUGUUCGAAGCUUUCUUGUCCCUGUUGGCCUUGCUGGCCUUGUUGUCUAUGACGGCCAUGCUGUCCACGGUCUUGCUGCUCUUGUUGUUCACGGCCUUGCUGUCCAUGACGCCCUUGCCAUUGUUGUUGACCCUGUUGUUCUUCAUCAGAUUGUUCUGAUUCUUCAAAAGACUCAGGACAGCCAGGGAAUACAGUAGAUAGAAAACCAUUUCCUGCCGUAAUUAUAUGAAUAUAUUACACACCAUAUACAGAUACAUAUUAAUACAUAUCCAACAUUUAUAAUAUUAGAUAGAAAUGGUUCCGGUUACACAGUACCUUGGACAAUAUAUAUGAGCUGUGGUGCGUGGGUGUAAGAAGGCAAGUGAAGGCCAUUUCUUUCAACAGUGAUUCGUUGAACAGCAACACCAGCACACCGGAAGUCGUCCUGGUUGUAGUUCCAGGACUCGAUCCUACCCGCUUCAGUCUCAAUGCGGUUAUCAGGUUCGCGGGCUUGGAUCUGAUCAAGUUGGCACUCAUUCUGCUGGCUCGACUGAGAUUGUUGGCGCGCUGCUAAGCAGCUGUGGAAGAGGACAAGCAAGCAAAGAGAAAAGGCGAGAGCUAUAGGCUUAGCCAUAGUGUUGAUCAGAUAAGUAUAUAGCUUGUCGUGGUGAAGCGGCGAGUAGAAGGUGUGGUAUUUAUACUUUUAUAGGAUAGAGAAGCUGAAGAGGGAAGGAUAAGUACAACAACGUACAUCUGUAAAUAGUCUGAAGCCAUUCUUAUCUUUGCAUGGCAAAAGCAUUUCACAUUCUUACACCUCAUUUCUCCCAGGGCAGGUGGCUCAUGGCUUCAGAGAAGAUACAAAGUGCCUAACAAGGUGGGGUUUUGCCAUGAUUGUCUGCAAGUGAAGCGAAAUUCUACUGCCUUGAACCUGGUCCAAUAAAGAGCAAAAUUUAUGAGAGGACUAAGAUAUGUUCUUACCAGUUUUAGUAAAAUAGUAUUACAUCAGCACCAACCUGAUGAACAUCUUCUAUAAUGUAGGCAAGGUUCAAAAAUGGCUGUUCUUAUCUUCCUAGUAGCCAUCCAUACUCUGUCAUUUUAUGAGUCAAAGUUUAAUAUUUAAAACUUAUGUAGACAUUCCAACAAUAAAACUUAAAAGUUCUUAACUCUAGUUGGUAAUACUUUGACACGUCAAACUUCUUUGAUUUCUUCCAGAAGCAUAAGCAUCUGGUUCUCACGUUGCUAAUCACUUCACCUAUCUAGUUUUCCUACCAAAAAGAAUCUGAUAUAGAUAGAAAAGUUAGCCAUAAAUGUAGGACUUACUGUGAACAAUGUCCCAAUUCCAACCUCAAAGAUUAGAAUCUAAAAGCUCGUAACUCAAAAUUAUACAACAUCAUUAUAUUCACAAUAAAAAGUACUCUGACAUAAGGUUUAGUUCAGUUUAGUGCUUCUUGAAAAAAAAGAUGAAGACUUCAACUGUUCUACAACAUAAUUGUCUAUAUCUAUACUCAAAAUGAUCAAUAAUCGUUUAUCCUACCAUAUUUCUUGUAUGGAAUAUCUUGUUACAUUUUGUUUUCAUAGCAAAAUGUUGCAAUAUUUGAGUGAUAGAUACACUGCCAACAUGGUGUACAAGUUCCACAGCCAAGAUUUUUGGGCUCACGACAACUCUUAAGGCUUAAGAACCAGUAAUGCAUGGUUGAACUAGGGAGCAGCCAUUGCUGAAGGCUCCUCCUCAAAACGAUCCAUUGCUUUAUUACCCCAUGGUUGGAAAACCUGCCAACAGUCAAAAUUUCCUCUUCCCCCGCAGUCGAUAUUUUCUCAUCUCAAUAAAUUUUAUUCAUCCAAAACAUAAAUCCUUUUGUUUAAGUACCCGCCAGUAUAUCUAAUAUCUGUGACAAGCCGAGUGCUGACAGCUGAUAUUUUAAAACUUGGGAUUCCCUAUAGCCCCUCUCAUUAUAACCCCUCUAAUGUUAAAGCUUCUGCUAAAGACACAUCUCUAGUUCCUCGAGCUAAUGCUACAUCCGCAAUGCAAUUGUUCCCAUGCAAUGAUUAGCCAGAGGAAAACUCGAGGAGCUCCCUUGACUCUGAUCAAUUUAGCCUCAAGUCUCGAACUUGUUCUUUGAAAGUCAGUGAAGAGGCUACUUCUUUAACUGGUGAUGGUGCUCAACCAAUGUUAAGCCAGACAGAGGAUAGUUAAGUGAAUCUGGUCGGGAAGACCUAAAAAGAGCAAAACUUCUUGCUUUCCCUUGCUACACAACGAGUACUACUAAAAGGUCGAUUCCAACAAAAGAGCUCAGGAUGUUGUUAUUAAUGGGGUUGGGACUUGAGUUCUCGGGUGGGAAUGUGAAGGUGCAGCAGUUGCUUUGCAACUCUACUUUACUGUCCUUGUCCAAGCUGAUAAGGGUGGGACGACAUUGAACGGCCUUAUUUACAGGUCCUCUAUAUAUUGGAAUACUUGACUGUCUCAGAAAGGACUUGCCAAGUGAUUCCCUAAUUCUAAUGCUCAGACCUCGGCCUAUUUGAAAUGUCUGAUAGAAACUAGUUUGAGGAAUAAUUAGCUUCUUUACCUGUGAGUACAUGUUUCUAUGGAAGGUUUCUGUAAUGCUAGCUUUCCUUCUGCUAUAAGGAAGGUGACCAAGCUUUUAAUCCUAACACCAAAGUUAAACCUUUUCCAAAGAAAGGGGGUCAAAACCUGUAGAAUAUUAUGUAACAGGUUGAACCUAACACAUAAAGUUCAGCAAUCAUCCAUGAUCCAUCUUCUAUCAUAUUUUUACUGAACCAAAGAUUAAGUAAUCAACACUGGCAGUUGUUUAUGUAAGUUAUUCUGAUAAAGAAAAAAGAUCCAUCACUACCCUUAAACUUAUUGUGCCACAAAACACAAAUGACUUCAAUUGUUCCUAUCGCAUAGAAACCAAACUUUUGUCAUUGUUUCUUGGAAUUAUUCUGUACACAUCACUUCUGUGCAAUCAUGCACAAAAUAGAAUCAAAAUACCAUGACAAUGACAAAGGGUUUAAUUCAAUUUGGCACUUCUUACCAACACUAUGCUCCUCCAAAUGGUCCUCAUAGUCAAAGGGACUUCCCCAUAUCCCUUGUUCCAAAAUUAGCUUCUUUACCCAGAAUCAAUCAUCCUACUACGCUCAAAAUAUCUAAUUUCUCAAUACUCUACUGAUUCAAUUGAGUUGAAGACAAAGUAGACAACAAUUAACAGAUCAAAUGUGAAAGUACAUAAUUCAAUAGACUCACGAUUGCUGAGUUGCAGGUCACUGGUUGUGGUGUGUCUGAUCAGCAGGAGCUACGUUUCAAGCACGCCCUCGUGAAGCAAUCUCGUCCCCGACGCGACCUCUGGUAGUCGGAAUAUGCGGCCGGAUAACAUGAUCCGGCGAUCCCGUCUUUCACAUUGUGUUUGGUUGGACAUUGGCGGUUCCAGCAGUUCAGUUACUAUUGGUCUUCACCCUCUCAGCGCUCAACCUCUUCUAGUCUCUCCUUUUAUUCUUGUACUUGUCAGUUGUCACAGUUGCUAUCUAUGUGAUUGUUCCACGUGGAUUUUAUUUUCCUGCAAAUUCCCAAAUUAAUUAUUAUUUUGUCCAAAAUUUCCAGAUGAAUUGUUUGUUGUCUUUGAUGUUUUUUUUUCUUUUGUAAAAAGAUCGUAUGACCCCUUAUAUGGAUAUUUUCAGGAGACUUCUUGCCGCCUUCACGCUGUUCACGUUCCACAUACAUAUAUACAUGCAGCUCAACAUGCUUUUUCACCAACUUCACUGAGUUCUUUGAUGAUUCUAAUCAUUCGAUGGAAUCACAAAAUAGUUAGUUUAUACAACAGAGUUCGUGAGCUGCUUAUUUUAUAGUUUAAUUUUGGCGUGACGUCAUUAGUUAAAGCUCGACGAAGCAUGCUGUUUUUCUUUUCUAUCAAGAGCGUGAUUAGCUGGUUUGGAAAUUUCAUUUCUAUUUUUCUCGUUCUUAUUGAGAGUCAAACUUUGAAGAAAUGAUAGUCAAACUUCGAAGAAAUGAUUGGAGUCAAACCUGAUGAUUACAGACAAGGGGUGAGCUGCUGAUAUGCAAUUACAGCCAAAGCAAAUUACUGACUUAAAUCUAAGGGGCAAAGCUUCACAAUUUAGAUAAAACACCAACUCACCAAGUAUAGUUGAGGCAAAAAGAAAAUUCAUUUAACGAGAAUAUGACUACAAGAACGUAGUAGCUCGUUAUUUACUAGUUUGUACAUAAGAUCUCAUAUCUUCCGAAGAUGCCAUAUAAAGGCCAUUUUUAUUCACUCUACCCUUUAGCUCGCUGGUACCAUAUUCACUAGCUUAUUCACCGCACAAAAAACACUACGUGCGCAUUACAUACAUAUUCAUACUCAGACAAACAUCUCAGCAAUAUCCAACCAGUUCCUGUGGGAUCGAGGAGACCUUGAUGAGCUCAAAGCAACAGUCUCCUGCCUGUUGUACUUGAGAGUCCUUGCCUGUUGUCGAUCAAUCUGGUAUGCGUUAGCGAGGACCACGUCAGGGAGUGCCCGCAAGACUGAGGUCCGGCCAGCAAGAGUGUUAAUCUUAGCAUUGUCUUGGGUCUUGAAAGCAAUGUAUUCGAAUCCAUUGUUGCUAGCCUUAUGCAACACUGCAUGGUUCUGUGGCACAAUGAAGAGCUGGCCCUGGCGGACCUCGUUGUCCAAGAUGGCCUGGCCGUUGUUGUUCACAACCUGAACCCUAGCACUACCUCUAAUGACGUAGUAGACUUCAUGGGCGUUCAAGUUCCAGUGAGGACUGUAGAUAGCAUUCUGCAAGUACCACAAACAAGAUUAGUAAUCAUAAUCAAUAACCUCAAUUGAUUCAAAAGGACCUAUAUCGUUGAUUAUAUAUACUUACGUUAUAGAAGAAGCCUCUCUCAGCGCUGAGGUCAAGGUGCCUGAGAAUAGGCAACUUAAAGCUGUUGAGGGUGCUGAUGCGACCGGCUUGGGGACUGAAGACGUCAGCGCGUGAAGGCCUGCCGAUAUUCUCUUUGAUCCUGAAGUUGCAGAAUGUCUCCUCAAAACCAUUCCGUCCUUGUCCCUGUUGUCUCUGAAUUCCCUGUUGUUGUCUUUCCUCCUGUUCUGACUCUGCUGGCUGAACAAAGUCGAGACGUCCUUUAACUCUCACGAUUUGGGGUCUGUUGUCGUUCUGUCCCUGAAGCUGCUGGGCAGUCUGUUGAUCAAUGUUCAGAGCGUCAGCGAGGAGCUGUGUGUUGAAGCCGGCGAAGAUGUUCUUGUUGUUUCCUUCUUGUUGCUGGUGCCUGCUCCUUCCUCCUUGCUGUUGCUGGUGCCUGCUCCUCUCUCGUUGCUGUUGCUGGUCCUGGUCCCAUUGACUUUGUCCUUGCUGGCCCCGACGACUCUGGCUUUGCCCGUGUUGGUUAAACUCAUCUUGUGGAUUACCAGCCAGAUAGAAUCUCUACAUACAUAACACAUCAUGCAUGUGAUCAGAAAAAACUAGCAAGCCAACAGUAAGAGUGCUAUUGUACCUCCACAAAAGAAAAUAUAUACAUAUCACAUUUGCUAAUUAAUUUACCCUGGGGUUACGGUCAAGCUGGUUUUGUUGGUUGCCGAUAUCAAGAAGAUUGACAGCAACAAGAGGUUGGUCACCGUCGUUGUAGGACCAGUAGGUGACUCCAGCAGGAAUAGCAAUCACAUCACCUUCUCUGAUGCGUUGAACCUUCUGGUGUCUGUCUAGCUGCUCGAAACUCUCUUGUCCCUGUUGGCUGUGCCGCCCUUGUUGUCUAUGACGACUUUGCUGUCCAGGGCCUUGUUGCCCUCGUUGACCACGGCCUUGUUGUUCAUACUCUUCCUGUUCUUGUUGCCCGCGGCCUUGCUGUCCAUGGCGCCCUUGCUGGCCUUGCCACUGUUGUUGACCUUGUUCUUCAUCAGAUUGCUCAGAUUCUUCAAAAGUUUCAGGACAGCCAGGGAAAACAGUUGAUAGAAAACCAUUGCCUACAGGGUAUAAAUGAAUGAUUUUAACCACAUACGUACUUGUAUUCAAAAAAUUUAUACUAAAUUUAACCAAUUGCAUUUAUACAAUACCUUGCACUAUGUAAGUGAGUUGUGGAGCAUGGGAGUAAGAAGGCAAGUGAAGGCCAUUUCUUUCUAUGGUAAUUCGUUGAACGGCAACACCAGCACAUUGGAAAUCGUCCUGGUUGUAGUCCCAGGAUUCGAUCCUACCCGCUUCAGUCUCAAUGCGGUUAUCAGGUUCACGGGCUUGGAGCUGAUCUAAUUGGCAUUCAUUUCGCUGGCUCGACUGAAAUUGUUGGUGAGCUGCUAAGCAGCUCUGGAAGAGGACAAGCAAACAGAGAGAAAAGGCGAGAGCUAUAGGCUUAGCCAUAGUGAUGAUCAGAGAGAUAGCUAGCUAGUUGUGGUGAAGCGGCGAGUAGAAGGUGUGGUAUUUAUAGGAUAGAGAAGGUGAAGAGACAAAAAUAAGUACAAUAACAUUAAAGAUCUGAAGCCGUUCUUCUCUUUGCAUGGCAAUAGCAAUUUACAUUCUUCCACCUCAUUCCUUCCAGGGCAGGUGGCUCAUGACUUCAGAGAAGAUACAAAGUGCUAUGAAUAAGGUGGCAACCAGAAGCGGUUUGCAAUUGUCUGCAAGUGAAGCAAAAUUUUACACCCUUGAACCUGGUCCCAAUACAGGGAAAAAUUAAUGAGAGAAGUCAGAUAAGUUCGUUCUAAAUUUGGUAAAAUGAUAUUACAUCAGCCCCAACCUGAUGAACAUCUUCUAUGAUCCAGACAAGGUUCAAAAAUGUAAGAUCUCAUCGGAAAAAAAAUGUAUGUUAGAUAAGUACUGAAUGAUGUGUCAGGAACCUCAAGACAUUUUUCUAUAUGCAAUUUAUCAUUGUUUCACAUUCUUACAGCUCAUUUCUUUGACCAGGUGGCUUAUGGCUUCAGAGAAGACUCAAAGUGGCUUGAACAAUGUGUCAACCAGGUGGGAAUGACAUGAUUUUCAAAUGCAGCAAAGAUUUACUGCCGUGAAUAAUGCAAAAUUAAUUAUACAAACAAGAUCUAUAGCUGUUCAAUGCAUAGUUUGGAAAAGUAAAAUCAUACCAACACCAACCUGAUAAACUCAUCUAUGAUGCAUGCAUGGUGAAAAAUUAUAACAUUUUCAUCUUUCCUACAGUAAUCAGCAUAGUCUAUCCUUUCAUGAAUCAAAAUUAAUACUUCAAGUCUAUGCACAUAAAAUCUUACUAAAAAUAAUGCAGUUUAGUGGUUUAUAUAAGUUUCUUUGCAAACAAAUCUGAACUCCAUCACUAUUCUUGAAACUACUGUGACCCAUCAACGUUAUUACCUCAGCUAUCAACCAUUCUCAUGUCAUAAAGAUUCAGAAUUUGCAAUAUUACUCCUAGAAGUUCUCUGUUCAUCUACAGAAAGGAGUCUCGUAGAAGCUACUGUUGUGAUAGAAGCUAGGAUAGCUAAUGCUGCAAAAUUGAUCUCCGAGAAGCUAUUGUUGUUAAAAUCCCAUCUCAUAAAAUUUUCUCCUGUUUCAAAAAUUAAAAAAUAUAAAAAAUUGUCUCCCUUUGAUUAAAGCACCCUGAACACCAGAAAUGGUGUCACUUAAAACCUCUCUCAAUCUCCAAGCUAACACUUUUGCGAUAAUUUCAUACAAGCUUGAUAAUCAAGCUGUGGACUUCUGUAGAUGAACAGAGAACUUCAAGGAGAACUACCACUUUUGGACUAAUUUUACAACCAAGACUUUACUUCUACUACUUUGUUAUAAAAGAUUGCAAGGCAUCAAUAGACGAUAUAUAGUUGAUAAGACUGGAUGCAAUCCACUCAAAUGCAUUUCAAAAAACUAUAUUCAAUGAGUAAUUUGAGUUGUUUUUUUCUUCCAACUCAAAAACUUGAACAAACCUCGAUUCUAAUACUCUAAACAAAGAAUUUAACCCGGAAUCGAAAGAUCAAUACUGAAAAACAUAAUCUGAUACAUAAACAUGUGUUAUCAUUUGUAAAACAUCAGAUACAACCUAUUUGCACAAAAUGGGUUACACAUCUCUAACAAAGGCUUAGACUUUAGAUAUCAAAAGAAUUCCAAUUUGUCCUCUUCUACACAAUUCUAACAAAUGCUCAAGUCCUUUAAGGCCUUGUAUUUAGAUGCUAAGAAGAGUAAAAAAUGGGCCUAUUGGCAGGAUUUAAAUUGAAAAUCUUGAUUUAAAAAUGGUUGAAUUCCAGAUCAGUCUACAGAGAAUCUAGUAAUUCUAUGCUUCAAAAACUCAUUUGCCCCUCUUUAAAUCCUCACAAUGUGGGGUUGAUUAGCUUCCUUUAACCAAGAGUAACAUGGUUCUAUGAAAAACAAGCAUUAAUGAAUCAAACAGAGAUCACAACACAAUAACAAAUAGAUCAAACUUUGAAAUCAACUAAUAUUAGACUCCCAAAUUCCAAGUUCAAGUAGGCUGUUGUUGAAUCACGCGUUACCUCGCGAAGCGAGUCUCGCUUCCCACGACGUUGCAUUUCUUGCUCGUCGGCGUAUGACGCCGGAGAAAACGAUUCGGCGACCACGUCUUCCAUUUUUCCCUUCAUUUUCUGAUCCUGGUUUGCUCUCUGGUUUUCUACCUAUUGUGUUGGGCUUUAUUACAUACUUUUGGGUCCUUUUUCCUUUUAUUUUUCUUUUUCUUUCAUUUUAAAAGUCGAAUAGUUUCCUAAUAUUUCGAAAAAUUAAAAGUCGAGUACCUCACAGUAUCUAGUUUUUAUUUGAUAAAUCAGUAUCUAGUUUUUUUUUUUUAAGAAAGAGCUUCUAGUUUUCAUAUUCAUUUGAUAAAUAAAAGUAAUUUUAACCUCUCGUGUGCAUUUAAGUUGUCUAUUAUGGUGAGAAAAGUUUCCUAAAAGAAAACUAUGGUGAGAAAAACAAGAGCAUUCGAAAUGAGAAGAACAUGAAGGUGGAUUUGAGAGGAGCCAAAACGCGAAUCAAAGGAAGAAGAAAGAGAUUUCAUUAGAAAAAAGUGUAACGCGAAUCAAAGGAAGAAGAAAGAGAUUUCAUUAGAAAAGAGUGUUUGAGACUACAAGUAGAGUAGCUAUUUAUUAACUUGUGGCAUUAGAUCUCUCUCCUAGUACCACGAGACCCAUAUAAAAGGCUACUUUUAUUGAUUAUCUACCUCUUAGCUUAGCAAGUACCACAUUAACACUACAUGCCGCUAAAUUUUUCAUUUGCUCCCAUCAGUAUCUCUAGAACUGUGAGGACCUUGAUGAGCUCAAAGCAAGAGUCUCCUGCCUGUUAUACUUGAGGUCCUUGCCUGCUCGCGGUCCAUCUGGUAGGCGUUGGCGAGGACCACGUCGGGGAGUGAUCGCAAGACGGAGGUCCUGCCAGCUAGAGUGUUGACCAUGGCAUUGUCAUUGGUCUUGAAGGCAAUGUACUCGUACCCGUUGCUCUGGGCUUUUUGCAACACGGCGUGGUUUUGCGGCACGAUGAAGAGUUGUCCCUGGCGGACCUGGUCGUCCAAGAUGGUCUCACCGUUGUCGUUCACCACCUGAACCCUGGCGCUACCUCUGAUGACAUAGAUGAUCUCAUGAGCAUUCAAGUUCCAGCGGGGGCUGUGGAUAGCAUUCUGCAUGUACCAUUACCAGAUAAAUUUCAGGAUUAAUUGAUCAAUAGGUAACUAAAUUUAAUUAUUAGAAACAUACAUGCUAGAAUACUCACGUUGUAGAAGAAACCUCUCUCAGCGCUGAGACGGAGGUGCCUGAGAAUAGGCAUGCUGAAGCUGUUGAGGGUGCUGAUGCGACCGGCUUGUGGGCUGAAGACGUCAGCCAUGGAAGGCUUGCCGAUGUUCUGCUUGAUCUGCAUGUGGCAGAAUACCUCCUCAAAGCCAUUCUGGCGGCCCUGUUGUCCUUGCAGUUGUCUUUCCUCCCUCUGUGACUCUGGUGGCUCGACAAAGUCGAAACGUCCCUCAACCCUAACAAUUUGUGGCCUGUUGUCAUUCUGUCCCUGGAGCUGCUGGACAGUCUGUUGGUCAAUGUUGAGAGCAUCGGCGAGGAGCUGGGUGUCGAAGCCGGCAAAGACAUUGUUGUUGUUGUUACCCUGCUGUUGGCGCCUGCUCCUUCCUUGUUGUCGGCCUUGCUGUCCCCGUUGGCUUUGGCCUUGUUGUCCUUGUUUCCACCAUUGGCUUUGGCCUUGUUGGUUGAACUCAUCUUGCAUGCGGGUUACCAGCAAGAUAGAAUCGCUACAAAUAGAGAUCAAGCAGCAAGCAUUGAGUGAGUUAACAAUGUAAAAUAAGUUGUUAACUUCAUGUUUAGAGUAAAAUUGUCAGUAAAAAGGUGUACCCUCUUGGGUUUUGGUCAAGCUGGUUGUGGUUGUUGCCGAUGUCUAGAAGAGUAACAAAAACAAGAGAUUGAUCACCAUCGUUGUGAGUCCAGGUUGUGGCUCCGGCGGGGAUUGCGAUAACAUCACCUUCCUUGAUGCGUCGCACCCUCUGGUGUCGGUCUAGCUGUUCAAACUCUUGUUGGCCUUGCUCUCCGAAUUGCCCUUGUCGACGUCCGUGUCGCUGGCGGUGGCCUCCGCCUUGUUGGCCUUGCCAUUGUUGUUGCUGUUGUUCUUCAACAGAUUGCUCAGACUCCUCAAAUGUCUCCGGACAGCCAGGGAAUACCAUCCCUAGAUGACCCCUACCUACAGUAGUGUCCAAAAAUAGCAAGCUAAACACAUGCUUAAACACCACUAGGUGCAAUUUACUGAAUAAUAAAUAACGGACUGUUUUGCACUUUACCUUGUACAACGUAAACAAGCCUUGGUGUGUUAGUGUAGGAAGGCAAGUGAAGGCCAUUACGCUCAAUGGUGAUUCUUUGAACAGCAACACCAGCGCACUAGAAGUCAUCCUGGUUGUGAUCCCAAGACUCGAUGCGACCUGCUUCAGUCUCAAUACGGUUGUCAGGCUCGCGGGCUUGGAUCUGGUUCAGCAUGCACACAUUUUGCUGGCUGAACUGAGAUUGUUGCCGACUGGCUAAGCAGCCUUGGAAGAGAACGAGCAAGCAAAGAGAAAAGGCAAGAGCUAAAGGCUUGGCCACCAUUGUAACAAUCAGUGGUAGAUAGCUAGCUGUGGGUUGUGGUGAAGCGGCGAGUAGAUGGCGUCGGUAUUUAGAGGAGAGAGGAGGAGGCGAGGAGGAGAAAAAUACAAGGGAUGAGAUUCUCUUUGCAUGCUAUUAGUAUCUCAAAUUCAUACACCUCAUCUUUAUACCUGGGCAGGUGGCUAUUGGCUUCAGAGGAUAUAUAUACAAAGUGCCGAGAACAAUGUGGCAAACAGGUGGGGGGUGGUCAUGAUUGUCUGCAAGUAAAGCAAAUUGUACUGCCUUGAACCUGGUCAAGUUCAUGAAAAAGUUCAUUCAAGAUAUCAGGUCUAAUCUGUUUCAUGUUUGGUAAAGUAAAUAGAGUAGCAACCUGGACCAUAUAUAAUCUACACAGGUGAGAUAAAAAAACCUUAAUUUACCAUCAUGCAAUAGCCAGAAUCCAUCUUCAAUCCUCUAUGAUUCUAUUAAGACUUAAAGCACAUUUACCCUCUUCAAGAAUUCACAUUCCAGCACUCUUCUAAAUGACUCUACUUGAUGAAAUUCAAAGUACCUCUCGCUAUAUUCUGGGAAUUACUGUGAUCAUCAGAGCAAUUACCUCACCUAUUAACUCAUAGUAUGCUUGAGCUAAUGUGAGAUCAUUCCUUAUAUAAAUGAGAAUGCAAUGCCUAACAUAAGUUUUAUGUGUAUAAUACAAUCAUAAGAGACUCACUGAUUACAAUUAUAUGAAAUAUAUGAAACAAAAGCACAGAAAAUAGACUUCUGGAAAAAGAACAUAUUUCUACAAGUGAAGGCUUAUUAUUUACACUAGUCUCACUGAUUUCCAUUUGGCUCUUCUGACCAAAUAGACUUCUGUAAAAAGUACAACAUUUGAGCCCAUGAUCACCCUCUACUUGGAAAUACCAUUGAUUCUAAAACAUAGUCCUUACAGUAUUUGUGGGAACUAGAUUAUUGGGUCAGUUUAGCUAAGAUUAAACUGUUAACAAAACCAAGCUUUAGAACCCAAUUUAGCAAAAUGAACAUACAAUAGUGUCACACCCCGGACCGUGGUUUCCAAGCACCAGACGCCGAACCCGAGGCGUGAGCGGGAAAAAUAAAAGAAAAUAAAAUAAUUUCAAAUACUUUUCCAGAAAUUGUUAAAAAAAAAGAAAAUAAAAUGUUUUACAAUAACAAAACAAUUACAAAGACAAUAAGAUGAGCCCUUGCGAUCUAGCUCAUUUUUAAUCUUUCGUAACUCUUUUCUACUCUUGUACACGUCUCCUAAACUUCAUAGUCUCGAAAUACGUUCCUCGUACGUACCUGAACAAAAGUCUAUAGGGAUGAGCUUACGCUCAGUAGGGCCAAACCUUUUUAGGUUAUACUUAACUAGGUUGCACAAACAAGUUAUCAAGCAAUGUCAAACAAUACUUUAAAUAAAUAACGGCAAUUCGAUGCAUGUAUGCUAAUGAAUGUCUUCCUCAAUUACUAGCUAUCAGUCCAUACAUCAAAGAUAAGUGAGCCUACACGUCUCAUACCGUGUAUUUUACCAACCGGGGAUAACUCAAAUGUCUCGAAUAUAUGAUCUAACAAUCAAUAAAAUCUCACCACCUGUACCUCUUUUGUUAGUCAUCUUGUUAUAUUCAUGGUCUCCAAACCUGAAACCCGAAGAUCGUUUUAUCGAUGUCCGCCAUCGAAGGGGCAUAUAUACUUUCCCCACUCAUUUGCGCAUGUGGGCUGGCAUGGAUUCAUGGACAACCCAUGAGAAAACUCAACUACACAAAAUGUAUAUAUUCUCUAAAUCUCAUUCUCCUCUCCAUAAUCAUCAUUCUCACCAUUCUCACAAUUCCUCACAAUGUUUUACACACUACAAGGACAAACACUUUAGCCGACGAAAAAGUUUCGUCGGCCUGUUAGCUUAAUUUGUCGGCUAAGAUUUCGUCGGGAAAAGGUCGUCGGCGAUGACUUUAGCCGACGAAAAAAGAAGACGUCGUCGGCUAUAGUCCCACAAUUUAGCCGACAAAAAACAUGUCGUCGGUUUUUUUCCCAGACUUUAGCCGACGAAACAAUAAGAUAUUCGUCGGCUAAAGUGUGUAAUAAAAAAUUAAAAAAAUAAUUAUAGCCUACCAAAUAUAGUCUGUUUCGUCGGCUAAACCUUAUAAAAAAAUUAAAAAAAUAACUAUAGCCGACGAAAUAUAGUAUGUUUCGUCGGCUAAACCUUAUAAAAAAAUUAAAAAAUAAAUAUAGCCGACGAAUAUAGUAUUUAAAUAUCGUCAGCUAAAGUUGCUGGUUUUUGAAAAAAAAAACUGCAGAAACUUUCGGCCAACUCCAAUCACCACCAAAAUUUGAUAGAAUCUUCCUCUCAACAUUUCAAACAACUUUCUAGAAGAAGUCGAAUCCCAAUUCUAAACCUAAACAGGUCAAUUGAAUCAAAAUAUAAAAAUCCCCAAUUUUAAACCCUAAAAACUUCAAAUCUUUGAUUCUCCUCACACACACCGAAUCGAGCUACCAAAUUCUAGGGGAAUGUAGUACUAAUCAAACUCAACUUAUCCAUAUAUAGAACUCACCAAAUGGUGACCUGAGGAAUGAGAAAUUCGAUCGACACCGAAUCCAAACCGGCGGAGUUUUGGAGCUCGAUUUAUCCCUCACGGCGGCGCCACUCGAUGCACCACCUAUCCAGCAAUGAAGUAGAGACAACGACGAAGCUUUUGGGACAAGUGUGGCGGUCUCCAGUUGCUUGACGGCAGAGCUAGGCCGAGAAGAAAAUCCGGAACUUUUUCUGAUUUUCUGACUUCUUACCAUCCACCUCUGGUAAAACUCCUAUAUAAAGAACUUUACCCGACGAAAUUCUUUAUUUUCGUCAGCUAAACUCUUUUGAAAAUUUUUGUUGACCGCCAAAAAAUUUGGUUGAAAAUUUUAAAAAUUUUUCGACUUUAGCCGACGACUUUUCAUAUAUUUUCGUCGGCUAAAGUCCUUUGAAAAUUUUCCUCCAAAUUUGGUUUACCGCCAACAAAAUUUGACCUUAGCCGACGACUUUUUUAGUAUCUCGUCGGCUAAAGUCUAUAAAUUCACGAAAACGCUCAUAUCGAUCUCCCUCUAUAUUACGUAGUUUGGUCAAACAUUCCACACGAAAAACUUUCACAUAGAUGAGACGCAACCGCCUAUAUAAAAAUUUUGAGACAUUUACCUUCCGACGAUAGGGCUCCCCAUAGGGAAUAAUAACGGUAAAUAGGGUUAACCGCUACUAUCGGCACCGAGACGUUACCCAGUUUACGUGGAUUUUGAACCAUAGCCGUAAUUCAUCAUUCUGAACACAUCUUAUUUCACAAGAUUUUUGAUAAUUUUGCUUCCUAUGUUGUAUAACCUACUAAACAAGUUAUACAACAUUACUAGACACGUGAUUCCGAUGACUAAAAUUCACAAACCAAAAUUCGACCAUCAGAUAUGAUCAUUAUGACGAAAGAUGUCUAUAGUAAAAAAUUUAACUGGAUUCGACAACGUUAAGGGCUCGAUCGAAACGGUCAACUCUAAUCGGAAAUAAGAAAACUGCAUUUUGAAGCCCUAAACGGACUCGGAUGGCCAAAAAGGCCCAUAUGUGAUGGCAUAGCGAUGAGUUUGACUCGUAGGGCCGUUACGCUUCUAGAAAUGUAUCACAAUAGUCAAUCGGACGCCGAAUGCCAAAUCUGCAGCAUAAUUAAUACCGGGUUUCGACUGUUCUACAUCAGAGACGUUACCCGAUUUACGUGAUUUUUGAACCAUAGCCGUAUUUCACCGUUCUGAACACAUCUUAUUUCACGAGAUUUUUGUUAAUUUUGCUUCUAUGUAGAGUUGGUUCACAAAGUUGUGUAUUUGUUUAAAACCUACUAAGCAAGUUAUACAACAUUUUAUUGUUUUUCUUUUAGCCGACGACUUUUAUCGAUAAUAGCCGACGAGUAAAAAUAUUGGCCAACGAAGGAAAACUUUUUGGUCGACGAAAAAAAAAUUUCGUCGACUAAAGUAUCGUAUAGCCGAUGAAAAAAUUUCUUCAGCCGACGAAAAUUUAAAUUAGCCGACGAAAAAAUAAUUCGUCGGCCUGGUUUUUUUAUUUUCGUCGGCUAAAACCUUUCUUUUGGUAGUGACACAUGUCAAAUGAAUAUCAAUACACGUUAUAUUAUUUUAAACAACAUGUUUUUUACGGAAAACGAUAACAUCAAUCAUAUAUAUCAACAAAUACACAUGUUUUUAACAAAACAAUAACAACCAAGAGUUAUCACUCAAUGACAAACAAAACAUCCAUUUCAAUUAUAAUCUAAUUAUCAAUUUAAGAAAGGUUCCCCGAGAAAGACCCUACCUGGAAUCCAAAUGCUACUUCCGACGCUAGCUAAAAUUAGUAACUCUGCUGAAAUCCUUAUCCUGCUACUUCUGCAAUCCAGCUACUCGCAUUCGAUCCUCGUACCGAAUCCUCAUUCCAAGAAUAUUGACAGACCACUUCAAAUCAGCUUGAUCUAAUUCUGAAAUUUACUAAGGACACCCAAGUCCUUACUUCCGAUUCUUCGACAUUCACUACUUAAUUCUCUCAUAGUAUCCAAACUCACAAUUGUGCUCCAAAUACGAAAUCCAUCUCCAAACACCAACCCAACUUCAAAUAGAAGUUAAUAUUUUUAUCUAAAAUUACUCUCUACACCCAAAACUCCCAUUAUAAAUCUCAAUACAGCUUGAUCAUCCUUCCCUCUUCUCCUUUGCACCAUUUCACAAUAUCUUCCUUGUAGACCCAACAAGCAAACCUCCAGACUUGUUCAUGAUGAACAUGUUCAUAUACGAGCACUUCCAUUACAUAAAUUAAAAUCAUUCUUCUACUUCCACAACUCUCAAACAUUAGACCAAACAAUUGUAACAACCACUGUUCUAACACUCGAGCCACAAUCAGCCUUCCAAUCAUCCCCUUCUCUCUCUUUUGAACGUUCAAGAAGCAUCAACACCAAUUCAAGUUCCUGAGCAAAGCCAGCACCGCCAACAACGCCACCACACACGGCAGCCGACGACUGCCCCGAAAUCAUCAACUCCUCCAAUCUCAAAUUCAAUUACAACCAACCAUGAAAUUAUAUUUUAAAGCCUCUAUCAAUAUCAAAGAUAGCUAAUCCAAAACCCAAAACAUUAUCAACGCCGCCGUGCACAGCAGCCGCGCACGGUGGUCGACUGCCCAAAUUCCACCUUCUUCCAAACAUAACCAAAUAUGAAUUCCACUUAUAUAAACAGGUAGAGCUCGACGAGAAGAUCAAGUUUCAUACCUCACUUGUCAUCGACGGUGGCCUGAAAGUUUCGAACCCUCGCCGGAAAACUCCUUGAGCUUUAAUUAAUCGAUUCUCACUCAUGGAGGCUCCUCUUAAUAUACGAACAUCAUGGAAGGGUUUCUGACAUCGAGACGAAGCUUCAGCUAUCGAUGAGAGGCGUCGACGCUGCCGGAAUCGAAAGUUGACCCGCGAACCCAGCCUCUCUUUCUCCCCUUCGAUUCUCUUACCCGACCUCUUCUGAAGAAACUGAGGACAUAGGGAAGACCACGAGAACGAGAGGAAGCUACCAAUACCCGUCACACUCGCCGUCGUGGCCGAAAUCACGAACUCGACCGGAAACCCAGAAAUUCUUCUCCUCCUCGAUUCUCUCUCUCCUCAGCUUUCCAUGGAAAUCCAACAUCACAAUCGUGUUGGGGACGACUAGACGGAGCUUUUGACACCGGUCUUGCACCGGGAAAUAGCUGGACCACAGAGGAAGGAGCUGAGCUCCGUCGCUGCAGAGCAGCUCGAGACCGAGUCGGUCUAGGCUUGUACUGAUCCAGUCCAAACUAAUCCCCUGUAUAUACAUACCUAAAUCGAUGGCCUAGAUCUAGCGGCUUAAGAGAUCCAACAGUCUAGAUCAUGUCAGCAAUAAGUCUAUUUUUAAUUAAAUUUUUAGAUAAUACAAACUUCUAAAAAUCAUUAAAAAUAGCUCUGAUGUCCAAAAAUACUUCCGUAAAAUUCUACAAACUCAUAACGACGUCUAGGUUAAUCCUAUGGGCUCGAAAGACAAAAUCGACAAACUAAAAAUUUGAAUAAUUUUCAACAAGCCACAAAAAAUUAAAAGAAUAAUAGAAAUCGAAAUAAAAAUAGCUCGAAAAAUAAUUUUCCUUUUAAAAAUAGAAAACUGAAAUUCCAGGAUGUUACAAAUAACUUCAGGAUUUCAAUUACAUGCAAAAGACAAGAGUUAGCAAGUAACUAAACCUUGGAAUUUAGAAUUUAAAUUUCAAGCCAGUGGUUAUUGUUGAACCUGUUACGAAGGAAAUGAAGCUCAGUCGACUGUGUGAUCGUCCGGUGUGGUUCACCUGAGUACCGUCGCUUGAUACAUUGAUCGGUUCCAUCUUACUCCGCAUUCCUAAUUGCCCGCUUCUCACUGGUGGCUGUCGUUUUCGUUUCUUUCGAAUAUGAAUUUUGUGUUGGGCUUUCGCAACUGUUAUUUGGGCCUGUAUACAGUAGUAUUAUCUCUCUCUCUCUCNNNNNNNNNNNNNNNNNNNNUAUUAUCUCUCUCUCUCUCUCUCUCUCUCUCUCUCUCUCUCUCUCUCUCUCUUUUCAAUAACCUGUCUUUUCUUUUUUAUUUAGAGAAGAUUCUACAACUUUUUGUUUCAAGACAUCUUUAUUUAUUUAUUUAGAGAAGAUUAUUUAUGAGGCUAUGUCAAAGAGAGAGCUUCUGCGACUGGAGUAGUUGACAUACCAUAGUUGAACGAAGCUACAACCCAUGGAUGGUCGUUAAUUGUUGGUGCUAAUCACGAAUCCCUCAACUGCAGAGUUUCUCCUGACCGAUCUAUCAAAGUUGAUUUUAACCCUAUCCCACAACCACUAUCCGGUUGCUGAAGCUCUAGCUCUGCGCAAUAGCCUCGUGUAUGCUAAUUAAAGAGCGAGGCUUCUCCAAGAUUGAAGUUGAGGGCGAUUCUAAGUUGGUGAUUGACGCCGUGAAUGGAGUGUCGACCCCUCUGUGGAAGUUACUCAAACUAAUUCAUGAUAUCAAAGUCUUGAGUAAUUCCUUUGAGUUUGUAUGCUUUCAGCAUGUGUUUAGGGAAGCAAACUUUGUGGCUAAUGCUUUAGCCAAUCUUAGAUAUAGGCUGAGUAACCUACGCUGCUAGGAGAAGUGUGUUCCCCCGGAAGUGUCUUCUGCUCUUGCCUUUGACAUUGUAAACCUUGGGUGCAUUAGAGACACCUCCAUCUAAUAUAUUUUUUUUUNNNNNNNNNNNNNNNNNNNNNNNNNNNNNNNNNNNNNNNNNNNNNNNNNNNNNNNNNNNNNNNNNNNNNNNNNNNNNNNNNNNNNNNNNNNNNNNNNNNNNNNNNNNNNNNNNNNNNNNNNNNNNNNNNNNNNNNNNNNNNNNNNNNNNNNNNNNNNNNNNNNNNNNNNNNNNNNNNNNNNNNNNNNNNNNNNNNNNNNNNNNNNNNNNNNNNNNNNNNNNNNNNNNNNNNNNNNNNNNNNNNNNNNNNNNNNNNNNNNNNNNNNNNNNNNNNNNNNNNNNNNNNNNNNNNNNNNNNNNNNNNNNNNNNNNNNNNNNNNNNNNNNNNNNNNNNNNNNNNNNNNNNNNNNNNNNNNNNNNNNNNNNNNNNNNNNNNNNNNNNNNNNNNNNNNNNNNNNNNNNNNNNNNNNNNNNNNNNNNNNNNNNNNNNNNNNNNNNNNNNNNNNNNNNNNCACUCUCUCUCUCUCUCUCUCUCUCUCUCUCUCUCUCUCUCUCUCUCUCUCUCUCUCUCUCUCCACCGUUGAGCAGCAACGAUUCUGGCAACACCGGACGGCGAGACCGCCACUGAAGUGAUCCUCUCCUCCUCCUCAACUCAGCCCAGUCCUUUAAUUCGGAAGACAUCCACUUUUGGCGGAGAUCGAUGGAGGAGGACGGUGACUAUCCUUCAUUGUUUUCCGGCGAGGGCUCAGGCUCCGAUCACUGAUCCACCUAGCGACGGUGAGUCCCUUCCUCCUCUCUUCCUUCUGCACAGUCUAGUGCUUUAUUUCCUUCAAAUCGAGACCUAACUCAGAAAUCCCCUUGUGUUUCUGAGUUUCUUGAGCUUCUUUUCCUGCGAUUGUGUUCUUCGUGUUCUGGUGGCGACCACGAGCUCCGACGAGCGUAGUUCAUCCUUGGAGAUGCCGGGACUUAGAGUUGGGAAGCUUUGGGGCAGUUGCUGUUGUGCAGCAUCGUGGCAAAGGGACUGCUUAUUGAUUUCAAGCAAGGAGAGGUUGCUGGGUUUGAGUGGUGUACAGAUUGGAGGUAAGGAGUUUGAUUUGGUCGGCUGUGUUGUUGUUUGUGUUGCGGUUAUUGAGUUGGAUUGUGACUAAAAUCAUUGUUGUGGUUGAUACUUGUCGAUGUCAAUAACUUGGUGAUAGGAGUUUAUGAGGAGGCUAUGGCAAAAUUCCGGUAAGUCGUCGGAAUCUGGCAAGAGAUUUCGACGAGGGCAGAAUCAUGCAGAGACUAUUGAGGUAGUUAUCGAUGUUUUUCCCUGCUAUUGUGUAUCGUUUCAAUAAUAGGAAAGUUUGUAGGUUGUAAUCGGAAAUCUUUCUAAGUGAGGAAAGUUUCUAUUUUAGGAAACUUUCCCUUUUUGGGAAACUUUCUAUUUAUGGAAACCCAUUGUUGGGUGCCCUUAGUGAUUUAUGGGGUGAAGUUGUGUUGAGAGGAAGUAUAUGGGGAUUGUAUGGGUGAAGAAACAAUUGUAAUUGUGUUGUAAUUGAGGAUUUCUCGGAUGAAGAAAUUGGAUAAUCGAGGAAUGGAUUUAGUGAAAAGGUUUGUUCUUAUUUAAGAUCUAAUUGAUUUCAAGUGAAGCAAAUAAUUGAUUUAUUAAAAUGAUUGUUGGAUUUGAAUUGGAUGGUUAAGAGUAAUCAAGGUAACCCGAAUUUUCAAGUCGAAGGUUAGAGUGGAAAAUGUUGAAACUUCGUUACUUGGCCAACCCUAAUUUAAUUGGUCAAUUUUGGUCAACUCAGGAAAUCUAGCCAAACUAGGAAGAAUUUGAAUCCAUGAUUAUUAUGGUGUUUGGUCUGACCGAUUUAUUCUUCUAUUUAUCGUCAGACGUGGGAUUGGCUAGAGAAUGUGAAUAGUUUGAGGCAGCGCUCGAGGAGUAUUCCGAGCAUUGGAAGACUUAGGCCUAAUACGGUGAGUGGACUUUUGUUUUAAAUAAUAUGCAUGCAAAUGGUUUAUUGUUGAGCAAUUUCUUUUGUUGGAGCAUUUGACGUCAUUUUAUUUUGACGAUUUCUUUUAUUUUGGAGAGUUACCGAAAAUGAGAUUUUCGGUGGAUAUGUAUAUGGAUUCUUAUGAGUAUAGUAUAAAUGCUAGCUAGCCUUACGUGUUUGGUCCGUCAUAAUAAGGUAAAAUUCCAUUAUGGCGUGACGUAAGUGUUAGACACAAGCGUCAUAGCCCUAUAUGAAAACUAUUUUCAUAUCUAGUUCAUAUAGAUUUUCAUAUAGGGAGUCCACACGUAUAUACACCCGUCCUCUUCGGUCAUAAUGAGGAAAAAUUUCAUUAUGGCGCGACGUGAGCGUUAGACGCAAGCGUCGUAGCCUUGUAUGAAUUUCUAUUUUUCUAUUUUGUUCAUAGAAUUCGUACAAGGAGUCUGACGAGUGUAAAUACAUACAUAUAUGUAUAGUUUAACCUGAGAUUCUGUAUUUUAUUAAGUUUUGGAGACUAGCUCAUGUAUUUGCCAGUUUAUGAGUUGAAAGCUUUUGAGCUGUCGCAUGCAGCAUAUUUUAUAUGGAAAUUAAAUUGGGGAAGCAUAAAGAAAUAUUGUUAUUAAAUUUAUUUUUGUCCACUCACUCUAACGUGUUUUCAAAUGUUUUCCCAUGCGCCAUUUGUUUUAAAAAUGCUCAGUAUGCAGGUUAGCUUAGUUGAGGUCGGGCGUACAUGAAGAAGAGACAUAGUCAAUAGUAUAGUUUCUGCUCAUUUCUAUAUUUCUAGUUCUUUUCUUCUCCAUUAGAGCUGUUCUGAACUGUGAUUGUUGGUUAUGGGAUUAUUCUUAUUAAGUUAGUAAAUAAAUUGGGAGAUGUUGUGAUUUGGGGAGCACGAAGGCUCCAGGAGUAGAGGGUUAUAGAUGGAUUUUUUCGAAGUGUUUGCAGGUAUUUCUAGGAAGGGUUGUCCAUUUUCAAGAGAGAUUAUGUCGAAUUUUCGGUAAAUUUUCCUUGGAGGUGGUCCCCGCAGGAUUUACUUCGGGUUUCAGGGUGAAAUUCGAGGUGGGUCCUGACACCAAGUGAGGAUUUUUAAAAAUGUUUAGGUGAUGUGAUAAUGAAAUUGGAAAAUAUCAAAUAACAAUUAAAACAUUCAUCUAACCAUUCAUUCAAAAGUCUACAUAUAAUUCUCGUUAUAAGUAGGAUGGCAAUGGGUAGGGUAGGAUACGGGGAUCAAAAUACCGUAUCCAUACCCUUUUACAUUUCUCAUCCCCGUACCCGUAAUUAGAUAAUGGGGAUUUCCCGUACCCGUACCCUUUGGGGAUUACGUUUCCAUACCCGUACCCGUACCCGUUAACAAUUAUGUAUUAAAUUAAAUUUUUUUUUAAAUACGAAAUACAUUAUAUAAAAGUAUGAAAUUAAAAUCAAAUACCAAAAUAAAUAAGUUUCAUGCUUCAAUCCAAUAAAAAUAAAUACAAGUUUUGGUUAAAACAGAACAAUACCGAUAAAUUUCAUUAAGAAAAUAAAAAUAUAUAAUAAAAAGGAAGGUCCGUUUAUUAAGAGAAUCACAAAUUUUUUUACAUAAAUAUUUAUUUAUAAAUUAUAUAUAAAUAUAUAUAAUAAAUUAUAUAAUUAUAUAUAAUAAUAUUUUCAUCCUUAAUAGGUGGGGAUAGGGACGAAUAUCAAAAUAUCAUACCCGCCCCGUACCCGAUUUAAGAAUCCGAAUACUGGGGAUCCCCAUCUCCAUUACCCAUUUAUAACCGUAUAUCUUCCUCGUUAGAGUCGAAUACCCGUGGGUACCCUACCCGCUAGGGAUUAUUGCCAUCCUUAGUUAUAAGGUUCUCAUUAGAAGUUUUCCCACUAAUGAAAUCGAAAAUUAGAAAGUCGCAACCUAGCUAUCUAUCAUGACGAAAACUAACAAAACCCGAUGAAGUAUCACACCAAGGAACUCUAGAUCUAACGUAUAUCUGUCUUUUGUGAUCCAAAAAACACGCGUACGACAUAUUACAUUGACUUACAACAUUUGGUGUACGGUAAUACCGUAUACCGUAUACCAUUUCCUAAACAUUUUCUCAAAAGUUAUACCAAGCACAACACCCAUAUAGGCAUAUUUAAGAAGUCCAAAAAGAAAUAAAGUUCAUUUUUCUCGGUCUUCACUAUCCGAUUUAAGUUUGUUUAACCCUAUACAGUCCAUUAUUUCAAGGAUCAAAACAAUUGAUAAUCGGAUUCGAUGCUAAUGAUCGACUUGGCUUUAAGGUGAUGGAAACCACUUCCAAUGGCCAGAAAAGACUUGAUUGGAGACUCCAAAAUAUAUAACUAGCUAGAUUCCGUAUUUCAUACCAAAUAGGAUCUCAAAUUAUAUAAAGUGAGAAAGCAAACUCAAACUAUCAAAAUGUUGUCGAAAUAUAUGGAUGGAGUUCUUGCAAAUUCUAUAUAUUUGAACCAAAGGAGAGUACGUACGUAGUACCUAUAGCUAUCUAAGGUUAGUCAGUUACUCAAUUUUAUUAGACUUCAUCAAUCGCUUUUCGUCUUUCACUCUAUAUAUGCCAUUUUGAAGUAGGUAUAACCAAGGAAAGGAAGUAGAAGAAGAAGGAAAUUUCAUUAUAAGCCAUACGAUUACAAGUGCAUAUAUAGUACGUAGUAGCUAGUUAUUGUCUUAGUGCGUUAGACCUCUCGUACUACAAGAGAGCCAUACAGGACUACCUUUAUUCAUUCUCUACCCCUUAAGCUAGCUUAGUGCCAAAACACUACGUGCCGCAUCAUAUUUUUACAUUUCGAUCAUCACAAUGAUUUAAGCAAUAGCCCAUCAGCUCUUCUGGGGCAUGGCAGCCGACCUUGAGGAGCUCAAGGCAACGAUCUCCUGCCUGUUGUACUUGAGGUUCCUAGCCUGCUGACGGUCCAUCUGGUAAGCGUUGGCGAGGACCACGUCGGGGAGUGAUCGCAGGACGGAGGUCCUACCAGCCAUGGUGUUGAUCAUGGCAUUGUCUUGGGUCUUAAAGGCAAUGUACUCGUAUCCAUUGCUCAUGGCCUUUUGCAACACGGCGUGGUUUUGCGGCACGAUGAAGAGCUGUCCCUGGCGGACCUGGUCGUCCAAGAUGCAGUCGCCAUUGUCGUUCACCACCUGAACCCUAGCGCUGCCCCUGAUGACGUAGUAUACUUCAUGGGCGUUCAAGUUCCAGUGUGGGCUGUAGAUAGCGUUCUGCAUUUACAACGUAUCAAUCACUUUUAAUUACUUAAGCUCAAACAAUUAAUUGGUAACUAAUUAAAAUGAACUAAUAAAUGCAUGGAAAAGAAUACUGACGUUGUAGAAGAAGCCUCUCUCAGCGCUGAGACGGAGGCGCCUGAGAAUAGGCAUGGUGAAGGCGUUGAGGGUGCUGAUGCGACCGGCUUGCGGGCUGAAGACGUCGGCCAUUGUAGGCCUUCCGAUGUUUUGUCUCAUCUUCAUGUGGCAGAAGAGCUCCUCCAUGCCGUUCUCUUCAUAUUGUCCUUGUUGUCCCUGCAUUUGUGUUCCUUGGAUUUGCCUUUCCUCCCUCAUUGACUCUGGGGGCUGGAUGAAGUCGAGGCGUCCCUGUACCCUAACAAUCUGUGGCCUGUUGUCGUUCAUUCCCUGGAGCUGCUGGGCGGUCUGUUGGUCGAUGUUAAGAGCGUCGGCGAGGAGCUGUGUGUCGAAGCCGGAGAAGACGUUGUUGUAGUUCCCCUGCAUUUGGUGCCUGCUCUUUCCUUGUUGUCUCCGGAUCCGUGGGCUUUGGCCUUGUUGGGUGAACUCAUCUUGUGGGUUACCAGCAAGGUAGAAUCUCUAUAUAUAAAGAGAGAUUAAGCAGCAACAAGUCAGUGAACAUUACCCUAAACUAUUUUUGGUACAUGCAAGAAUAUAUACUGAAUGAAAUGUGGUAAGAAAUUGUACCCUUGGGAUUCGGUCCAGCUGGUUGUGCUGGUUGCUCAUGUCAAGAAGACUGACGAAAACAAGAGGUUCGUUAGCGUCGUUGUAACUCCAGCAGGUGACACCAGCAGGAAUGGCGAUAACAUCACCUUCCCUGACGCGUCGGACCUUCUGGUGACGGUCGAGCUGAUCAUAGCUCUCUUGCUGGCCUUGCUGGCCCAUUUGUCCCUCUCGGCGUAUAAUCUGUUGCCGGCGGCCUUGUUGGCCUUGAGAUUGUCGUUGCUCUUCAACAGAUUGUUCGGUUUCUUCGAAAGUCUCGGGACAGCCGGGGAGAACCAUUCCUAGAUGACCCAUACCUGCAAUACUCAUAGCAAUAAGUUAACAGUCCAUCGACAAACGCUAGCUAGCUACAUGCAAUUUCGGUAUAACUAAUGAAGUGAUAUGAUAUUACCUCGGACGACGUAAACGAGUCGUGGAGUGUUAACGUAAGAAGGCAGGUGGAGGCCGUUGUUCUCAAUGGUGAUCUUCUGAACGGCGACGCCAGCGCACUGGAAGUCAUCCUGGUUGUAGUCCCAGGACUCGAUCCGACCUGCUUCAGUCUCAAUGCGGUUGUCGGGCUCGCGGGCUUGGAUCCGGUUCAGCAUGCACUCAUUUUGCUGGCUGAACUGAGUUUGUCGCCGACUGGCUAAGCAGCCGUGGAAGAGAACAAGUAAGCAAAGAGAGAAAGCGAGAGCUAAGUGCUUGGCCAUUGUGAUGAUCAAUGGCAGAUAGCUAGUUGUGGGUUGUGAUGAUGAAGUGGAGAGUAGAGCGUUGGUAUUUAUAGGAGAUGAGAGGAGGUGAGGGUGAGAAUAGUGCAAAUGAUGUGUAAGGAAUCUCAUGCCAUUCUUCUCUUUGCAUGGCUAUUAGUAUUUCACAUUCUUACACCUCAUUUCUCUUCCAGGGCAGGUGGCUCUUGGCUUCAGAGAAGGUUUAAAGUUAUAAGAACAAGGUGGCAACCAGGUGGGGUGGCCAUGAUUGUUUGCAAGUGAAGCAAAUUUCACCUCCCCGAACCUCGUGCAAUGCAUGAACUCGAAUAAUUAACUCAUGAAUCAGAUCUGAAACUGUUUCAUGUUCGUGAAGAAAUAUUACAUCAGUACCAUCCCGAACUAUCUAUAAUUUACGGAGGUGAAACAUAAGAUGAUAAGAACUUUAUCAUCUUCCAAAUAGUAAUAUCCAUAUUCCUUUACUCCCUUUGUAUGUAAUUCAAAUGUAGUAUUUAAGACUUUUUGAACAUUUUUCAAGAAUGAUCUCUGGACUCGGCGCGCUCUUAUGUAUAAGAGUUCCUUUACCUGCUAAUAAAUCUAAAUAACUUAUAUAUAUAUAUAAACGGAUUUUCUCAGCUGCGGACGUCCGCACCAAUUUUUUGGUGCGGAUUUCUAUUUUUUCAUCACUUUUCGAUCGAAUUUCCUCAUCUCCACCGUCUAGUAUCUAGAUAAUAUUGUGUAGAUCAUCUCUGCAANNNNNNNNNNNNNNNNNNNNNNNNNNNNNNNNNNNNNNNNNNNNNNNNNNNNNNNNNNNNNNNNNNNNNNNNNNNNNNNNNNNNNNNNNNNNNNNNNNNNNNNNNNNNNNNNNNNNNNNNNNNNNNNNNNNNNNNNNNNNNNNNNNNNNNNNNNNNNNNNNNNNNNNNNNNNNNNNNNNNNNNNNNNNNNNNNNNNNNNNNNNNNNNNNNNNNNNNNNNNNNNNNNNNNNNNNNNNNNNNNNNNNNNNNNNNNNNNNNNNNNNNNNNNNNNNNNNNNNNNNNNNNNNNNNNNNNNNNNNNNNNNNNNNNNNNNNNNNNNNNNNNNNNNNNNNNNNNNNNNNNNNNNNNNNNNNNNNNNNNNNNNNNNNNNNNNNNNNNNNNNNNNNNNNNNNNNNNNNNNNNNNNNNNNNNNNNNNNNNNNNNNNNNNNNNNNNNNNNNNNNNNNNNNNNNNNNNNNNNNNNNNNNNNNNNNNNNNNNNNNNNNNNNNNNNNNNNNNNNNNNNNNNNNNNNNNNNNNNNNNNNNNNNNNNNNNNNNNNNNNNNNNNNNNNNNNNNNNNNNNNNNNNNNNNNNNNNNNNNNNNNNNNNNNNNNNNNNNNNNNNNNNNNNNNNNNNNNNNNNNNNNNNNNNNNNNNNNNNNNNNNNNNNNNNNNNNNNNNNNNNNNNNNNNNNNNNNNNNNNNNNNNNNNNNNNNNNNNNNNNNNNNNNNNNNNNNNNNNNNNNNNNNNNNNNNNNNNNNNNNNNNNNNNNNNNNNUAUAUAUAUAUAUAUAUAUAUAUAUAUAUAUAUAUAUAUAUAUAGGUUUCAACCGCAAGAGGUUAGUUCAGCACUAGUAAAUAUAUAAUUACAUGGCACAUGGAAGUGAUGGAACAAAGAAGUGAUACGCAAAUCAUCAAACUAUCACAUACGGCCUGAAACUUUGUGCUAAUACGUACAUAUGCCCUUCAAAUAUCCCUUAAACUUGUCAUAUUGUCAUAUAUAUUGACAUGCAUUUCAUUUGCAUCAAUGCAGAAUCAAACCCUUCGUAUAAAAUAAAAAUAAAAAUGCAGAAUCAAACCCUGACGUUAAUACAAGGAUAUUAGUUCCUAUGUCACUAACCGAUCGAUUUGGUGCAUCAAGUGCUCACCCAUGUACAAUCCCAAACAUAUGAUUCAUAUGAUAUGAAAUAGGCCAUCACAACCGAGAACUCACCGCCCCUCCUCUAUUUAACCCUGAGCUUAGAUAUCAAUCAUAUGAAACGCAUUCAUUUCCACAAGUGAAUUAAAAACCUCUGAAGGCUUAAUUAGCCGUUUAGGGUUCAUAUAUGGAUCUCUCAGUAAUUUGAAUUUGGCCACUUAUUCGAUCUUGUCAAACGAAGGACGCAAGGCAAUCUUUAGCUACUAGUUGUCCUUAGCGAUGAUCAUUAAGCACGUACGUACAGUUUCUAUAAUAAACUUUCUUAUUUCUUUCUAUUACAAUGGUUUGAAGCUUUUCUGUGCUAAUUGAUUCGUAAAGCUCGAGAGUACGUAGCUAUAUAUAUCCCAAUCAUUAAGGACCCUAUUAAUCAAAGUGAACAAUUAGCUUCAGGAUAACUGAGUAGGAAUAAUGGAGUAGCACCGGGAAAUAAGUCGGAAAAUACGUUCGUCCGGACUAAGUACGUAUGUGUGCGUCCGGACUCUCUUUUAUUUACUUUCUUUUGUCAAUGCAAAUCAUAAUCUUAACCGUUCAAAAGUUGAAUUAACCUAUAUAGAUCAUCUCUACAAAAUUUCAAUGUAAACAAACAUCGUUUUCUUAGUCGAUUACAUUAAACAAAUUGACAGUUCUAGUGAAAGUUAACAGUCUCAUGAUCAGUCGUCCAUUUGUUUGAUACAUUCGGCUUAGAAAACAAUGUUUGUUUACAUUGAAAUUUUGCAGAGGUGAUCUCCAUAUAUAGGUACGUAAAUAAGAAAGAGUUCAGACGCACACGUACAAACUAGUCCGAACGCAAAUAUUUUCCAAAUAAACUAGUCCGAACGCAAGUAUUUUCCAAAUAAGUUAAAUGACAAAAGCCAAAGUUUACAAGUACAUAAGAUUAGACCGAGUGUAAUGAUAAAAUGCGUGCACCAAAUCGGAAAUUGAGACUGAGAAUAAGAUUAAACACUCUGUAGUGUGUACUUACGUAGAGUUUAUCUAUCAAACUUGUUGUCGAAUUUGCUUUGAGGCAAAACCACCUAGCUACUUCAAAUUGGCGUGUAAGAUGAUGCUUAUAGUUGUGGACUUGUGGGUAAUGAGUUGAGAUUAAGUUAGAGUGACUGCGAGAGCGGUAUGUUGGAGUCUUCAAAAUAUAACCCAUUUUACAUUUCUCCUAUUCUAUGAUUAUUCUUUUUUCUUAUCCUAUGUUCUAUAAGUAGAUAACACAAUUGUCAAUUCUUUUAUUUUUCUUCUCUGUUCUAAAAAAACAAAAGAAUGUCUAAAUGUUGAAUCAACCAUAUAACAAAUUAAGCAAUACACUAAAAGAAGCUGCAGCUACCAGCUUGCUUUGGUCAAUUUGUUAUAUACUAAAGAUAUACCAAUUAUUCAUCAACGUCGACUCGGGUCAACGUACCACAUAGAUAUGCAAUAUGAAAGGGAAGAGUAUAUCAUCAAGGCAAACCAAAAAAGUGAAAACUUCAUUAGAAAGCAUAACGUUACAAGUACGUACAUAUACGUAGCAGCUAGUACUAUAACUUAGUACAUUGGAUCUCCCAUACUACAAAAGAGCCAUACAAGGCACUUUUAUUCCCUCGAACUGACGAACUCUACCCCUUAGCUAGCUUGAUGCUAAAACACUACAUGCCGCAUCACAUUUUUACAUACAUAUAUUGAUAUAUUUAAGCACUAGCCCUCUCGGACUGGAAAGAUCUUGAGGAGCUCAAGGCAACAGUCUCCUGCCUGUUGUACUUGAGGUUCCUUGCCUGCUGACGGUCCAUCUGGUAAGCAUUGGCGAGGACCACGUCGGGGAGUGCCCGGAGGACGGAGGUCCUGCCAGCCAAGGUGUUGAUUAUGGCAUUGUCUUGUGUCUUGAAGGCAAUGUACUCGUAUCCAUUGCUCAUGGCCUUUUGCAGCACGGCGUGGUUCUGCGGCACGAUGAAGAGCUGUCCCUGGCGGACCUGGUCGUCCAAGAUGGUCUCACCGUUGUCGUUCACCACCUGAACCCUAGCGCUGCCCCUGAUGACGUAGUACACUUCAUGGGCGUUCAAGUUCCAGUGUGGGCUGUAGAUAGCGUUCUGCAUGUACCACAUAAUAACCAUAAUUAAAACUGCUAAAUUAAACUCCACCAUAACUUGAUUAGACUUAGUUGAUAGACAAAUCAAUAUGCAUGCAUAUAUACUCACGUUGUAGAAGAAGCCUCUCUCAGCGCUGAGACGGAGGUGCCUGAGAACGGGCAUGCUAAGGCCAUUGAGGACGCUGAUGCGACCGGCUUGUGGGCUGAAGACGUCAGCCAUUGAAGGCUUGCCGAUGUUCUGCUUCAUCUUCAUGUGGCAGAAUACCUCCUCAAAACCAUUCUGUCCUUGUCGUCCUUGUUGUUGUCUUUCCUCCCUCAUUGACUCUGGGGGCUGGACGAAGUCGAGGCGUCCCUGAACCCUAACGAUCUGUGGCCUGUUGUCGUUCUGUCCCUGGAGCUGUUGGGCGGUCUGUUGGUCGAUGUUGAGAGCAUCGGCAAGGAGUCUGGUGUCGAAGCCGGCAAAGACGUUGUUGUUGUUGUUUCCCUGUUGUUGGUGUCUGAUCUUUCCCUGUUGUCUCGCGAUCGAAUGUCGGCUUUGGCCUUGUUGGGUGAACUCAUCUUGUGGGUUACCAGCAAGAUAGAAUCGCUGCUCAUACAGAUCAAGCAGCCAUUGAGUUAAACGAUUUUGUAACAUUGUAUCCAUAUAUAUAAUCAGGUGUCAGUAAGAAAAUCCAUAUAUAAUUAUAUAUUAUCAAAACGUUGAUAAGAAAAGGUACCCUUGGGAUUUGGUCAAGUUGGUUGUGAAGGUUGCUGGUGUCUUGAAGACAGACGAAAACAAGAGAUUGGUCACCGUCGUUGUAGGACCAGGUUGUGACUCCGGCGGGGACGGCGAUAACGUCACCUUCCUUGACGGGUCGCACUUUCUGGUGUCGGUCUAGCUGUUCGAAGCUCUCUUGUUGUCCCUGUUGGCCUUGUCGGCGUCCAAUUUGCUGGCGACCUUGUUGCCCUUGCCCUUGCUGUUGCGAGCCCUGUAGUUGUUCCUCGUAAGAUUGCUCGGUUUCUUCGAAAGUCUCGGGACAUCCGGGGAUCACCAUUCCUAGUUGACCCCUACCUGAAAUAGAUCACGUAUAAAAGACAGUAAGUUAACCUUGCUCAAGCACAACAUGCAAUUUAGUCAUAAGUUGAUCAGAAAAAGCGACGUUUAGAUAUUACCUUGGACAACGUAAAGGAGGCGAGGACUGUUGGUGUAAAAAGGCAAGUGAAGGCCGUUGCGCUCGACGGUGAUUCUCUGAACGGCGACUCCGGCGCACUGGAAGUCAUCCUGGUUGUAGUCCCAUGACUCGAUCCGACCCGCCUCGGUCUCAAUGCGGUUGUCGGGCUCGCGGGCUUGGAUCUGGUUCAGCAUGCACUCAUUUUGCUGGCUGGACGGAG
rnacentral:lncRNA from 1 species